rnacentral:lncRNA from 1 species
UGGGCAGCCUUUUUUCUGCUGUUUAUGUGGUGUUCUGCUGUUCACGCAGACUAAGAACUCCUACCAUCGUAAAAUCAUAUAAUUAAAACACAACAAAAAAAAAGUAAUGAGCAGCUCAUUAUGUGCGAAAACCAGAGAAAUAAGGUUACAGAACGUGAGAGUGAGUCACUACAAGUAAAAGAGGCUCAGAGAGAAUGGGAAUAGGAAUUUCAUUACCUUAACUUGAGAAAUAUAUGCGAAAAGCACUGGUAUUGAGUGCUCAAUGAAAUAGCGGGAGGAAGAAGAGGAGAUGGCCUUUAGCUCUGUAUGGAAUCCAGCUUCAAAAGCAACAACGCAAGGUCUAAGCAUUUUGAUGACAUAAUUAAGAUACUAUGCGUAGUAAUAUAGAGACAGUGACAAAAAAAUAAAGAAAAAUAAUGUGUAAAAGUACUCACCUAGCAAAGAAAGAAACGAAUGAAAGGUUCGGAUAAUCACUUAGACGUCUCCAUGGAUGAUACCAGCUCGCUUCCACCAACAAAUUUAAUUAACCUAAGCUGUGACAGGUGUUUUUUUAAUUUAUUUUAUUUUAAAAAAAUACAGAUCAACAAGAGAAAGAGAAAAGACUUGCAAAAAAGUAGAAUUGCUGAAAGAAACUCAACAAAGAAUCAAACUCAAGCAGGUUAAUGAUUGACCUAUAACAAUAUUUAAAAAAAAAUAAAAAAAGCUAAAAGAACUACGUUUUUAAUAGCAUCUAGAGUGCGGUUACUUUUUUCAUCCCUCAUUUGUGGUUUUAUUUUAUUUCAGUCCUUCAAGUCUUUUUAUUUCGCUAUUUCAUCGAGUUGCUUUGGUCUUGAGUUAUUGUGCUUGCCCUCGAAUAUGCAUUAUGCUAGGAAUUACAAUUACAUCACCUAAAAAUUACAAUUACAUAUUAUAAUUACAAAUUUCAGUUUUUUAAAAAAAACAAUUUAUUAGAAAGGACCAAUAUUACAAUGUGAGCAAAUGAAAGGAGAACUUUAAAUAUUCUUGUGACAUGGUGACCAGGUAAUCCAAGGAACCAAUAGAUUAUCGCCACUUGUUCAGCCUUAUCUCCACAUUAAGGAUAGGGGUCGAAAGUAGGAGAGAAAAGUCAUAAUCUUAGAUUCUUUUGUGACAUGGAGAUAAAGGUAAUCUCAAAAGUUAACAGAUAGUCGCCACGUGUUCGAUUUUAUCUACCCAUUAGAAAAGGAUAGAAAGUAGGAGAGAAAAGUCAUAAUCGUUGUGACAUGGAGAUAAAGGUAACUCAAAAGCUAAUAGAUGGUCGCCACGUGUUCAACUUUAUCUACCCAUCCAUUAGGAAAGGAUAGAAAGUAGGAGAGAAAAGGUUAAAUGUUUUUUUUUUAACUAUUCAAUAUAUUCAUAGAAAACACUCAAAAUAAAAUUAUAGACAAAAAAAUAUAUAUUUCUUAUUUAUUGAAAACAUAAAAUUUUAAUUCAUGCAUUUUUUUUAUUUAAAAAAUGUAUUUUUUAUGAGUAACAUUAUUUUGCUCAAUGUCCCUAAUACAUAAUUAGUUAUAAAGUAAUGAAAAUAUCAUAAUAAAAAUUCCUAAUCUUCUUGAAAACAAUUAAAUAAUUGAACAAUCACUUAAAUAUUAUUUUAAUAAAUUGAUUGAAAGAAAUUUUUAAUUAAAAAUAAAGAAUAAAGAAUAAAAUGAUAUCUAAGAUAAAGGUCAUACAAAUUAAUAAAUUAUAAGUAGCAAUAUUUAAUGCAAGUUUAAGAAUAAGAGUUUGCUUUGUGUUUUGUUGUGAGAUUAACCAUAUCAAAUUAUAUAUUUAAUAAUAAAUAAUUGUGUUGUGUUAUGAGUAAAAUCAAUAAAUUAAAACACAACAAUAAAAAAGUAAUGAGCAGCUAAUUAUGUGCGAAAACCAGAGAAAUAAGGAUACAGAACGUGAGAGUGAGUCACUACAAGUAAAAGAAGGUCAGAGAGAAUGGGAAUAGGAAUUUCAUUACCUUAACUUGAGAAAAUAUGUGCGAAAAGCACUGGUAUAUAACAAAUAUACUGAUGAAAGGAAGAAGAGGAGAAGGCCUUUAGCUCUGUAUGGAAUCCAGCUUCAAAAGCAAUAAGGCAAGGUCUAAGCAUUUUGAUGACAUAAUUAAGAUAAUAUGCGUAGUAUAUAACAAAGAGACAGUGACAAAGAAAUGAAGGAAAAAAAUGUGUACAAGUACUCACCUAGCAAAGAAAGAAACGGAUGAAAGGUUCAGGAUAAUCACUUAGACGCCUCCAUAGAUGAUACCAGCUCGCUUCCAAUAACAAAUAUAAUUAACCUAAGCUGUGAUCGGUCAAUGUUUAUUUUAAUUUUCUUCUUUUUUUAAAAAAAAAAAAAACAGAUCGACAAGGGAAAAGACUUGCAAAGAAAUAGAAUUAAUGGAACGAACACAACAAAGGAUCAAUCUCAAGCAAUUAAAAGUAAUUGUCUAUGAGUACCAUCUGUGUCACACGCUCAAGUGAGGAGAGAAAAGAAAAAGAAAGAAAGGAAAGGGACAAGGAAGGCAGAAAGUAAGGUCACGUAGGGCCAGUCUUGUAGAAAGUUUGAAAAGUAGCAUGAAAUAAGAGGAUAAUAGCAUAGUUGUCAGAAUCAAAACACGUAUAAACAGAGGACAAAAACAGGGAGGGAGGCUGUUUUUUUUUUUUUAACUGUGUCGAGUGCUUUUUAUAAUUAUAUUUAAUUUACAAAAUAUUAAAUUAAUAUAUUUUUUAAUAUUUAUUGUUAUUAUAUAUAUAUAUAUAUAUUUAAUAUUUAAUAAAUUUUUAAAUAAAUUUUUUUUAAAAAAAGUAUGUGUCACAAUACAAAAUUAUAUAAUAAAUUAAAAAAAAAAGGAGUUUUAUGCUCAUUAAUAUUCACUAGACUUGUAGAUAUUAAUAAUAAAGUUUUUGAAAGUUUUCGAUCUAGUAUUUGAACUUAUUUUUUUUGCAUAAAUGAAUUUUUUUAAGCUUAAUUGCAGUUUUUUUAAGGAAAUAGGUUGAAUUGAGAAACAGAGAAACUCGGCAAAAAUACGUGGUUAAAAUCAAUCCAUUUUUUUAUAAAAAAAACUCCUUAGUUGUUGAGGAAAGAUUGGUAGUGGGAACAAAUCACCAAAGUCAGCAGCAAGGAAGUUCCGAGAAGUGGGCAGCCUUUCUUCUGCUGUUCAUGCAACUCCUACCAUUUUUAAAAUAAUAUAUUUAAAAUACAAUAAUAAAAAUGUAAUACGUAGCUAAUUAAUGUAUUAAGCAGCUAAUUAAUGUUGCUGUUCUUUCUUCUUGUUCUGCUAUUUUGAUUUUAUUGUAUUUUUAAAAAACAUUAUGAUUGUGAAAGCUAGCCAAACCAUUAGAGCAAAGCAAUGUCCGAAGGUUUUUGAGAGUGUGGUUGUUGUUAUUUUUUAAAGUGUUUUUUAUUUAAAAAUAUAUUAAAAUAAUAUUUUUUUUUAUUUUUUAAAAAUUAUUUUUGAUAUUAACGCAUCAAAAUUAUUUGAAAACACUAAAGAAAUACUAAUUUGAAGUAAAGAAAAAAAAUAAAAAUUUUUUUCAAAAGUACUUUUGAAAUGUAAAAACAAACAGAGCCUAGUGUAGUUACGCCCAAUGUUGUCCCGAGAUAUUUUUUAUAAUCUAACUUUUUUAAUAUAUUUUUUUAUUUAAUUAUGCAAUAUAUUCAUAGAAAACACUAAAAUAUAUAUUUCAUCAAAAUUCUCUAGUCUGAUUUGAUUAUGUAUUUUUCUAAAAAAAAAAAAGUUUUUGACUAUAGAAAAAGUAAUAAGAACCAGGAAAAGUAUCCUAAGAAACUGUAAUGAUUUGAACUAAAAAAAUAUUUUUUUUUAUUGAAAACAUAAAUUUUUAAUUCACGCAUUUUUUUAUUUAAAAAAAAAUGUAUUUUUUAUGAGUAACAUUAUUUUGCUCAAAUGUCCCUAAUACUUAAUUAUUCAUAAUGUAAUGAAAAUAUCAUAAUAAAAAUGCCUAAUCUUCUUGAAAACAAUUAAAUAAUUGAACAAUCACUUAAAUAUUAUUUUAAUAGAUUGAUUGAAAGAAAUGUUUUAUUAAAAAUAAACAAUAAAGAAUAAAAUGAUAUCUAAGAUAUAUAAAGGUCAUACAAGCCUUCAAAGAUAAUAUAUGUACAUGUACAAUACAAAUUAAUAAAUUCUAAUUAGUAAUAUUUAAUGCAAGUUAAGAAUAAGAGUUUGCGUUGUGUGAACCAUAUCAAAUUAUUUAAUAAUAAAUAAUUGUGCUGUGUUAUGAGUAAAAUCAGUAAAAUAUUUGGUGUUCUGUUGUCUUGUUGUUUGAAUUAAAAUUAUUAUUAAGAAUAUAAAUUAAAUUAAAUAUUUAAAAAACUAAAUGAAUUCCUUAAUAAAUAAAUAAAUUCUUUCUUUAGAAAGCAUGGAAAUGCCAUGACAUUGGCUUUAUAGAGAAUACUACGAAAUUAACAGCCAAAAAAGUUAUCGAUAGCUGUGUAAAUCAUUGGAUUCGAUGGAAGGAAGAUGGGAAGAGGGGAAAUGGGUAACUGGAAAUUAAAAAGAGAUGAAGAUAUGUGCAUGGCUACCUGUUUUUGAGAAUCAUGGAAAGUUCUCCCUAACUUAAAACGGCACCAAUUAUAAGUUCAUUAAAACAAAUCUGGAACACAACAGAUGGAAAAAACUCGAAACAACUCGUCUAGAAUAUAGGCAAUGAACUCGAAACAACAGAUUUAUUUCAUUUUGUUUUGUUUUUUAAAAUAAUACAAGAUAUAUUAUCUAUUUCAGGUGAAACAUAAUGGAAACGACAACCUUUAAAGGGAGUAGAGACCACAUAUGUGUCGCUCGAAUUCAAUAGCCUUUCUCCUAUACUGGCAUGUGCUUUACACGCACCAGCAUUUCUUUCCUUUUUAUUAUAUAAUAUUCAACAUCGGUGAGUGAGGAUUUGGUAGCUGGCCUUAUUAGUAGUGUUGGUUGCUGAAUUGUCAGGCGUGUUUUGGGGCCAUGCGUGGUCACCAAGAACAAAUCCGUGAGGGCGGUAAAGCUCCAAAAUGAAUAAUUGCCCAAUCGAGUUAACGUUUUAUGGUCUUUUCUCCAUGAUUCGGGUUGAACAUUUGACAUUUAUCCUUUUUUUCUAUAGUCUUUUCUCCAUGUUCAUUGUGAUGACACACACUUGCGACAACCAGUAAAUCUAUAGUUAAUUUCAUUUUUUGAUAAAAGAUAAUACCAUGGAUGUAGAAUGGUUACCAAUUGUUAGUUUAAUAUGCCUUGUAGCCAAUCAGUUAGUUACACAAGCCAUUAUUAUAUUCAUGUAAAUACAUAUUUAUUAUUAAUAAAGACUUAAUUUAACUUUAAUAUUCAUAUAAUAUUAGAUUAAUGAAUCUAGAGUAUAGAUAAAGUUUAUGUGCAAAAAAUGCUUUGCAAAGAAAAUUAUAAAGUUGCUAUAAUUAUGAGAUUUUUAAUGCAUCAAAGUAUUGUUCAUAAAAUGAUCUUGGUCGAUGCUCUCUUAAAUACUAGAUAUUUAUUAGAGCCAUAAAAACUGAUACAUAUUAUAUUUUUUCUUUAAUGAAAUGAAGCAACUGUUCUUAUAAGUUUAGCUAUAAGGGAUACCUAAAACUAAUAUGUAAGUGCUUGUCAUAAGACAUAUACACUGAAUUGACCCGCAUGUGAAUUCCAUAUGGAGAGAUUACCUAUGUCUAUGGAAAGACUCACGUGAUGAUUGUAUAUGUAAUCCUUAGGCUUGAGAUCACUAAGUUAUCUUAUAUAGAGAAUGUUAUGCUUUGAUCCUGUUACAUGUUAUCUUAAUUGAGGUAACAAAAUGAUAUAGAUUGGGUAUAUCAAGAACUAUAUGAAGGUACUUGAGUGAUCAAGAGAGGAUUUCAUCACCCUAUGUGAGUUAGAAAAAAUGUUCCAUCUGUUCUCAAAUAGUAUUGACUGAGAAAUCUUUGGCCAAGGUAGAAUGAGAUUUAAAAAGAGUUUCAAAUCUUAUUCAAAUGAUCAAUUAAUAUUAUGUAGAGAAUGAACAUGAUUUAACAUGUCAAACAUACUUCAUGCUUUAAUGUUAAAUAAGAACAUUAGUAAUAAAAUGGUAUUAAUUACAAUGAGAAACCGAUAAUUGAAACCACUAAUGACUUUUCUAAUAUUUUAGGGGAUCAUGACACGUUACUAGACAAUGCACAUGAUCUUCAAAUCUUUAAUUCUAAUUUAUUUAAUUAUAAUUAUAAUUUAUAUUUGGGCCAAUAUAUUAGGAACCUAAUAGGUCAUACACAUUAAGAAUUAAACUAUGAUGAUUUAAUUAAGUAUAACUUGAUUAAAAUAUAUUUUAGAAAUUAAGGACUAUAAUAUAAUUAAUACAAGGAUUAUAUUUUCAGAUCUAGAAAAAUCAGGUAAGGACUUGAUUGAGUUAAUUUAUAAAAUUAUCUUAAAUUAAUAUAUGGAUAUUAUUCAAUGAGGAAAUUGAUAUUUUGUCAAUUUAUAGGGUUUUUUAUAUUUCCUUACAAAUAGUAAGCUAUGCCUCUUAAUUUUUAGGAGUUAUCUGUUAGACAGAAAAACUACGUAUGUCACAGAAUAAAGAGAUAACACUCUAGAUAUAACAAUCCCUCUCUCCUAAAUAAGGACUUAUGAGAUUUUUCAUUAAUGGUUCAUGUGGAUUACCGUUGAAAGACGAACAAUUGAACGACUUCUAGUUUACAACAAUUCAGUCUUUUAAAAAUUAUUCAAAAUCGAAGAUGAUCAAAUCUUCAGAUAAUAAAUUCCUAAACUCUAGAUCUGUUUAACGAAAUUCUAGAGAAUCCUAAAUAAUUUUAUAACCUCUUAAUUUAUGCAAGAACUAAGCUAGAUUUCAUCCAAGCAAUCACUAACUCUAGUAUUUUCUGUGUUAAAAAAGGAGACUUCCUGGUGUUCGCCGGAACUUGGGUAUACUAUAUUUGAACAAAUAACAAGGUAAAAACAUCUUUUAACGAUAUUAAAAUAAUUUAUUAAUAUAAAUUACUUUUUUUAUAUUAAUAUUAAAAAUAAAAAAAUAUUUUAACAAACAUCUACUUAUUCAAACACUUAAAAAUAAAAAUCUUAAAAUCACAGCAUGAUAAAAGAACAAAGAAAGGAAUGGGACAAGGAAGAAAGAAUUAAAAAAAUGAUAUAUAUAUAUUCUAGUUUGUUGUUUUUCUUUAUAUAAUUUAUAUAAAACCAGCUUAUUUAAUGGAUCAUAUUUAAUUAAUCAGGACUAAAUAAAUAAAUAAAAGAUAUACUCUCUCUUCCCAUUUCCUCUCCCAACUGAAUUUUGGCGACCACCACCCACACAACGAUAGCCUACAGAACCACCAGCCAUACCACUUUUCAAGACCCCUUCUCCAUUUUCCCUCAAUUUUCUAGACAAGCAAAAGGAGAUAAACUUAUUCCCGACCAAAACGUCAAGAAUUUCAGUACAACAAAAGAAGAGAUUAUUACUUGACCAAAAAAAACUGGUCAGCACCAGUGGCGGAGCCAGAGAUUUUUAAAUGAGGGGGCAAAUUGUUAACAAAUACUAUAUUAUAUAGACAUGUAUUAAAAAUCAAUUCAAAACAUAUAUAUUAAUUCAUAUCAAUUCAAAACAUAUAUAUUAAUUCAUAUCAAGUAAAAUUAAUAUAAAAAUACUUUUAAAAUGAAAAAACUUAAAUUAUAAUUGUUCUCUUCGAGUUUUCAUAUUUUGAAACCGCUUCAUAAUAGCUUCAUUAUCAAUCUUAUCGAAGAUAUCUUUCUCAAUGUAUACAACCAAACUAUCAUUCAUCCACUUAUCUCCCAUCUUGUUCCGCAAUCUACUCUUGACAAUAUGCAUAGCAGAAAAAACUCUCUCCACUGUAGCAGUUGCAACUGGUAGAAGUAAUGACAAUUUGAUAAGCAUAUAUACCAAUGGAAAUAUCAAAUUCUUCUUUGUUUUUACCAUUUUCUCUGCAAGACUAGCAAUACCUUCAAUACCAGAGAACUCAUCAUCACCACGUAGAUCAAUAAUAUACGUAUCAAGUUGGUCACCAAGUACCAUAAGGUCCACUAUAGAGAAUUCACUAGGAUAAAAAAGAGCAAGACGAAUAAGCUUUUCUUUGUUGAAAGUAGAGAAAGAGUCAUUUGGGCUUAAACAUGCCACACAAAGAAGUAACUCCAUACUCGUCUCGGUAAAACGAUCAUCCAAUUCAGUAAGUUGUAUGUCAAUGAUAUUGUUAAACAAUUCAUAACGAAAAUGGUGUAAGUUUGUAAUCCCUUGAGAUUUUCGCCUUGAACGCCCACGAAGCUUGUACUCAUCAUCCAUGUUUAGAAUAUCAAUAUCAUGUUUGAUGCAAAAAGAUGACACUUCUUCCAGUAAAGAUUCCCAAUCAUUCUCUCUCAUCAAUUUGAAUCGUUCCUUUGAUGUUUUCAAUAAACUCAUAGCAUUUUCUAUGUCUUGAUCUUUUCUUUGUAAUGCUUGUGAUAACUCAUUAGUAACUGCUAGUAUCCUUCUCAAACAAUGAAGCAUGAACACAAAAUUAAAUGAUUCCAUAAUACCUGUUAAAACAAUCGCUUCCGUUCUCUGUUCUGAGUUCAUCCCAUCCUCCCUUAUAAUCUCAAGCACAUCAAGAACUGAUGAAAACAUUGCAAGUAAACGAAUAAUUGUAAUAUAGUGGGAGCCCCAACGAGUAUCACCAUACCUUCUAAGAGAAGUUUCUUGAUUCAAGCCUCGUCCACUAGAAAUUUCCCCAUUUUCAAGUCCUUCAAUAAUUCUAGCAUAUUGUUUUUCUCUAAUCACCUCCAUCCUUUUACAUGAUGCUCCAACUAUGUUUAUAAUGCUAGAAAUAAAAUUGAAGACAUCUCCAACUUCAUUAUGCUUCUUUGUAACAGCCACAAGAGUCAAUUGAAGUCUAUGAGCAAAACAAUGUACAUAAUAUGCACUUGGAUUGUUAUUUAGAAUAAGUGCUUUCAAGCCAUUGAAUUCACCUCGCAUGUUACUAGCUCCAUCAUAUCCCUGACCACGCAAUCUUGAUAUACUUAACCCAUGUUUAGAAAACAAAGCUUCAAUAGCUGCCUUGAGUGAACUAGCAGUUGUAUCUGACACAUGUUGAAUGCCAAGAAAACGUUCAAUUAUAUGUCCAUUGUUGUCUACAUAUCGUAUAACAACUGCCAUUUGUUCCUUGAUUGAUAUGUCACGUGACUCGUCAAUUAAAAUUGAAAAUAAUGAUCACCUAGAUCUUUGAUAAUCACAUUUGUAAUCUCCUCUGCAGCAGCUUAAGUAAUGUCUUUUUGAAUAUCUGGAGAAGUCAAUUUGUUAUGUCUAGGAGCUUCACUGAAAGUAACUCUUUUAAUAACUUCAUUAUUUUUGGAAAGGAAAUGCAAGAGCUCUAGAUAAUUUCCUUGGUUGCUUGAACAUUCACAUUCAUCAUGGCCACGAAAUGGAAGUCCUUGGUGCAACAAAAAACGAGCACACUCUAUUGAAGCAUUCAAUCGAGUUUGAUAAUCACUUUGACUCUUUACUGUCUGCUCAGAUAACAAAGUCAUGAUACUUUGUUUUUCAUUCAUCAAAUUCUCACAUUUUAUCCGAGCUGCAUUGUGACUACUAUUAGACUUUCCAAUAUGAAGAUCAAAUCUUUCCUUUUUUUUCCAAUUUGAAAACCCAUCACCCACAAACGAAUCAACACCCCUUUUGACUUGAAGAGGUAACAAUACAAGCAAAAGGCAGCAUCUUUGGCUAUACUGUACUCUAACCAUGUUGGGUAUGCACCAAACCAAGCCGGAUUAAAGCGUCGUAGUGUUGAUAUAUUCCCAAAUUGUUUUUGAGGAAAAUCAUAGUGUGAAGGUUGACAAGGACCUUUUUGUAGAUAAGCUCUUCGGAUUGCAUCCCUAUCAUUUAUAUGGUACUCAUAAAUUGGUCUUCUUAAGCCAGGGUCAGCAAGAAGAGUGUCAGGGUUGAUUUCAAUAUGACUUUUCUUUGAACUUGAUUGAGUUACAUGACUUGAAGCUUUGAUUGACUCCUCAUCCUCAAGGGAUUUACGCUUGAAAUACUUGUCCAGUGACAUGUUAAUUUAAUAUGAACCUGCUGGAUUUUUUAUCAUCAUUAGUGUCUACAUAAUAAUUAACACAAGUACACAAUAAUUCACUAUUAAACAAAAGUCAAUUGAAUUACACAAUAAUUCUAAAUCUUUCAUAUGAAAUUAAUAACAAAAUACAUGUCAAUUUAUCAAAAUCAAAACCUAUUUCAAUUCAUAUCUAAAUGCAUAUAAAUUAUAUGAUAUAAUAAGUAUGUUGAUUAAAUUAUACUUAAUUAUUUCUAGACAUUUAAUUAAGGAACAAUGCUUAGUGUAUGUGUAAGAGGAACAAUACUUGAAAAACAUGCUUUCUACUUGAUAUUUUACUUACAAAUAAAUCAUGUGAAAAUAUUAAAUUUCAAUAAACUACUCUAUCAAUGCAAGAGAUGUCAAGAAUAGUGGUUUUGCAUGAAUAUUAAUUUAUUUUUUAUAAUAAGAAAAGAAACACUUAAUUGAUUAAAUUACAGAUUUAAAUAUUUAUAGAGAACAUAUUCAUAACAAAACCCAUAAAUUAUCAUAAACCCUAAUAUUUUUAAUAACUAAUUAUAAAAGAAUAAAACUAAAAUUAGACAAUAAAAUAAAUAGAAAAGAUGAAGAAAAUUUACCUAAAGUACAAAGCAAAAGGCAAAAAAGCUUAAUUGAUGAUUAAAUUUGUAUAUAGGAGACUAGGAGAGGUAGGAACGGUGGCUGAAAAAAAAACCCUACAGGAGAAGAUAAAUAAACAAAAGGGAAAUAGGGAAAAUUGGGGAGCUGUAAAUUAUAAUAUAUAUAUAUAUAUAUAUAUAUAUAUAUUGGGGAGCUGUAAUUAUAUAUAUAUAUACACUUUCCGUAACUGUAACAAUAACAAUAGCUAUUGUAUAAUAACUUUCCUUACUUUCCGUAACUGUUGUUGUAAUUCAUUUUUGGGUCCCCACUUAAAAAAUAAAAAAAAAUAUAUUAUACAAAUAAACAGUAAAACAAAUGCCAGGGCGCCUUAAAAAUGCCCAAAAAUUGAUUGAGGUUGUUCAAAAAACAUGAAAACUAAUUUUUGACAGUGUGUCAUUGACUGAUGAGAGCCCCGAUGAUAAAGAAAAUUUAAUUUGAGGAAGAAAAAUCCAAAUUCAGAAGUUUAUGGACUCAAUUAAAUUUUAUUAAAGGUUUAAUUGAAUUUAUGGAGAGUUUAAUUGCAAGAAAAAUGGAUUUUGGAGUUAAUUUGGGUUUUAAUUAGAAGAAAUUAAUUUUUCCGGGGUCAAAUUAUAUUUUUUGGAAGUUCAUUUGGCAAAUCAGGGGCUUAAUUGCAUAAAAAUUGAAGUUUAAUAGCCAAUUAGGGACUGAAUUGAAGAAAUCCGAGACCAAGGACUAAAAUGCAAAACACGCGCAAAUUGAAGGUUGUCUUUGAAAUCUGACGCGUUUUGGCGCCUUUUCCUUUUAAAUGAAACGACGCGUUUUGACCAAAACGGCGCCGUUUCAUGCACUGUUUAUUAAAAAAAAAAAAAAGAGUCCAAAACGGUGCUGUUUUGACGGCACUGUAGAUCUUCUUCUUCCCCUGAACUUUCUUUUCCAUUUUUUACGCAAUAAGACGCCCACCAUUCGGCGCCCACUUGCCUCCUUUUUCUCCACUGAUCGAUAGUGGAGGGGGCGGCCAACAGUGGCCUCCCCACCGUGACGUCCCCCCCUGUUUUUGCCUAUAAAAACAGGGGAAGGGGAAAGAAAAAGAAGAGGAGAAGAGAGGGAGAGAAGGGGAAGGAUUUAACGACAGAAAGAGAGAGAGAGACGAGAGAAACGGAACGAAAAAAUAGAAAAAAAGAAAAGAAGAAGAAGAAAGAGACACGACAAAGGAGAGAAAAAGAGAAAAAAGAGAGAAAGAGAAAGAAGGAGGACCGUCGCUGGAACCACGGCGACAGCAGCACCGCCUCCGCUAGAACCGCCUCGACGCCACCCCGGGUACCCUCCUGCUCCCCGAUCAUUUUCUUCUCCUGCUGCCCAGCCUUGCAUUUGCAUGCAGAACAUGAAAAUGUUAUUUUGUUUAUCUUUUAAUAUCCCGGGUAUGACAUUAUACGUAAUACAUAUUCCGGAUAUUUGAUUAUUAGUAUUUUAAUUUUCUUUCUUUUUACAUUAGAACCUGGGAUAUGACAUUACAUGUAAUGCGUAUUCCGAACAAUAAUAUAAAAAAAACCACAACACGAUUUUAGAUUUUAUCAGACAUUAAAACAAUGCAGCCUACCUUAGGUAGGGCGUAGUUGGGGUGCUAAUACCUUUCCUUUACGCAACCAGUCUCCGUACUCGAUCUCUAAAGACUAGUUAAGGUUCCUAGUAACCAGAAUACUAGGUGGCGACUCCCAGUCCAUAUUUUCACUUGUAGAGACAAGAAUUCCUUGUCUCUCUCUUUAUUUGCCAGGAAUUGCCCCCUUUUGACCCACUAUGGCUCCGCCACUGGUCAGCACUGAAAGAAACCGAGUGAAUGAUGGAAAAAGACUAAUAGCUAGAAAACAAUCAACAUAACCAAGAACUAUCUGUAUGGUUUCCAAGAAAUUGAAAAGAAUCAAGGAGCGCAACCCUCUUUCUCCUCCAAGAAAAGAAAGAAAAAGAAAAAGAAAGGAAAGAAACUAAGAUAGAAAGUCAAACUUGGCUCCUCUUUCAGUGUUAAAAAAAACACAAAGAAGUUCGAGGAAGUGGGCAGCCGUUGUUCUGCUGUUCACACAGACUAAGAACUCCUAAAAUUGUAAAAUCAUAUAAUUAAAACACAGCAAUAAAAAUGUAAUAAGCAGCUGAUUAAUGCUGUUGUUCAUUCUUCUUGUUUUGCUAUUUUGAUUUUAUCAUAUUUUCUUAAGAAAUUAUGAUUGUGAAAGCUAGCCAAACUAUUAGAUCCAAGCAAUCAAAUAUAGAAACUAGCAUAGUUGCGCCCUGUUCUCCCAAGUACUUUGUAUAAUCUAACUUUUUUUUAUAUGAUUUUUUAAUUUAAUUAUGCAAUAAAUUCAUAGAAAAGACUACAACAUGAAAAAUAUAUAUUUCAUCAAAAAUGUGUAAUCAUUCAUGUAUUUUUCUUAACAAAAAAAAAGUUUUUGAUCACAACUAGAAAACCGGAGAAAACCAAUGGAAUUACCGAUAAAAAAAUUUUGUUCGGUAAUUUUAUCGACGGAAAUACUUUCUUCGGUGAUACGGUCGGUAUAUACAGAUAGAAAAUACUCGUCGGUGAUCCUGUCGGUAUAUACCGACGGAUACAGUCCAUCGGUAUCUACUGACCGGAUCACCGACGGAUUAAAUAGUUUUUUGGAAAGUUGCAAUGAUGCGAUGACGUGGAUUUUUUUUAGAUGAUUUUACUGACAGAAUGACCGAUAUAUUCAAACUGGGAUCUCCAUACAAUGACAUGGCACAUUCACUGGCGGAAUCACCGACGGUUUGACCGACGUAAACGGUCCGUCGGUGAUUCCAUCGGUAAAAUGGCGCCAAAGAAGUGUCAAAUUCUAAGUCAAUCCUCAAUUUGUUAUUUAUUCAAUGAAGUCCUUAAUUGCAAUUUUGAUUUUAAGAAUCAAUUCAAUUGCAUCACUGCCAAAUUCAAAUUUUAAAUCAAUUCAAUUUUUAUUUUGGUCCUUGGCCUUGGAUUUAUGCAAUUUAAACCCUAAUUAACCAUCAAACUUUUAAAUUUCUUCAAUUUAGCCCUUGAUUAUCGUCAAUUGGAUCCCUAGAGUUUUUAAACUUUAAUUGUUUCGAAUGAUAAUAAAAUUGACUUCUAAAAGUUGAUUUAAAUGUUGAUUUCCCUUGCAAUUAAAACCCUAAUUAAUUUAAUUAAAUCUAUGAUUGAAAAUUCCAAUUGAGUAUUUAAACACCCAAAAAAGAAUAUUUUUACUAAUGAGUUUUGUCAAUUGAAACUGUGGAUUACCAUUUUGGCCUACUAAUUUCACUUGGCAUUUAGGUCUUCCUGGACAUUUCAUUUUAGGCUUGCUUGAAGUGUAUAUUUCCUUGCAUUUAUUUUAUUAUUUUAUUAUAAAAUGGGUAACAUAGAUAAUAAUCAAUCACAUAAAAAUACACAAUGAUUUAGGGCACGCACAACUAUAAUAGUUUAUUUCCAUUUAAAUGAAUCCUUUACUACCGAAACUCUGUCCUUACAGUUAAUAAGAGCUUUCUGAAUAUGAUUUCGGCCAUUUUAGUAGUCUCAACAUUUCAUAAUUAUCCUUCCCAAAACACAAGUGACGUGAAUAUCUUUUUAGUCUUCGUCGAUACAGUUGACUCAUAUAUAUAUAUAGUCUAUUAUUUUUUUGUAAGAAAAAUAAAAAUAAAAAGAAUAAAAAAUUGGGUUAUAACAUUAACAAUUAAAUCCAAGCAUAAUGUUACUCUCUAUUAUAAGAAUUUAAUUUAAACACACAAAACCAAUAUUAAUUAACUCAUUUAUACCACAUUUAACAAUUUCAACCCAAACAGUCCUAAAUGUCAUUAAAAUAUAAGAAUUUAAUUUAUUCCUAAUUAAAAAAAAACAUUAUUUCUAUUUUUAUAAGUUUUUCUUAAAUGUUAAUUAAAUAAUUGUUUUUUGAUCAAAUUUUAAACAAUUCAUUCGUAUUUCAAUUCAUAUAUUUAUAAGAAUUUAAUUUUUUUAAUUGAUUUUUAAAUUUCAUUCUAAAUCUAUAGUGUAAAGAUUAAACUGGAUUAUUGUAAAAAUCAAUAGGAGGUCUUGCUUGUUGGAACUAAUAAUGCCCUCUUUUUUUUGGCAGCAUAUUCAUGUGGUUUUAUUUAAUUUCUCUGGUUAGUUUAUAAAUUUAUUUUGUUGGUGUCAACAUUAAUUUAUUUCAAACAAAUUUUCUUAUCUAAAUUUUGAGAGUCUUAAAUAAGAAAUUCUAUGAUGUUGAAUUUGUAAUCAUAAUAUUUACCACAUAAACAUAAAUAUAAGAAUAAGAGAUAAAUAUGAAAGAGGGGAUUUUUAAAAAUAAUAUUAUCAUUUCUUAUAGAAUUGAAUUUUUUUUAUUUUUUUAUAUAUCUAUUUCUAUUUUAUACUAUAAAUAUUAAUAUAUAGAUAUAAUAACAUAAACCAGUAGAGAUCCAAACAUAAGAAAAUAUUAUUAUUAUUAUUAUGGGAUAAACUAGCAUGAAAUCCAGAAAUGGAUAAUGCUCGUAAGCCCAACACAAAGCAAUACCCAAAUGGAGUCCAACUAAGGAAGUAGAAAGGGCCGAAGGGACUCUUUUUACAAGGAAGCUGCCACAUAUUAAAAUAAAAACUGUUUUUUUUAAAAAAAUUAUUUUUUAAUAUUUUAUUUUAAAUUAAUAUGUUUUUAGUAUUUUUAGAUCAUUUUAAUGCGCUGAUAUCAAAAAUAAUUUUUAAAAAAUAAAAAAAAUAUUAUUUUAAUAUAUUUUCAUGUCAAAAAUACUUUAAAAAGCAACUGUAGCUACACUCCAAAACACACUCUAUAGUCAUCAACAAAUAGAAGAACAACAAUGGAUGAACUUCAAGAAAGAGAGAAAAAAAAAAAGAACUCAAUGCAUCAGAGAUCAAAUACGUUAGCUAUGGUGGUGAGCAUCACCUACCAUUAAUCAUGAAUCUUGUCGAUCAAGAACUUAGCAAGCCUUACUCCAUCUUCACCUACCGUUACUUUGUCUAUCUUUGGCCACAACUUUCUUUCUUGGUAAAUGUGAUUCUUUUUUUCUUUUAUGUUGUUGGGAUUUUUUUUGGUGUUGUAACGGUGUUUUUAUGGGUUUUCAAUUUCAGGCGUUUCACAAAGACAAAUGUGUAGGGACUGUUGUUUGUAAGAUGGGGGAUCAUCGGAAUUCAACUUUUAGAGGUUACAUUGCUAUGUUAGUUGUCAAAAUGCACAAAAUUAAAACUAAAAACCAAAAUAAAAAAGACAGUUAACUCUAGGGCUAACAUUUGAAUUUGACAGGAAUAAUUGAAUUAAUUCUUAAAAAAAAAAAAAACAGUUAAAAAUGGUGUCUUUUCGAUGGCAUUGUGCAUCUUUCUUCCCCUAGAUGUGUUGUAGGCAGGGGAAGAAGGUUUUUCUUCCACUUCAUUGCAGCUUCUCCCUCACCUCUCUCUCUCACUUGCCUGAAAACACCGACACAACUCACAUCCCCCUUAUAGCCUACCACCAUGAUGAAAGGGGGUAGAGGGGACAAGCCCUGUGGGUGGCCCUGGGAUGGCUACAUAAUGGCUGCCCAACCUCUCUACCCCUUUGGCAUGAUUGGACAGAGGUAAGGUAAGUCUCUUUCUCCUUUCCCCUUAUAAAUACCGCCCUCACCAAGAGGUGAGGGGGAGGAUGAAAAGAUUGAAUAAAAAACAGAAAAUAAAGAGAAAAAAAGAAAAAAAACAAGGAAAAAAAACAGAGAAAGUUUGAAGGGAAUAAACAGAAAAGAAAAAGAGAAGAAAAGAGAGAAACAAAGAAAAAAUAGGAAAGCAAACUCCUCGGCCUCACACCAUCUUUCCCCCCUACUAACUUCACUAUAGCUCCUAGAACCACCAUCAUUUUGCUUCAUCACCACCACCACACCAUCGUGAGCCACCAUCAACCUUAGUUCCCUUAAAACAAAACUUGUUGGGCCGAUAUCGGCCCAACCCUUAUUUUAGGCUAAUAUUGGCUCAACUCUUUUGGACCGACCUCAACCCAAUUUCUCUUUGUGUCAACUUCAGCCAAAUUUCUUUUAGGCCAAAUCUCAGCCUAAUGAGGGUGGGCUUAGCCCACAUAACUAGGCCAUGCUCAUCCCAAUAUUUUAUUAUUAUAUAUUUAUAAUAAUAUAUAAUAUUUUUUUAUUACAUAUAAAAGUAAAAAAAGCAACAAAAAAUCCCAAAACAAUUCCAAAAACAUCCUUUCAAAAAUUUGUGAUUUUCUCACAAAUGUUUUUACCAAUUUUUAUUGAUAUUGGUUUGUAUUUUUAUACUGUAAAGAUAAAAAUCUGAUAAUAAAAUACCUUGUUUUCUCUAAAAUUUUGCAAAAAAAUUCUAAAAGAAAUGUUUUGUUUUCAUGCAUAAAAAAGGAAAUGUUUUGUUUUCAUGCAUACAACUAAGUCUCUCAAAAAAAUAUAUAUAAAAAAUCUUAUCAUGCUUUCAUACAAAAAAGGAAUAAAAAAAGAUAUUAAGUAUUUCUUUACCGAGGAGGACUUUUCUUAAACCUUAGAUAAACCAUGUAACAGUCUGACUGUAUUACUUGCUCAAUGUUAAAAGAUCCCAACAUAUCCUUUUUAUUUUAGGGUAAUCUUUUUUUAUUCACCAAAAAUUCGGUAGGGUUUCAUUUGUAUUUGGGACAUCCCAAAUUAUCGACUACAAUUAGUUUACUCAAUCAACCCAUCAUCACAAGGUCCUGUAAUUCCGGACGUUUCAUCAAACAUCAUAAUUCAACACCUUCAUACAAUCCACACAAUAUAUAUAUAUAUAUAUAUAUAUAUAUAUCCUACGAGUAAGUUCAAGAUGAACAUAGUCUACAUAUCAUAUCAUAAAAUUUAAAAGAAAAGGACUACUAACAUGUAAAGAAAGCAUUUACAGCAUAAUAAGUAUAAAUUUUCUAUCGGAUUCAUAAGAAUUCUAAUAGACAACUUAUAUAUGUUGCUUGUAAAUCUUUUAAACCCAAUUAACACUCAUUUGCAUAUUCUUAAUUUGGAUACUUUUAUUUACUUACGUGAACUGGGUGACCUUGCAAAAUCUAAUCUUGAAAUUCAUUUACUAGCAAUCCUAUCACGGACGCCAUUAGCCGAGGCAAAUCUUGUAAUUCAUCUCCCGAUAUUCCUAUCACGGAUGCCAUUAGCCGAAGCUAAUCUUGUAAUUCAUCUCCCGGUAUUCCUAUCACGGAUGCCAUUAGCCGAAGCUAAUCUUAUAAUUCAUCUCCCCGCAAUCCUAUCACGGAUGCCAUUAGCCGAAGCUAAUCUUAUAAAUACGCUAGGCUUUAUUUACUUUGAACACGAUAUUUAUUAUAAUUACAUUCGCCAAAAGAAUUUUAAAUUGUAUAAGUGCAAAUAGGAGGGAAAAUCACGCACCUACUUCGCCUGUCUCGUGUGUCUCGUGACCUCCCCUAAUAGAAGAUCCAAUCCUGGUUGCUCCUCUUGAAUCACAAGGAAGUUUUAGGUUAUGAUUCCUUAAAGCCAAUAUUAUAGAGAAUCCUUAUUCAUCCAUUACUCAUAUGUUACUUUCUAUACUUGUUCAUUUCCUCAUAAUAACAUACAGACAUAUAUCAUGCAUAUUUUCAGAGUUAGUAUCUUAAUGUACAAGUGUUCAUAUGACUUCAUUCUUUUAUAUUCUUAUAUAUAGUAUUCACGUGAAAGUUUACUGUUACUGUCUAACAUUGAAUUGUUACUGUCUACACAUUGAACUGUUACUGUCUAGACAUUUGAACUGUUACUGUCUACUUUUUGAACUGUUACUGUCUAACUUUGAACUCUUACUGUCUGAACACUCAUCAAAUUUUUAAUUAUAUCUAAAAUUCUAAAACUCCAUUUUAAGUGAGAUUGAUCUCGUUAGAAAGUUAAGACACGAGACUACUAGUUCUCUGAAGGAAGGAGAACCCAGUUCUGCCUCCAAGAUAAUCAAAAGUGCUCAUCAACUAAGCAGUCUUACUGCCCUAUAUAAUCAGUCACGACUCAGUCUCGGCUGGUAACUCAUAAUUGGAGUUCUACAUCUCCAAAUUGAGCAAGACCGGUUUUCUUGGUUAGCUAACAUUCAAAUCUACAAUUUUUAUGAAGGAAUCCAAUCCUAAUUUCCAUCCUCCUACUUGAAAUCUCACCAAAAGUCAGGAGACAAGUCUGUCCAGAUUCGUCUCCCCCCUCCCCUUCAUACAAUACUUUCAUAAACUACAUACCACACACAUAAAUUAACUUAAUCUUAAAAAUAAGUACUUUUUCCCCAAUUCAUGUCUAAGAACCCUAACCUAUGAUUCAAUAUCAAGGCAUCAAUUCAUUAUCGAAUUUAAAAAUGAAUUUUUUAAGAUCAUGUUUAGAACACCUUACCCGGUACGAAUUAAGAUUUUGAUCUUCAACUAGUUGAAGAUUUUUAACUCCCUCUUUUCUUUUUUUUUCUUGUUCAAUUUCUUGGUAAUCCCAUGCUCUCAAGUGUUUAUCCCAUCUAUAAACCCUUAAUCUUGGAUGGGUUCUUGAAAUUUUAGCGUUUCUCUCUUGAUUUCGCAAAAAUAGGUAUAAAACUCCCUAUUUUCUCUCCUUAUGGUUCCUGCAAAUUUUUGGUGAGGAGAUAGUACUUAUACUUUAUAUUUUCCCUUAUUUGCAUUUAGGCCCCUUUUUCCUUUAAGUGUAUUAUUCUCUUUAAUUAAAUUCAACCCUCAAGUAUCGGGUUUAUUAUCAUGUCUCGAAUUAUUUCACCUGGAAAUUUAUAUUCAAAAAUUUCUGAAUUCCUGUUUUUAUUUAACCAUAUAAAUGAAUUUCUUUAUUUUUCCCGGGGUUUACAAACCAACAAUUAGAAAUCACAAUAAUACCUUAGUUUAUAUCAGAUAAUUAAAUAAAGCAGCUUACCACAGGUAAGAUGUAUUAUAAGUGUUAAUAUCUUUCUUUUACGCAAUUAGUCCAUGUAUCCAAUUUCUGAGACCAGUUAAGGUUUCUAUUGACCAAAAUAUCUGGUGGCGACUCUCAUUUUCUCUUUCCACUAAUAAAAAACUAGAAUUAUUUGUCCUUUUCAUUUCUCGAUCCGAGAGGAAUCACUUUUAAAUCUCAUAACCUCGGCUAUAAUAACUAUGUUUUGGUACCAUUUUCAAGUAUUUAUAUAUCUAUGCACAUAACGUGUUAUCUAUUGAAAUAUUUUUUAGUUAUUUUUUAUGACUAUAAAAUAAAAUCAUAGUUUUUGUACUGCAAAACCUAAAUUUUAUCUUGCAUACACCGCCAAAAACGUUUAGGAACCUCAAAAACUCUUUUUUUUUUAACCCCAAAAUAUCUUCUAAUUAGCCUAAAUAGUAAAAAUCAAUCUAAAUAAAAAAAAAUAUGGGUCUAAUAAACUUUUUCUAGCAUGGUUAAAAGGCAAAAUCAUCUUUAUUAAACUCCCUUCUUCAAAACAAAUCCAUUAAUGUUAAAAUUAGUCUUUUUAUGACCGGAAUAUGAUUAGCUUCUUUUUUUUUUACCACAUUAAUUCUCCCCCCUCUCAACAUUCAAUAACUAAAAAUAUGAUAAAAAUGAAGUUUUAAAACAGAGUCGUAAAAAUUUUAAACUACAUGAUUAAAUAAAUCUAAAAAACAAAAACUUCAAGGACCAUAUUAAACUUUUCUACAACUUUCAAAAAAGAUUGCAUUAUAGGAGAAUAGUUUAAUGCACAGUAACUUGAGUCUUGCUGGACAAUAAAAUUUGUUAUGGUAAGAAUAAUAAAUGUUUUAAUUUAGAUUAUAACACGAAGCAUGCACAAUUAAGAUUACAACAAGGAGAUUUCAAGAAGUAGUUAAACUUAGGUUAUAUUAGAUAUGACUUUUGUAAAUUGAUUUAAAAUAUUUUUGAGUUUUGAUUUUAAUUUGUUUUUUGAAGUAAGUUAAAAUAGCUUUUGAUUUAAUUUUUUUUUGUUAUAAAUUGGAUUCAAACCUUUGAUUUAAUAAAAAACAAGAAAAUUUUGCUUUAGUUUGUGGAUUUUAUACUGAAUUCUUUAUUAAAAAGUUAUUUUGAAUCAUUUUUACAAAUAAUGCUUAUAUCUUACGGUUAUUUUAGUUUAUUUUUUUCAUAAAUUAUUUAUAAAAAAAACUUUUAAAUUAUAAUUCAAAUUAAAAUAUCAUAAUUAGUUAUGAAUUGGAUUCGAUGAAAGGAAGAUGGGAAGAGGGGAAAUGGGUAACGGGAAAUUAAAGAGAGAUGAUGAUCUGCGCAUGGCUACCUGUAACAGAACAGAUGGAAAAAAGUCGAAACAACUCGGCUAGAAUUUAGACCGAGGAGCAUUUAGAGGAUAGAAUAUUUAAGUGAGAUGAAUUUUGUCUCACUUUUUUCUAUUAAACCGAGGAGCAUUUAGAGGAUAGAAUAUUUAGAGUCUCUAGCAAGAGCCAGCAAGGUAUCUGCUCGAAAAAACCAUUCAACAAGAGAUUGUUCUGCUAGGAAAACAUGAUAUCAGUAUCAAACUUUUGAGCAUAUAGUACAGCAUAAAGUCUCAGUCAUCUUGAAAUAUGUCGACAACAAGUCACAUAAGCAUAUGCAAUAGAAACAGAGCAUCAAACAGACAGAGAAAACAUACUGAUGCAGCAAAUACCGAAGUCGUAGAGCCAUUAGUUUGAGCAGAAAGGAAAAUGAAAGUCCACACAUUAAACUGUAAACAUUAUGCCCUUGUUUUUGAAGAUUUAGACACUUCAAAAGAAACACACGCUCCUAUUUUUGGGAAGUUCACAUAGCAAACACUUAGAUAAGUCGACAUCUUCUUUUGGUAAAUAAAACUGUUACAAUGUGAAUCCAAUUUCUAUCCCAUUGUUACAAAAGCUUCUUGUGAUGAUUUUGAGGGUGUAAAUUCCUUUGAUGGAAGAAAUUCUCUGUCUUGAAGAGGAGCUUUGUGGGACACUGAUGAAAACGUUUUUGUAUUUUAUUCAAGGUUUCUCAAAGUCACCGUCUUCUUUUCCAGUGCCUUGCUUAACUUGAAUUUUUGUAUCCAAUUUGGACACCAAGUAAGGAAUUUGCCAUGUUUUUCUAUUUCAUUUUCCAAACAAUUCACAGCUUCAAUUUUGUUGUUUGCAUCUUCCAGCCAUUUGCUGACAUCUUUCUCAAUUUCUUCAGCAUUCCUUUCAGCAGCUUUGACAUCAUUUUGUAUACGAUCUAGUGCGAAAGCCAGGAUCUGCUAUUGUUUAUUGAAUUCGACAAAAAAAUCAUUGAAACAGAACAUGUAACGAAACUUCCUUGUUGCUGGUACCAGCAAGAGUUCUGCUAUCUUAGAUAUAAUGGAUUCACCAACACUUUCGAUAGCCAUUUUCUGCCGGUCUGAAAUCAGAGACAUAGAUAACGACUGAGAGUGAGUCAUUAAGUAAAAUAGGCAUUGAGAGAAUGAGAAUAAAAAUUUAUUACCUUAAUUUGUGAAAAUAUGUGCGAAAAUCAUUGGUAUUGAUUGCUCAAUAAUAAAAUAUAGCGAGGAACGAAACGAGAAGUCCUUUAGCUCUAUAUGAACCCUUCUUCCAAAGCAAGAAGGGAAGGUAUAAAUAUAGCAAUAAAAAGGUAGAAAUAUACUUUAUUUAUUUUUGGAAAAAUUACCCUAGUAUUUUACAGUUUAAUUGAAUUAUAUUUGCUUAACGUGUUUGAAAAAAAUAUCUUCUAUCCUAAACUUUUAUGCGCUUGUAAUAAUUUACAUUCUAUAAUUAGCGUGAUAAAAAAAAAUCAACAGAAAUUAUCUGAUUAUUUACGAAUUUGCUAAUAUUUUUCAUUUAAUGACCAAGAAAAUCAUGUUGUGUUAAAAUAACAAAAAUACCAUAAAAGCACAAAUUUGGAUCUAUACAUUAACACAAAAGGAAAAAUAUCACCAUCCAGUUAAGUUAAAUAUCAAAUUUAUUGAAGUGAAACUUAUGAGGAAUAUAUUUCAUAUUCUGGAGAAUAUACGGAUGAGUCAAAGUCGCUGAAUCAAAAUUCAUGCUUUAGAGAGUUUUGAAUGCUUUACAGGAGCAGUGAAAUAUUGAAGUGAGGAGGGUUCAUAUUGAUUCCAUGAAGUUAAAAAACAGAUCAACUUUUCUUACCCUACUCACAAACAACGUUGGCAAAUUUACAGCAGAUCCCAUAGAAAUAACAUUCUUACACCCCAACAAGUCAGAUCCCAUUCUGCCACACCAGUUGCUGAGUUGCUCGGAGGCUUCAGUUUUGUACCAAACCCCCCCCAACCAGUCAUCAACUGGUGCACUUUGCUUUGCAGCCUUUGAGGAAGAAGUAAAAGCCUCCAAAAAUAUCAUCAUCAUUAUUAACAGAUGAACUAGACCCAUUUAACCCACCAAAAUAUAUCAUCAUUAAAAGAUGAUUUCGCACUCGUAUUUUUAGUACUGGAAAACACAAAAUCAUAACCGAAAUCAAAGCCAGUGCUAUUUUGUUUUUAAUUCUUUUGAAAAACAUCAAAAAUGUCAAAAUCAUCAUCAAAAUUCUAUAAUUUUGAAUUGCAAAAGAGAGUUUCGUGAUAAUCCAUGAAUGACCUUUCAAAAGAAUUGGAAUAGUAGGUUAAUUUAGAAGAAUAUGAGGAGGGUUUCUGGUUUGAUGAAGGGAAAUUCAAAUAACUAAACUGGCUAUAUGUUUCUUUGAGGAUGAAACAUGCGAGAGAUUCCACCACCCAGGACAAACAACUACAUUGAGAACAAAUCCGUGUGAGAAAUCAAUUUUAAUAGUAAUUUUUUAUUUUAAAAUAAAUCACAAAUUCUUAACUGUUUGUUACUGAAAAAGGAGAGAGGGAGAGAAAUGAUGUCUUUAGAUGUUUUUGAAUUAUAGGAUGCUAGGGUAAUUUUUUUAUAUAAAUAUAUAAAUAGAAGAUAGUGUUAAAAAAUCGAAGGGAGCUUUUACAGGAAUACUAUUAUCUAUUUUCUUUUCUCAAAAUCAAUAAAAAAGAAUUUCAUUGAGAGAAAAAUAGUAUAUUAUCAAUCUAAUGACUACAUUUAUAUUUACAAUCUUCCAAAGGAACAACUUUAUGUUAAGAAGAGGAGAAAUAUUAUAACAAAAUAAUAUUUAUUGAUUCAAACUAGUGUUAUAGACACUUGUGAGUAAAAGUGUCAAUUCCCAUUAAAAAAAAAAAUGCAAUUUGAUGACAUAAUUAAGGUAGUAAGACUAAUACAGAGACACUAACAAACAAAUAAAAAAAACAAUUUGUACAAAUACUCACCUAGCAAAGAGAGGGACGGAUAAAAGGUUCACCACGGUCAAUUUUGUUUUCUUUUUCUUGGUUUAAUUUUUUUUUUUUUGAAAAUGAUGAAUAAUAGAAAAAAAGAAGAAGAAGAAAAACUUGCAAAGAAGCACUAUUAAUGGAACGAGGUUAUGAUGAAAUCUCUGUGUCACACUCUCAAAUAAUAUACUUUAUCCAUUAUAUUUUGCAUUAUAUGUUCAUAACACAUCAAACUCCCAAUUUAGCAUUCUUAUGCAAACUACAACUGCAGAAGGCUUGUGCAUGUAGGGGAGAGGUAGGAAGAGCUGCAAAAGUUGUCGCAUCUAUUGUUAAGCUGUUCAGAGUUUCUAUCUCAUCAUCCAAUCUGCCAAACAUUUAAAAGACCAUGUGCAGGAAUUGAUCUCAAAGGGGUAGCACCUCAUAUGCCUACGGGAGAUACAUAACCAAUGAUGGUUGUUCUAUCCAUAAAAUUAGCUAACAUAUGACUAUUUUAUUCAAUUAACAUUUCAGGAUAUGAGUUCUCCUAGCCACACUCAAAAGCCCUAGCCACUAGAUGAACAAAGCACCUAAAAAAUUAAUCACCUACCUAAUCCAAUACAUGAAAAUUUGGUUGAAAUCUCCUACAAUGAAACGAGUUAAUUGAAUGCGAGAGUUCGAUAAAAGACUGGUUGUGCAAGGAGAAAAAAACAUUACUCUUAGUACACCAUAUUUAAGGUAUGCUACAUUAUUAUUUAAUUAUUUUUUAGGUCAUGCUUCUAUUCUUUGGUUUUUUCUAAGGUCUAAAAUAGAUCUUAUUUCGUGAUAGAGUCUCUAUUUUAUUGGAUGAAAUCCUAACCGUUUUGAAGUCUAAAUUAUAACAUCACAUUUAUUUCCAAAAUACAACUAAUUCCUAACAUAAGGAUUGUUAUGAUUUUUUUGGUAUUUUGAUCAAAUCCUAAUCGAUAAUCAUAAACUGAUUGUAAUAUUUAUUUUUGUAUUUUUAAAAAUAUCAUAAAGAUACAAUUUUUGUUUAUAUAUGAAAAUAAACGUGAAUUUUUAUUUUAAGAUUUGGUCGUAUGUAAAACAAAACAUUUUUUGAAGUGAAAAUUUAUUUUUUGAAUUAUCAAUUUAUUUUUUAUUUUUUUAAUCUUUUUAAGAUUUUAGAGAAAACCGGCUAUUUUGAUCAAGUUUAAUUUAGUUCUUUCAUUUUUUAUUUCUCUCAAUUACACCCUUGAUUGAUUUCAAAUUUUCAAUUUUAUGCAAUUUCAUCCUUGAAAAAUUCAAUACCAACCCUAGAUUUCAACCCGUUUUUCACAUUAGUCCUUAGUUUCAGAUUUAUACAAGUUGACCCUUAAGUGACCAUUAAAUUUUUAAUUUUCUUUAAUUUUAGCCCUGAUUUUAAUCAAUUGGGUCCUUAGAGUUCCGUGUCAUUUACAAAUUGGUCAUUGGUUGUGAAUUUCUUCAAUUUAACCAUUAACUGACCACAAAACUUUGAUUUUCUUGCGAUUUUACCAACGAUUUCAAUCAAUUGACUUGGUAAAAAUUAAAUUUGGUCUCCUAAAAUUCCAACCUUCUUAAUUAAGCCCGAAUUGGGCUCCCAAACUUAAUGUUUCACCAAUUAAGCCCCUAAUAAAAUUAAUUUGACUAAUUUAAAGUAUAAUUAAUCCUUGCACCUAAUUAAAUUCAUUAAUUGGACCCAAAUUAAUUCUUAAAUAUAAUUCAAUUUCAAUUUGGCCUAUGAUUAAAUCAAAUUGGCCUAUUAAAAAUCUAAUUAUGUUUUUAGGCUUGAUUUUUAAGUAGAUUUGUCCAAUAAUCAUUUAAUUUGUUCUUAAAUCUGCAUUGUCUCUUUAGUUUUGGGUGUAAUGGGGUACAUUUAGGCUCCUAAUAUCAUCCAAAGUUGUACCUUGAUUUGAAAUCCUCCCAGCUUGCUUUUGCCAAAAUGUGAAUCCUUAUUUUAUUUAUUCUAUUUUUUAUUUGGAAAAGAAAAGGGAUGAAUAUGAGGAAUAACCCAGAAAUAAGUUAUGACAAUGAGAACUCUACAUUCUAUGAUUUUAUUUUUGAAUAUAUUCUUAUACAUUUAUAAUUAUAAGAAACGUUAAAAGGUAUGGGUAAAAUAUUAUUCUCACACCACUAUUCACUCAGCGUUGUGGAUUGCCUUAAUGUUUUUUUCAUCCUGUUCUUAUAGGUCUAAAUUGAUAGACAAUUUUAGUAAAUUUGUUAAGGAAGAGCAAAAUUUAAACACAAAUAACCAAAGUGAAAGAAAAAAGCAUAAAAAAGGGUGGUAGUUUUCGGAUUGAAGCCAAAAGUUCACUUUGGUCCUCCUACUUUUUGAAUAAUAACUUUUUGGUCCUUUAAGUUUUCCCACAUUUUAUUUUUGGUCCAUAACUUCGUUUCUCGAUUUUUUUUCAUUCCUUAGUUUGAGAGAGGAGACAGAAAGUCAAUGGAUUACAAUGUUAGAGAAAGUCUCCGUUGACACUGAUUUUCACAACAAAAACAGUCGAUUUUGGUCUUAAUAGAUUCCAUUUGAUAAAGAGAGUUCUAAUGAGGUGUUUUUUGCUCUUGAAAUUUCCAAAAUGUUUAUGAUUUUUUGGGCUAAUUUAUUGGUUUAUUUACAUUAUAAGGAUCAUUUUUAGAUGUUUUGGUGUGAACUUUGUUUAAAUUUGCAUUCUUAGGCCAAAAAACACCCUACAUGAUUUUCUAGCCACCCCUUUAAUAGUAGAGAACUUGAAAGUCUCAGUAGGUGACAUGUUGUUUCCCUUUAUCUUUUUUCAAAAACAUUUGGGGCAUUUUCAAAUAAAAAAAUAAAGUUCACCGUAAACUAGCCCUUUUUAAAAUGAGCUUGAUGUGCGUGCUUGACUUGAUAGGCCUAAAAACGCCAACCUAUUUCUUUAUUUUUUUUAAUUAUGUUUUUUAAUUGAUAUUUUAUAUGUACUUUUUAAUGAAUUUUUGAAUUUAUAUUUGAAUUAAUGAUUUUUCUUUCUAAAUUUUUAGAUAGUUUAUUUAGACUUUUUUAAAUUGUGGUUAUCUUUUACUUAUCUUUUAUGUGUUUAAUAUCUCGAAGAAAUUAUUCUAAUUCAUCUAUAAUUUUUUUUAUGUUUUAUAUAAAUAAACUUUAUUUUCAUGAUGUGUUUAUAAAAAUAAGAAUUAUUUGUUCUUGGUAAGAAAAAAUGAUCUUUAAGAUUAAAAGAAGAAGAAGAAGAAGAAAAAAAAGAAAGGUGUGCAUUAAGGGAAAAGUUGAGGUUAAAUAUUAUAUUUAUCUAUCUUUUACUUUUAUGAAAAUGAUUAUUAUUUUAUUUUGUAAUUUGAUUGGCAUUAACAAUUCUUUAUUAGUUUAUUAGUUCAUAUUUUUUAAGAUUUAUUUUGUUUCACAUUUCUCAAUUAAGAGAAUCAUGAUACAAUGAAAUGCAUUUGAAACACCGUCCCAUUUUUCUACUACAUUAAAAAUUAACUUCCUACAUGUGGCAUGUUGCGUUAACAAUUGUUUUUGUAUUUAUUAACUUAUAUGAUCCCCAAUUUAUUUUAUUAUAUGUAAACAUCAACUUUUUUUAUGCACAAUUAUAUUUUUUCUCUCGAUAUCAAAAAAUAUAUUAACAACACUUAUACAUCCAUUCUUUUGUGUUGGAAAAUAUUAUCUAACCCAUAGCGAAGCGAGUUAAAUAAACAUGUCAAUACCUUUUUUUUUGUAUUUAUGAUUAGGUUUUUUUCUUUUGUUAAAAAUACAUUUGAAAAGCAUUCAUAUUUAUUUAUUUUGAUAAAAAACAUUUCUGACCCAUAGUAAAGUGCGAGUCAAAUAACUACUAAUAUGGCUAUAGUGAGUGUCUUUUUAGUAUAUGUGGAUGUAGGAAGCAAUGUGUUAUAUUAUUAGUUAGAUAUAACUUACCUAUUCAUUAUUAAAAAAAAAACAUACAAUAAAUAAAUAUAUUAAUAGAAACCUAAAAGAGAUCGACUGAAACAAUAUAGUCUCCGAGAGAAAAUAUUGUGAAUUCACGCAAUGUUUACUUUCUAUUUUUUUGUCUUUUUUUUAUUUAGUGAUCUUUGAUGAUGAAUUGAUUAAGAUUUGAGAUGGGAAAUGUAUUUUUAUUUGUUUUUUUUAUGGUUAUCUUGCUCUCAGUAUGUGAAAAUUCCUAUGCAAGGAAUCUUUAAGAUAUGAAGAUCUUAUGCUAUAGAAGCAGAGAGCAUAUUUGAAUGGAAAGCAAGAACUGCCUUCAGAAAUAAUAUUGCAGAAUUUCUUAUACAAUCGUACUUCUUUCUGUGUACAUGAAUGAGUAUAUAUAUACAUAUAUUCCAACUAACUAACUAACUUUCUUUAACUAAUUAACAGAAUAUAACUAACUUCUAACUGUUUUAACUGUCAGGAUUUAACAGUAAUGCAUAUAUAUUUAAUCUGCUGGGAUUUCUUCUGCGUCUGCAUGGUGCUGGGAUGUUUCUGUCGUUGUGUUGAUCUUUGGAGGAUUGUGUAGACUCCAAUAUCCCCCCUCAAGAUGAGAAUGGAUAUUUAUCAUUCCCAUCUUGGCAAGGAUAGGAUUAAGAGUGAGAUAUCCAAGGGGUUUGGUGAGGGCAUCGGCUAGUUGAAAUCUAGAAGGGAUAUGAAUGAUAGUGAGUAAUCCAUCUUGCAGUUUCUCACGGACAAGGUGACAGUCAAGCUGUAUAUGUUUGGUUCGUUCAUGAUGGACUGGGUUAGAAGCAAUCUCUGAGGCAGGUUUGCUGUCGGUAUAUAGCAGGGCUGGUUUGGAGUGAGAUAUAUGAAAAUCAUUCAACAAGUAAAGCAGCCAUUGCAGUUCACAUGAGGUAGUGGCCAAUGCACGAUAUUCUGCUUCUGCUGAGGAUCGACUAACAGUGGGUUGUUUCUUGGACUUCCAUGAGAUGAGUGAAUCGCCAAGAAAAACCAGGUAGCCGGUGACACUACGUCUAGUAUCAAUACAUCCUCCCCAGUCACUGUCAGAAUAAGCUUUCAAAUGGAAGGUAGAAUCAGCUUUAAGAAAUAUUCCUUGUCCAGGUGUGGCUUUGAGAUAUCGAAGGACUCUUUCGGCAGCUUGCAGAUGAAUUGUAUGAGGGUUGGACAUGAAUUGGCUUAGUGUUUGGAUUGCAUAGGACAAAUCUGGGCGUGUGAUGGUAAGGUAGAGAAGUCUGCCAAUUAACCGACGAUAAGAAGCAGGGUCUGACAGAGAGGGCUAUCAUCAUUAGCACUGAGUUUUAGUGAGGAUUCCAUAGGAAAUUUAGCUGGUUUAGCUCCAGAAAAACCAGUAUCGGUGAGGAUAUCUAAGGCAUACUUUCUCUGGCAAAGAACAAUCCCUGUUGCAGAUCUAGCAACUUCAAUGCCUAGAAAGUACUUAAGGUGGCCUAAGUCUUUGAUAGGAAAUGUGGUGCGAAGGAACUGUUUAACUUGGUGGAUUGCAGUGAGAGUAUUUGAGGUGAUGAUAACAUCAUCAACAUAUAUUAAAACUGCGAUGAAUGUGGCUGUAGUUUUUCUGAUGAAGAGGCUUGAAUCAGAUUUGGCUUGGAUGAAACCAAAUUUUAAUAGAGAGGUGGACAGUUUGGAAAACCAUUGUCGGGAAGCUUGUUUCAGGCCAUAUAUGCUCUUUUUGAGUUGACAAACUCGAUGAUCAUGGGGAGUGGAGUAACCAGGAGGUAAUUGCAUAUAGACUUCCUCAUGUAAAUCUCCAUGCAAGAAGGCGUUGUCUACAUCCAGUUGAUGUAGAUGCCAGUUGUUAACAGCCGCAAUGGUGAGAAAAACUCUGACUGUUGUCAUUUUGGCUACAGGGGAAUAAGUGUCAAAGAAAUCAAUGCCUUCUUGUUGAGUGUAUCCCUUAGCUACUAACCUGGCUUUGUAACGUUCGACUUUGCCAUUGCUUGAAAUUUGACUUUGUAAAUCCACUUGCAGCCAAUUGCAGAUUUGUUGGGAGGCAGAGGAACUAAAUCCCAGGUUUGGUUGUGUUCGAGAGCUAAAAUUUCAUUAGUCAUGGCUUGUUGCCAAUGUGGAAUGGUGCUGGCUUGUUUGUAAGUUUUUGGUUCAAAAAUUAAGGAAACAGAAGAAGUGAAAGCACGGUGUGGUGAGGAUAAUUGAGAAGUAGAUAAGAAGGAGAAGAGUGAGUGUGGCUUACCAGAAAUGGAGAUAGGGUCUGCUGAAGGAAUCUGAGCCAUGGUGCCACAAUAGUACUGUUGUAAAUAAUGAGGGGGUUGUGUAGUACGUGUAGACCUUCUAAGAUGAGAAAUAUCAUUUGAAGGUAAGGUAGAAUUGGUGGGAACAGGAGGUUGUAAAGGCAAUGUGGGUGAGGAAGUGGAAUGGUUUGGAGGAGGUUGGGAUGUUUGGCUAGGGAAAGGGGCAAAGACCUGGGGAAAAUCUGGAAAUACUAGGGGUGUAUGAACUGUUUUUGGUAUGGAGGGGAAUAUGGAUUCAUGAAAGAUGACAUUACGAGAUACAAAUGUUCUGCAUGUGUGUAAGUCAAGGACUUUGUAACCUUUGAUAUGUGGAGGAUAGCCAAGAAAAAGGCAUUUGGUGGCCCGUGGGUGAAAUUUGCCUCUGUUGUGGGUGAGGGUGCUGGCAAAGCAUAAGCAACCAAAAACUUUGAGGUGUUUGUAAGUUGGUGGUUUGUUGAAUAGGAGCUGAUAUGGUGUUUGUUUUUGAAGAAGGAUGGAAGGUGUGCGAUUAAUAAUGUGGGUGGAGGUGAGGAUGCAAUCGGUCCAGUAAGUUAAGGGGAGUUUGGUUUGAAACAUGAGAGCUCUUGCUACAUUGAGUAGAUGCUGAUGUUUCCUUUCAACUUUGCCAUUUUGUUCAGGUGUCUCAACGCAUGUUGUUUGAUGAAUAAUGCCAUGGUCUUGGUAAAAAGUUGGCAUGUUAAACUCUUGUCCAUUGUCUGUCCUGAUAGUUUUAAUGCUGGUAGUGAAUUGAUUAUGAACAUAGGUGAGAAAGUUGCUUAGAAGACCUCUAGUAUCAGAUUUUGAUUUCAUUAAGAACAGCCAAGUGAAUCUACUGUAAUCAUCUACAACAGUAAGAAAAAAUUGAUGACCAGUGUAUGAAGUAACAGAAAAGGGUCCCCAAAUGUCAAUGUGGACCAACUGAAAAGGCUGUGUAGAUGUAUGCAUGGAUAAUGGGAAGGGCAGCCGUUUUUGUUUGGCUAAGGGGCAAAUGUCACAAAUGGAGUUUCCAGGGGAAUUGACUGAAGGAUCUAUUUUGUGAAGAAUGUUGAUUUUGGAAGUAGGAAUGUGUCCUAAACGAAAAUGCCAAAGAUCAGUGGUGGCAGUACAAGAUUGAAUUAAUGCUGUGGAAGGUGGACAUUCUGUAGAUUGAUCAGUAGGUUUGUGGAGAUGGUAUAAGCCAGAUUCAACUUCAGCAUGCCCAAUCGUCCUCCAUUUGUUGAGGUCCUGCAGGAAGCAUUUUGUGUGAAGAAAGAACAAGCCAACAGUGUUAUCAGCAGUUAGUUUUGAAACAGAAAUAAGAUUAAUAUGGAAAGAUGGUACAUAAAGGGCAUUGUGUAAGGUUAUAUCAGGUGAAAACUGAACCUUCCCUGAAAAAAGAAUAGGCACUUUGUGGCCAUUUGGCAGAUGAACCUGACUUUGUGUUGUGGGCAGAACAAUGGAUUCGAAAAGAUUGGGGCUACAGAUCAUGUGAUCUGUUGCUCCUGUAUCAAGAAUCCAGGUAAAUUUGUUCUGAGGUGAAGAACUGGUAUGGCAUGAAAAGGAUAUACCUGAGGCAAUUACUUCUUUGGCAGUGCUGGUUAUCUUGGAAUUGGAAAUGCUAUUUGCAAGGGUAAGUAAGUUCUGCAUUUGCUCUUGGGAGAAAGUGAUGCUGGGAGUUUCUUGAUGUUGAUCAAGAACAGUAGAGUUAUGUGCAGUAGGCAGUCUUUGAUGAGUCCUGUUUGCAGGUGUCAUAGCAGCAAAUCUUUUUCCUUUUGGCCCCUUCCAUCCAGGGGGAUAUCCAAUAAUCUGAAAGCAUUUAUCAACUAAAUGGCCUGGAUAUCCACAGUGAGAGCAAGUUACCUCAGAUUUUCCUUUUUGUCUAGUAAAUCGAGUCACAUAUGUUGAGCCUGUUCUUGGAUUUGGAUUAUGAUAUUGUGCAGCAGCCAGAGCAUGUGAAUCAACAGGAAUACCUACCAUAUUCGUCAGGGUCCUUUGGCUUUCUUCUUGUAAAAGUAAAGAAAAUACUUUUCCCAUGGAUGGUAAGGGAUUUUGAAGCAGUAGUUGGCUUCUAACUGCAGAGAAGGAAUCAUGGAGCCCUACCAGAAAUUUCAUUACAUAAUCAGAUUGUUGUCGAUCUGUGAGGAGUUUCAGAAUGUUGCAAGAACAUGAAUCAAAGUUUCCACAUUUGCAGGUUGGUAUUGGACGAUAGCUGAUGUAUUCAUCCCAUAGAGCUUUGAAUUCACUAAAGUAAUCUGUGAUAUUUUUUGAGUUUUGAGAGAUAGAACUUAAAGAUUUCUCCAAACUGAAGACUCUUGGGCCAUCACUUUUCAGGUAUCUUACCCUCAAUUCUUCCCAAAUUUCGAAGGCUGUUGUGAAGUAAAGAAGACUGCUGCGAAUAUCUUUAGUGAUGGAAUUCAUUAGCCAUGAUAGAACUAGAUUAUUUGAUCGUAGCCAUGCCACCUGAAGAGUUUGAUUGUUGGUGAUGGGUUGAGAUAAAGAACCAUCAAUGAAAGCAAUCUUGUUUUUCACAGUUAAAGCAAUUUUCAUGGAUCUGCUCCAUGCAAUGUAAUUGUCACCAGUGAAGAUUUCUGAAACCAGUAAUGCACCGGGAUUAUCAGAAGGGUGAAGGUAGUAACAGCUAGAAGAAUCAUCAGAUAGAUUCAUAACAGUGGUGUUGAAUGAAUCAUUGUGGGCUGUAGAAGCAUUUCCUUCAAAGUGAUCAGACAUUUUUGUAAAGUCUGUGAGGGAUUUCAAGAAGAUGAUGAAGGAGAGGAUUUUUGAAUCUUUCUGUUGAUGAGAAACAGAUUAUUUUGCAGAGAAGAAAAGAAACAAAUUUUAGUAGUUUAUGCUCUGAUACCAUGUGAAAAUUCCUACGCAAGGAAUCUUUAAGAUAUGAAGAUCUUAUGCUAUAGAAGCAGAGAGCAGAUUUGAAUGGAAAGCAAGAACUGCCUUCAGAAAUAAUAUUGCAGAAUUUCUUAUACAAUCGUACUUCUUUCUGUGUACAUGAAUGAGUAUAUAUAUACAUAUAUUCCAACUAACUAACUAACUUUCUUUAACUAAUUAACAGAAUAUAACUAACUUCUAACUGUUUUAACUGUCAGGAUUUAACAGUAAUGCAUAUAUAUUUAAUCUGCUGGGAUUUCUUCUGCGUCUGCAUGGUGCUGGGAUGUUUCUGUCGUUGUGUUGAUCUUUGGAGGAUUGUGUAGACUCCAAUACAGUAAAACAUCUUGAUAUUAGAAUGAUGCUUAAAUUCACAAAAAAUAAAAAAUUAUUGUUUGUAAGAAAUUGAAAAUGAGAAGAUCAAAAUUCAAACAAAUAAAAAACCAAUUCUUCUAACUUCUCCAGCAAUGUGAAGCCAAUUUGUAUCAAUGGAACAUUUGGAAUUAUUUGAAAAAUAAAUGCCCAAAUAUAUUCACAUGCUCAUACAAUAACAUUUUUAAUAAUGCAUUAUGCACUAGAAACAGAACAUCAAAUUGACAGAGAAAACAUGCUGAUGCAGAAAAAACUCGAUAAUUGUUCUAGCGACAACUCCUUUAGAUUAGGAAGCACUAUCUCCUUCUCAACAAUUCUUCUUCUUCUUCUUUUACUUCUUUCCACCCGUUAUUUCUGGUCCACUCUCUAUUAAUGCUUGAAUCUUCAGCUACUUCAGAUACCUGUAAACCAAUUCAAGCAUGGCAUGCUCAUUUUAACUUGUAAAUCUUAUUAUUGAGCGAAACAAGAGACAAACACACUAAAAGAGAGGCAAGAAAUCAAGUCAAAUCAGCAGCACCUCUGAUUGAGCACUCAUUGUGUUAAAGAUUAUACAAAACACACAUGCUAAUCAUCCGCUGCAGAUAAAGGAAACCAUGUAUGGUGCAUACAUAUCCUCUGAAGACUCCCUGUCAACAUACAUAUCCUCUGAAGACUCCCUGUCAACAUACAAUUCCAGCUGAAACAAACUUCUAGUCAUUGUAUUUAUAUUACAUACAACUUGUAAUCUAUCUUAUAAAAAGGAACUCACAUUAAUAAAGAAAGUAUGUUCAGCAAUUUUCUAUAUGGUAUCAGAGCCUACCCUUUCUCUCACGAGACUCUCCAAUAUGGCCUCAACUACAGAUGAUGUCAUCAUAAACUCUGAAACUCACAGCAAUGGUGAUACUCACCUCAUUGCAUUCAAUGCUAGUUCUCAACUUCCCCUGAAACUGACACCCUCGAAUUUUCCCUCCUGGCGUGCUCAACUAAUGUCCUUGCUCAUAGGUUACAACCUACAAGGACAUAUUGAUGGAACCACUAGUUGUCCAUCUCAAACAUUACAUGAUCCAAAUACUGGAUUAUCUACUGCAGGUGAUUCAAAUCCUGCUUUCUGGCGCUGGUUUCGGCAAGAUAACUUGCUCCUUCAUGCAAUCCUUGCAUCUGUUUCAGAACCAGUUUUGCCAUUAAUCGCCACUUCCACCACCGCUCGUGAUGCAUGGGUCAAAAUACAACGAUUGUAUGCAAAUCGAUCACGCACGCGUGUCAUGCAACUCAAGGAAGAGUUGACACUUAUACAAAGAGGAAGCCAGUCAGUUUCAGAUUACCUCAACACUGUCAAAAGGCUAGUUGAUGAACUCACUGUCAUUGAUACUCCCAUAUGCAUAGAUGACAUUACGUUAUAUAUUCUCAAUGGAAUAGGAGCAGAAUUUCUUGAUAUAGCAACCAUGAUACGAACCAGAGAAACAUCCUUCACAUUUGAGGAACUCCAUGAUGUAUUAAUCAGUCAUGAAAAUUAUCUCAAGCGCAUUGAUGUCUCCAACUCCAGAUUAAUAGCCACUGUUAAUGCAGCUCAACACAGCAGAUACUUCAAACCAGGACGCUCUUCAAACCCUCCUACUGGUUACUACAGAUCCAACCAACGAAGAUACGUUCCCAGAGACAAAUCCAGUCAGCCUCCACUAAUUUGUCAACUAUGUGAUACCAAAGGACACUCAGCCAAAACAUGUCGCAAGGUAUCAAGGCCAAAAACUGCAAAUUGUGCAGCUACAAAUGGCACACAGGAGAAGAAAUGGCUCAUGGACUCAGCAGCAUCACAUCACAUCACCUCUGAUCUCACAAACCUCUCAAUUCACUCUGAAUACGAUGGAACAGAUGAAGUAGUCAUCGGUGAUGGCUCAGGUUUGAAAGUAACACAUGUUGGCUCCAUGUCAUUGAGCUCAUUGUCAAAAUCCUUUCUUCUGCAUAAUACUCUCUGUGUCCCAAACAUACACAAGAAUUUAGUCUCUGUUCAUAACUUUACCCGUUCAAAUAAUGUCUACAUAGAAUUUCAUCCAUUCUAUUUUCUUAUGAAGGAUCAGAACACGGGGACAACAAUACUUCGCGGUGACUGCCAGGAUGGUGUCUAUCCACUGCCACAACUAUCAUCAAUCAAGAAGCCUUCAGCACUUGCACUUGUUGGUGAAAGAACCUCCCUUGAUCGUUGGCACACACAGGCUUGGUCACCCCUCCACCAAAAUCUGUCGUUCCCUAAUUAGUCGGUUUUCCCUUCCAGUUCUAGGCUCCACCCAAACUUUGUCAUCUCUGUGUUCAGCUUGUCAAAGCAAUAAAAGUCAUCAAUUAUCGUUUUCAAAAACAUCACUCACAAGCACACAUCCUCUACAAAAUAUCUACACAGAUAUAUGGGGACCAGCAGCUUCAACCUCCAUCGAUGGUUAUCGAUAUUAUGUUUUAUUUGUGGACCACUUCACAAAGUACUGCUGGUUCUUUCCAAUUCAUCACAAAAAUGAUGUUCGUCCCAUUUUCAUUCAAUUAAAAGGAUUUGUUGAAAAACAGUUUGGUUUUCAAGUUAAAAAUCUAUACUCUGACAAUGGCGGUGAGUACCAGAGUUUGCGUCAGUAUCUAUCAGAUCAGUCUAUAAAUAUGCUCACCACUGCUCCACACACACCACAACAAAAUGGACAAGUGAACGAUGACAUCGUCACAUUGUUGAGACAGGUCUCACAUUGCUUCAUCAAGCACAUCUUCUAGUGUCCUACUGGACACAUGCCUUUCAAACUACAGUUUAUCUAAUUAACCGCAUGCCAACUUCAAUUCUUCAAAACAAAAGUCGUUUGAAAGCAUCUUUGGUCGUCAACCAAAUUAUCACAAACUGCGCACCUUUGGGUGCCAGUGUUUUCCAUGGCUCAAACCUUACAAUCACAACAAGCUGCAACCAAAGUCCAAAGCAUGCAUUUUUCUUGGUUACUCAAGCACUCAAAACAAUAUAAAUGCAUGGACAUUCACUCAUCCCGGAUUUACAUCUCAAAACAUGUUGUCUUUGAUGAAACUGUUUUUCCCUACUCUGCCUCCACUAGUGUGUCAUCACCAUCACAUGCAGGGAAUCCCACAAUCAUCUCUACCAUCCCGGUGGUUCCACCCUCAAGAAGAUACCAUCCAGGCAAUCAUCAGAGACACCUGUUGCUCCUGUUGUUCCUCCAACUCACCACCAACAUAGAUUCUGAUCCACCCCCUGCACCAUCAGAAACAGGUUAGUAAUACAGCCACCAUUGUCACAAUCACCCACAAGACAACAUAACAUGAUCACAAGAUCCAUGAACAACAUCUAUAAGCCAAAACAAAUCCACCUCACCACCAAACACCCCCUCCCACAACCCAUAGAACCAACAUGUGUCUCUCAAGCCCUGGAAGAUAAAAAAUGGCGACAUGCCAUGUCUGAAGAGUUCAACGCCUUGGUUAAACAUGGCACCUGGGAACUGGUUCCAUCCAAGCCAUCCAUCAUUCCUGUAGGUUGCAGGUGGUUCUUUCGUAUUAAACACAAUGCUGAUGGCACAAUAUCAAGAUACAAAGCAUGUCUGGUAGCUAAAGGAUAUCAUCAACGUUAUGGCCUUGAUUACAAUAAGACCUUCAGUCCAGUCGUCAAACCAGUAACAAUCAGAACUGUGUUAUCCAUUGUUGUUCAACAUCGCUGGUGCAUGAAACAACUGGACGUAAAUAAUGCAUUCCUUCAUGGGUCCUUACAAGAAGAUGUUUACAUGAUUCAGCCCCCAGGAUUUGUCGACUCCACAGUGCCCACCCACAUCUACAAACUACACAAAUCCAUCUAUGGCUUAAAACAGGCACCACGUGCCUGGUAUGACAAACUCAGCUCCUUUCUUCUGACACUAGGAUUCAAGCAAUCAAAGUCUGACUCCCUCCUUGUUUAUCUACUCAAAGCAGGACAUCAUCUUAUUUCUACUGGUAUAUGUUGAUGAUGUGUUACUCACAGGUACUGAUUCCCAGGUUAUGGCCGACAUAAUACGUCAACUUGGUGCCCAAGUCUCACUAAAGGACCUUGGUGACCUGCACUAUUUUAUUGGGAUCGAAGUGCAGCCAACUCGUGAGGGAAUCUUCCUAUCUCAACAAAAAUACAUCAGAGAUCUCCUCAAGAGAACUAACAUGGAAGGAGCCAGACCAAUUCACACACCGAUGUCCACCAAACCAACACUUCAACUCAAUGAUGGUCAUCCCCUUGCAGACCAGAAACAAUAUCGAAGUGUCAUAGGAGCCCUACAGUACCUAGCCAUCACCAGACCAGACAUCGUUUUUGCUGUGAAUAAACUUGCUCAAUUCAUGCACCAACCCAGUCAACUUCACUGGACUUCAGCAAAACAGGUAUUUCGGUAUCUCAAAGGCACAAUCACUCAUGAGAUAUCAUUAACGCCCUCUGUCAAUCCUCAUCUCUCCGGAUACUCAGAUGCAGACUGGGGCAUUGAUCCAGAAAAACAGACACUCUACCUCUGCCUAUCUCAUAUUCUUUGGCAACUGUCCAAUCUCAUGGAGCACAAGGAAACAACAUUCAGUUGCCAGAUCCUCCACAGAGGCCGAAUAUAGGGCCCUAGCCUCAACAACUUCAGAACUCAUAUGGAUUCACAAUUUACUUCAUGAACUGGGAAUCAAGAUGUCCCAACGUCCUAGCAUAUUCUGUGAUAACAUUGGAGCUACUCAACUGAGUCAAAAUCCAGUACUGCACUCUCGCAUGAAACACAUCGCCAUUGAUCUGCACUUUGUUCGCGAUCUGGUAAAGAAAGGCGUUUUAGAUGUCUCCCAUGUCAGUACCCAUGACCAACUUGCUGACUUCCUCACUAAACCCCUUCCACGUAUCAAGUUUCAAGCUAUGGUAAACAAGAUAGGCUUACUCAUCAGCCCGCCUAUCUUGAGGGAGCGUGUUAAAGAUUAUACAAAACACACAUGCUAAUCAUCCGCUGCAGAUAAAGGAAACCAUGUAUGGUGCAUACAUAUCCUCUGAAGACUCCCUGUCAACAUACAAUUCCAGCUGAAACAAACUUCUAGUCAUUGUAUUUAUAUUACAUACAACUUGUAAUCUAUCCUAUAAAAAGGAACUCACAUUAAUAAAGAAAGUAUGUUCAACAAUUUUCUAUACAUUGAACCAUCUGGUGUAGUAGCAAAUUUUGUGGUAAGCUUUGGACAUUGAUGGACCUUCAACUUCUCCAAACGAGGGAAUAAGAAAUAAUCACAUCAUCCGAAACUAAAACAGACAAUACUUGAUAAUUGUUCUAGCGACAACUCCUUUAGAUUAGGAAGCACUAUCUCCUUCUCAACGUUGAUAGGUGAAGCUUGAUCAUUGAAGACAUAUUCCAGUUUACCACACUCUUUUAUGAUGAUAGUUUUUAAUUUUGGGAAGCAAGGAGAUUCUGGAAUUAUUUCCCUUUCACCAUCCUUUUCUCUGAUAAUAUGCUUCAAUUCACCCCAUUUACUUAUCUCAAGUCUUUUUAGCUUUGGCAGACUUUGAGCGAGGGAUGGUGUAAAGAUAAAUGUCAGUUUGUCGAGAUAAUCCAACUUCAGAUGAGCAAGACUUUGGAGGCUGACAUUCCUGGUGGGACCCUUCCAUAUACAUUUGAGCUCAGGUAACCUUUGCAGCUGUAACUCUGUUAAAGAUGACAGCAGCUCCUUCUCCUCACAGCGUCCUUCAUCAGGCAGCUCACCUAAUUCAAAUACCUCUUCCAAUGAUUCGCAGUCCUCAAUUUCCACCUCCCAUAGAUUUUUCAAAGCUUGCAGCAAUUUUGCUGGAAAUGGAGUGCGAACAUCCCCACAAUCGUGCACUCGUACAAUUUCUAAUCUUUGUAAGAAGCCGUUUUGCUGUCCAUGGAUGACCAUCUUAUCAGAGAACAAUAUUAUAUUUUUUCACUCUCAUAAAAACAAUUUAUAUGAUGUAUAAAUAGGAGAAAAAAAGGAUUAAAUACUUCUUAGAGAUUACAUAUUAUUAUUUCAGUUUUUUUCUUAAUUAGAGAUAAGUUGAAUAAUAAUUAGAUUUUUGCGAAAAAAGGUUAAAACAACGCCUAAUAAUUAGUUUCAUGUAAAAAAUAAAAAUAAAAAUAAAAAUAGUAACUAAUAUUUUUAUUUUAGUUAUAAAGUUAAUGAAUUUUUAAAGAUAUUUUAAUUGAAUUAAAUAUUUGAACACAAAUUAAGCUAAUAUGAUUUCUAUGAUUAAUUGUUGGUAUUAAGUUUCUUAUAUUUAUAUAUGUUUAGAUAAAACAAAAAAAUAAGCAGUGACGAAGAAAGAAUAAAUCUAACAGAUAAUAUAAAUUACAUAAACGAUGAGGCAGUUAAAUCUAACAGAUAAUAUAUUUCAAAUGAGGCAGUUAUAUCUAACAGAUAAUAUGUUCUUCCAUAUGAUUAAUUUUAAUUAACGCAAACAACAAUGAGGCAGUUAAGUUUCUUAUAUUUAUAUAUGUUUAGAUAAAAAAAAAAUCAUAAAAAAUAAAAAUAAGCAUUUAUCAAUUACUUUACUUUUAGAAAUUGGGAGGAAGAAAGAAUAAAUUAUCGCAAUUGACAAUUUAAAUUAGUGGAGAAAUAUAAAGUACGUACUUGUAGCUGUGCCAACCAAUUACCCACUUCUUCGUGGCCUUUAAUGGUUAGUUGUUGCAAAGGCAAUUGAGCAUCAAAAUUCGUUGGACCUAAAAAGCUGUAAUUUGAUUGGAGCCGAAGAGACAAUUCUCUUAGCCGAGGGAACUUGAUGAUGCCAUCUCUGGGGAGUGCAUCUCCUUCUCCACCGUAAAAUAUUUGCUUUAAAUUGUCAGCACGAUCAAUCGUCAUCUGUUCCAGGUUCGUAAGACUUGGAGACAUGGAGACAGGGAAGAAAUAUUCCAGUGAAAAACAGAGAGAUAUAUAGAGAGUUUUUAAUUUUGGAAAGCAAGGAGACUCUGGAAUUAUUUCCCUUUCACCAUCCUCUUCUCUGAUAAUAUGCUUCAAUCUAUGACAAUCUUCUAUGUAAAGCUGUUCUUGCUUUGGUAGAUUUCGAGCGAGGGACGGUGUGAAGAUAAAUGUCAGUUUGUGGAGAUACGAAACUUUCAGAUGAACAAGAUUUUCGAGGCUGACAUUUCUGGUGGGCCCCUUCCAUAUGCAUUUGAGCUGGGGUAACUCUGACAGCUGUUAAAGAUGACAGCAGCGGCAGCUCCUUCUCCUCACUGCUUCCUUCAUCAGCCUCACCCAAUUCAAAUACCUCUUCCAAUGAUUCACCGCUGUAAACAAUCACCUCCUUUAGAUUUUUUAAACCUUGCUCAAAUUCUAAUUUAUGUAAAAACAAUUGCUCAAAUGUCUUCGCAUUGAAGGAUGUACCAUCCAAACUUAAUCUUGUCGAGGAUGGGUAUUGUCCUUCAUCUAAUGAUAUGUGCCCAUACCCUAUUAUUAUAUGAUAUUUGCGCAAGCUAACUGGAAAAACAAAAUCUCUGGGAAUGCAUUCAACCUUCGGUAUCCACAAUGAUAAUACGGCUAACUGAGAUACCGAAUGCAUUCAUUCCUCCAGUGCUGUCACAUCCAACAACAUCCCAUCCAUGAAAGCUUUGAUCCCCGAUCAACAGCUGUUCUAACUUCUUCAACCUUCCAAUCAAAUUCACAGGGAUCCUUCUUAGGCUUUCACAACGUGUCACAUCCAACAACCUUAACUCCUUGAGCUCUCCUAUUUCAUCAGGUAAUUCUUCAAUGGAUGAGCACCGCUUAAGACCAAGAAUCCUAAGUCUCUGCAGCUUUCUCAACCAACGAUUGAAGUUUCGUUGAGAGUUCAAGUGAUUGCAACGACAAACACCCUCCCUCCAGAGACAAAACUUCAAUUUCUCUCAUCCCUUCAAAGAACCUCUGAGGAACAUUCAAACCAUAAGCCACUUCUAAUAAUAGAACUUUGAGCCGUGGACAUACCAAUCCUUCAGGAAGUUCAGCUAGUUGAUUGCCCAUUAACGAAAUUGUUGUACAACCUUCAAAGCUUUUACCCGUCCAUUGCCACUUCUCUAACCCUAAGCCAGCCUUUACCAUGAAUCCAUAUUCUUCUGAUGAUGCUAUCUGAAUAGCAAAGUCACGAACAAGGUCAUGCAUUCUCACAUGUUCUUCAGUUUCAGAGCCCAACAGCAUGCAACAAUCUUUGAGGUUUUCGAUGGCCACAGAAACUCGUUUCCUUGCAUCUUCAAUGGGCUCCGCAUCUUGAUGUAACCCAUAGCCAACUGCAUAUCUCGUCAAGUCCUCGAUUGGAAUGUCAUAGUCUUCUGGAAAUAAACAGCAUAGCACGAAACAUGACUUGGUUUCCUCGAGCUUCAAAUAAUCAUAGCUCAACUUAAGACAUGUAUAAGCAUUAUUUUUUUCGUCAAUUUGUUCCAUGCGCGCAAAUUGAGAUUCUUUGAGCUGUCUAGACGCUGAUUCCCACUGAAGUGCAGAUGCAUCUCUUAGAGCCCUUCCCACUGUCACAAGUGCUAUAGGCAAGCCUUGGCAUUCUCUCGCAACCUCCCUUGCCACUGUGUUCAAGGUAGAGUUCCCAUCACGUAAACCUGCAUUGAUUCUGAAUAAAUCCCAUGCUUCUUUUUCAGGUAAGGGACUUAACGACACUCUUUGCUGGCACACCAUUGAAGAACAUACGCCUUGACGACGUGUUGUUAGAAGAAUUUUACAACCCCCGUGAUCAACACCAAAUGGGAUCCCUAUCUCUUUCAAGUCAAUAUAUUCCCAAACAUCAUCUAGGAUUAUAAGCAUCUUCUCCACUUCCUUCAGUCUCUGCCAUAAUCGACCUGCUCUCCCUUCUUUACUCUUUUCUUCAAUUUUCAAACCUAACAUAUCUGCCAUUCGGUUCUGAAUGUCUAUGACAUUUGGAUUCUGCGACACCGUAGCCAUCAAAAGUUCAUCAACCAGCUGCAACUCUUUGGCUCUCUUGCCUACUUCUUUCACCACGGUGGUUUUACCCACCCCUCCCAUGCCGUACAGUCCGAUCAUAUUGGCGUUGUCAUCUUUGAGAGCUUUCAUAAUCUGUUCGAAAGCUUCUUUUGAAGAUUCUGAGGGCGUGAAUUCCUUUGAUGGGAGAAAUUCUAUGGGCUGAGGAGGAGCUUUGUGGGCAACUUUUGUAAACUUUGUUUCUAAAAGUUUUCUGAAAGUCUCCGACUUCUUGGCCAGUGCCUUGCUUAACUUGAAUUGUCGCAUGCAGUUUGGACACCAAGUAAAGCAUUUGCCAUUUUUUCCUAUUUCAUUUUCCAAAUGACUCACAUCUUCAUGAUCAAUUGCUUUGGUUGCAUCUUCCAGCCACUUUUUGACACCUUUCUUAAUUUCUUCAGCAUUCCUUUCAGCAGCUUCGACAUCUUUUUGCAGACCAUCUAGUGCUAAAGCAAGGUUCUCCUUUCGUUCAUAGAAUUCUUCAACAAAAUUGUUGAAACAGAACAUGUAACGGAACUGCAUUCCUACUGGUUCCACCAUGAGUUCUGCUAUCUUAGAUAUAAUGGAUCCACCCACACUUUCGAUAUCCAUUUUCCACCGACCUGAAAAUCAGAGAAAUAAGGAUACACAUAACGUGAGAGUGAGUCACUACAAGUAAAACAGGCGCAGAGAGAAUGGGAAUAGGAAUUUCAUUACCUUAAUUUGGGAAAAUAUGUGAGAAAAGCACUGGCAAUCAAUGAAAUAGCGGGAGGAAGAAAAGGAGAAGGCCUCUAGCUCUGUAUGGAAUCCAGCUUCAAAAGCAACAAGGCAAGGUUCAAACUGACACUUGUGAGUUGAAGUAGUAAUUCCCAUUAAAAAUGCAUCUGGAUGACAUAAUUAAGAUAAUAUAGAGACAGUGACAGAGAAAUAAAGAAAUGAAAGGUUCAGGAUAAUAACAUAGACGCUUCCCUGGAUGAUACCAGCUCGCUUCCAACAACAGAUAUAAUUAACCUAAGCUAUGAUCGUUUUUUUUUUAGUUUUCUUUUCUUUUGUUUUUUUUUAAAAAAAACAGAUCAACAAGGGAAAAGACUUGCAAAGAAGUAGAAUUACUGGAACGAACUCAACAAAGAAUCAAACUCAAAAAAAUAAAAGUAAUUGUCUAUGAGAAGCAUUUCUGUGUCACACACUCAAGUAAUUUGAUUGACCUAUUACAUUAUACAAAUUAAUAAUAAUAAUAAUAAUAAUAAUAAUAGUAGUAAUAAUAAUAAAAGAACUAGGUUUUUGAUGGCAUCCGGAGUGCUGUAACUUUCAAAUAAAGAGGCUUGUGCAUGUGGUGUUAUGCUGUUCAUGUAGGCUAAGAUCUCCUAUGAAUACAAUUGUAAAAUCAUACAAUUGUAUUCUUUUUAUUAAGCUGCAAAUUUAUGCAGCUUUAGCAUGAUAUAAGAGCAGGUUCUUACCUCUUGAAGUCUGCUGCAUAAACCUAUCAGCAGAAGAUCCUGAACCGAUCCCAAAUCACAGCUUCAAUCCCCACCACAACCAAUCUCCUCUUUCCCGUAGUCUUCCGUCCUCAAUUGGGAAAGGAUCCAAAAUCAACAACCCGUCCGGGAGAUUGUUUGUGUGAAAAGAAACGGCUGAAAGAUGAAAUGUGAAGGUUAUGGUGAGAAAUUAAAUGACAAACUUACUUUGUCCUACUAAUGCUUUUGCUUUCAUUGUUUCGAAAGUAAAAGAGACAUAAACACAAUCAUUUCCUUCCUUUAACUUUCCACUUCUUAGAGGGGCCAGUUUUUCUUUUCCUUUCUUUUUAAAAUCUUAUGCCUUGGGUGAGGAAAUUAGUGGAGCAUUAGACUUUAUAAAAGACAACAAAAAGAAGCAAUGUCUGAUCAUCUUUUGAUAUGGUGGUUUUCCAUGAUCAGUUUGUUGAUGAAGAUAUCGAAAGAUUCGAGUCUCCGUUCUAGCUAAUGUUGGAUGCAAGGCUGAAAGUUGAGAUUAAUUAAUUAUUUUUAUCAAAUUAUAGAGACUAAAUUAUAAUUGAAUAAGUGUUUGUGUGGACACUAAAAGAUUUAACAGUUUUACCGACGGAAAUAUUUCGUCGGUGUGUGAUUAGGAGUUCGUCCGUAAAUUAUUUACCAACUAUAUUACCGACGGAAUGCUUCCAUCAGCUUUCCUUUCAUCGGUGAUUUCACAUUCCGUCGCUAUAUCGGUCAGAAAAACAAAAAAAUCAUUUGCCGACGGUUUUACAAACGGAAUUCGCGCGCUAAAAAAAAGGUUUCUCGCUUGAAAUAUGCCGACGAAAUAAAAUCCGUCGGUGAUAUCGUGUAUUACCGAUGGCCAUUACCCAUCGGUAAAUUUAUCGGUGAGUGUUUAAAAUACCGACCGAAUAAAUCCGUCUGUAAAUUCAUCGGUAAUCUUGGCAGCUACUGUCAAAUACCGAUGAAUGAAUUCCAUCAAUAAAGCUGUCGGUGAGUGUAUGAAAAUACCGACCAAAUGUAUCCGUCUAGAAAUUCAUCGGUGAUGGUGGCAACUACUAUCAAAUGCCGACGAAUUAAUUCCGUCGGUAAAACCCUUUGUAAUUAUUUUUUUUUAAUUUGUUUUUUUUAAAAAAAUUUAGAAUACAUAAUAUCAAAUGAUAUAAAUUAAUGGUAAUAAAAACCAAUUAUGCAAAUAAAAUUUAUAUUAAAUAUCAAAAACAAAAAAUCAAAGUUAAAUAAUAUUCAUUACAAAAUGAAUGUGUUUCAAAAAAAUAUUAAAUGAAAUUUUAAAGGUAAAUAAUGUUUAUUACAAAUUAAUAUAAAGGUGGAGCUGGAGGAGGAGGAGGAGGAAAAGGCUGGUUGUCAUACGGCCAAAAAGGAUUUGGCGCACAUGUUCCACCCUAUGCCAUGUUCAUGACCAUUUCGCGAAGCUGUUCAUAAGCCACUCUUUGUUGUUCAAACUCCGCUAUUUGUUGUGCUUGAGACGCUUUGAGUUGUGUGUACGCCUAUGAUAGGUGGUCGUACUUUUCGGUGAGCUGAGUCAUGUGUUGCUGCAAGGCCACGAACUUCUUAGACUGGGAGCUUGAUAUUGAUUGGGAGCUCCCGACGGUUGAAGCACUACGGGCCAACCGCAAGUUGUUGGCCCUAGUGUUGGAGAUCCCGUAAACAUGAUUUUUAUCGGGUCCACCUGACGAUCCAACCUCUAUCCACAAAUCCGAAUCGAAUUCCGAACGGGUCAAAGGAUCGUCCCCGUAUCUCUCCCUCAACCAAUCUAUUAUAGGUCUCCUGAAAAUAAAAAAAGUAAUCAUCAUAUUCAAUUCAAUAAACAUAAUAAUACCUUAAAAAAUAAAAUGGUUGAACAAACAUACCAUGAAAUGUUGAGCACGGUUGUCAACGAACUGUUGCACCCCCUUUUGGUGGUCUUGACUCCGCACGUGUGUCUCCACAAACAGCUCCAUUGGGCUCAGCUCACGUCCAAGAGACGUAGCCUAUAAUGAAAAAAAUUGAUUAACAACAAAUUAAUUGAAUGAGAUAUAUUUCAUUUAAAUUAAUUUUACCAUCCGUUUCGCAUGUGCAGCAAACGAAACGGAGCCGCCGAUGUGCGUUGCCACCGAGCCAUGAAUUGGCCGAUUCUGGUUGCCAGCACCGGACUGUGAGCGUUGUGUGAACCGCUCAGAUGUCACGUGCUCAAGAUAGUGCGGCCAUAUAUCUUUCAACAUGCAUAUCGGUUUGAAAUCCCUCCAAACCGUAACAUCGUUCCAGCCUUGGAACCCGCUAUCCCUCGCUGUUUUUGCCCUUUUAUGGGCUUCGUACCAAAAAUCACACAACCUACUUCACACAACCAAAAAUUACAUUUCGAAACAUAAAUUUUUAUCUAAAAAAAAAGUAGUAUUGCUUUCGAUGUUACCUAGUUGCCGUGUGAUUUUCCCACACCCUCCUCACAACAGUGUUAUGUUCACUGUCCCAGUAGAAUCGAUAGUGUGUAUAAAAAAUUAAUUUUUUAAAAAAUAAUAAUUUAUUUAAAAUUAUAUUAAUAAUUUAUUAGAAAUAAACUAAAAAUUAUAUAUUAACACUAAUCUCAAAUCUGUCAAACCAUGCAUUGAUUUGAGGCAUCCAUUCAGGAUGCCUGGAUAUCUGACUCCAUUGAAACAAUGGAAUCUCCAUCGACGAUUUAAAUGCCGAUGAUAUUACUCGGGCGGCCUCAAUGUUUGUGAACCUGAAAAUAAAUGAAAUUAAUGAAAUAGUGAUUACUUCAUAAAUUAUGUUUUAAUUUUUUUUAAAAAAAAAACUAAAACCUUAACAAACUUACAUUGAAAGGUCGUCCUUCCAAUGUACCUCGUACUUGCGGGUAAAUUGAUUCCGCUGCGAAGGCACACCGCCUCUGCGCUGUGAACCAGCGCUGGAAGAGGUAACAUCGGUUGACGGCGCAGGUGGUGUAGGUGCCUCUUCUUGAGAGGCACCUAAGGAAAUAUCAGCAUCGCUGCUAGAUGAAUUUGUUGCGACCGUAUGUGAACGACCAGCUCUGGAUUUCAUUAUGCGCAUCUACCCAAUUUUAUACAAAUCAUUAUAUAAUUAAAUUCAAAUGUUAAAAAAAAUUCGAUAGCACCUCCCUUAUACUGGAUACUACCCAAAUCCACAAACCUGCAAGUAUUAACAAUAGCCACAACCAAUUGACCCAAUCUAUACUAAUUAUUCCAACAUAUUCAAUUAUUAAUCCUAAGGUAAAUUCAACAUUAACAAUUACAAUUCAAAACAUUAUUCAAUAAUUAUGCCAAUACAACAAAACAAUAAAUUCAAAAAAAACUCUAGACUAACAAUCAAAAUAAAUGGAAACAAUUAAACACAAAUCAUGCAAUAAUAGAGUAAAAUUAAUAAUUCUUCCAACAUAUUCAAUUACUAAUUCUAAGGUAAAAUCAACAUUAACAAUUAUAAUUCAAAAAAUUAUUCAAUAUUUAUGUCAAUACAACAAUAAAAUAUAUUCAAUAAAUUUAAAAAAAAAUUAUAGACUAACAGUUAAAAUCAAUGAAAAUAAUUAAACACAAAUCAUGCAAUAAUGGAGUAAAAUUACUAAUUAUUCCAACAUAUUCAAUUACUAAUUUUAAAGUAAAUUCAACAUUAACAACAAAUAUUCAAUAAAUUAACUAAUAAAAAUUAUGCCAAUACAACAAUUAAAAAUAUUCAAUAAAUUAAAAAAAAAACUAUAGACUUUAGGAAAGAAAUAUGCAUACCUUAAUAAUAUGUUGAAUUCAAAACUUUAUCUACAUUACAAAAAAUUACACCAAAACAAAAAACAUAACAAGAAUAAAAAUAACUAAAAAUAAAAAUAAAAAUAAAUAAAAUAGAAAAAAACACAUACCUUUUAAUGUGAUGAAGAUUCACAACAAAUCUUGCUAGAGAUUCUAGGUGAAAGCUUUGAAGAAAUGAGAGGAAAAAAAUCGAAAUUUUAAGGUGAAAAAUAGAGUAGAAAAAAUAAACUGAAGUGGCGGCUGGUGGGACUUAUAUGGCAGUUUUACCGAUGGACUCACCAACGAAAAUAAAAAAUUAUUAUUAUUUUAAUUAAAUCUGUCGGUAAAGUGUCAAAAAUCCGUCGGCAAUUUUUGAAUUUUGCACUGAAAAUUUUAAUUAACCUCAAUAUUUUUUGCAGUCCGUCGAUAAUCUGACAUGAUCAGAGGAGCAUUCAAUGCACACCCUUUGGAAUUCGCACAUUCCAUCGGUAUGUUUGUUGGUAAAAUUUGUCCACCGACACAUUACCGACAGAAACAAUUACGUCGGUAUAGCCGUCGAUGAUUGUGGCAUUUCGAGUAAUUAUUUUCGAACUCUCUAUGAGAUGCCGACGACGUUAGUCCAUCGGUAUCAUCGUCGGUGAUUGUGGCAUUUCAAGUAAUUAUUUUUGAACUCUCUGUGAGAUGCUGACUGACGUGAGUCCAUCGGUAUGGAUGUCGGUGAUUGUGGCAUUUCGAGUAAUUAUUUUCAAACUCUCUGUGAGAUGCCGAUGGACGUGAGUACGUCGGUAAUUGUUGAACUGUACAAGAAAUGUUGUAUUUGUAUUGCCUAUUUACCUUCCUGCAAAAACUUAAAUGAUAAACUGUCCAUCGCACAAAACAAUAACAACAGUGCUUAAGCAAUAAAUAUUUCGUGUUAGAAAAUAUAUCAUCCAUAAUCUAAAUUACAUGAAAAAAGGGUUUUACACAGGGCUUCAUUUUGAUAGUUAGUUAGAAUUUUCUUCUUCUUCGUCAUCAAUUGAAUAGUCAUCACCUUCAUCGCAAUCUUCAAUAUGAAUAUCAUCUUCUUCAUCGACAUUUGCUUGUCCACUAGAGCUCAAAACAACAUUCAACUCCUCUGCGUCAACAUCAACAAGACUAUCAUCGAAAACAUGAAAAUUUGAAUUUUCUUCUAAUUCAAUUGAGGGAGCAACUCGAUAUGAUUCAACCAACUCACUAACUUGAAAGACUUCAUCUCGCACACUUGUGUCUUCGUUCUCAUCCUCAACAACCUCGACUCGACCCCAGGGUUUCUUUUUUAAAAGGGACAACCAAUCAACUCUUGAUCGAUCCUUUCUAAAUGAAGGGGUGUAUGUGUAAUAAACUUGUUGACAUUGCUUUGCGAAAACAAAGACAUCGUUUAUGUUGUAGAGUCUAGCUUUUGAGUUGAUUUCGACCAGACCAUACUGCGGAUCAACUCUGAUUCCUUUGCCAGUCGUGUCUACCAAUAGCAUUUGAAUAAAAACAAUUUAUUCUGCUCGCUAUGACAUUGCAGUUCGACGACCUCUUCUAAUCUACCAUAGUAGUCAACUUCUAACUCACUACUAGUGGAUCCCUUAACACAAACACCGCAGUUGUAUGUCUUUCUUCCUUACCCAUAUUCUUCAAUAUGGAAAACAUAUCCAUUGACAAAAUACUCGUUGUAGCACUUAACUUUUCUUUCAGGCCCGAGGCUUAGUGAAGACAAUGACUUAGGUGCACUCCUUCCUAUUUGAUAAACCUUGUAUGUAAUGUACAUCAAUAAACAGUAAAUGAACGGGAAUCUCGUAAUGACAUGCAUACGUAUAGUAAUUUUGUAAGUUAUAAUGAGUUUGUGAUAGUGCUUACAUGUGUUCUGAACCACGUGGCAAAUUCCUCAUCUUGUAAUUGAAAGAUCUGGGAUUCGGUCAGUUGUGAGUUAUUGGAGAGCAAAUAUUGUCGAUGGUGCCUGCAAGUGAUAAUGAGUGUAUGAUAUUACACUAUAUAAUUAACAGUAUAUUACUGACAAAGUUUAAUUAGUAUUACACAUAUAUAAACUUACUGAAUAAAAGGUCUUAGCUCAUCACAGUUAAAUAGAACAUAGUUGUGUUCUUGUUUAAAUUCUAUUUCCGACAAAUAUCUUCCUCUUACGGUAUUUUUAGGUGUAGGUCAUCCAGUAUUAGAGAAUAUUAACAAGUUCUCACUGGAAGGCACUUCACCGCCAUCAUCAUGCCGUGGAAUGCAAUUGAUUCUUGUUCUCAGAAGAGGUUCGAAAUAGUACGAGAUAAAUGUUGAGAUCUCCUCAACAAUAUAGGCCUCACAUAUCGAAGCCUCAACAUGCGCCUUGUUCUUAACCUUUUUCUUGAGAUUAAACAAGUACUUGCAUUGAAUUACAAUUCAAGUAUUUUCAAUUAAGAAAAACAUAGAAAAUACUUUAUAUAUGAAUUACAUUGCAACUGUAAUAUCUAACCAUUCAAUUAGGUACAUCCAUCUAUACUGGACCGGUCCUCCAGCUUUUUCCUCGAACGGUAGAUGUAUGGGAAGAUGCUCCAUUGAGUCAAAAAAUAAUGGAGGGAAUAUCAUCUCAAGUUUGCAUAGUGUCUCGAUGAUAUUCAUUUGAAGCCUCUCAAUGUGCUCAACAUUCAACUUGCUGGAGCAUAUAUCUCUGAAGAAAUGACUGAUCUCCGUCAGUGCAUCCCAUAUUCCCUUUGGCAACAAAUCACGAAAAGCUAAUGGGAUGAGUGUUUGCAUAAACACGUGGCAGUCAUGACUCUUCAUUCCAUACAAUCUGCAGUCCUCUAUAUUAACCAGACUUGAUAUGUUCGAUGCAUGUCCAUCUGGAAAACGCAGACUCUUAAGUCAUUUAUAGACUAGCAACAACAUGAUGCAAUUCUUCACCAGAAAGACGCGGGGAUGCAAAAUCUUUUUCAACUCUGCCAACAAAGAAAUCUUUUCUGUUCUUUCUCUACCUAUGAUUAAGUGGCAAGAAGCAACGGUGACAAUAAAAAAAAAGAAGCUUUACCUCCGUUUGCUAGCGUGAAUGCCUUGUUGUUUUCCAUGCAGUAUGGACAUGCGAGUUUCACAUGCCUGCUCCAACUAGAAAGCAUUCCAUAAGAUGGAAAAUCAUUGAUAGUCCAUAUCAAAGCCGCCCUCAUAAGGAAAUUUUUUUUCCUCGAUAUAUCAUAAGUCAGAGCUCCGAAGGACCACAACAACGCCAACUCAUCAAUCAACGGUCGAUGACAAACAUCUAUAUUCUACCCCGGGCUGCUCGAACCGGGUAUGACAGUAGAUAAAAACAUGAACUCUGGCCUUAUACACAUUCCCGGUGGCAAGUUAUAAACUGUGAGUAUGACCGGCCAACAAGAAUAAGGAGCAGCAAAUGACCCAAAUGGGUUGAAUCCGUCUGUACACAACCUAAGACGCACAUUCCUUAAUUCAGCUGAAAAGUGAGGAUGCACACUUUUAAAGCGUUUCCACGCUUCGCCAUCAGAAGGAUGCACCAUCACACCAUCAACCGCAUCAUGUGCUUGGUGCCAUGUCAUGUGCUCAGCAGUCCUUGGUGACAUGAAUAACCUCUGCAGUCUAGGUGUGAUCGGGAAGUAUCUAAGUUUUUUAUAUGCCACUAAAGUCUUUCCCCUGCUAGUUCUGGGUUUGUAACGAGAAUGCUCGCAUGUCAUGCACUCGGUCAUCUCAUCAUUUUCAAGGUAGUAUAACAUGUAAAAGUUAGGGCACAUGUCAAUUUUCUGGUAUCCUAAACCGAGGGGUUUCAUCAUGGACUUCAUAACAUAGAAGUUCUCUUUCAGCCUAUUCCCUUUAGGUAAAAUGCUUCUCGCCCAUUCAAUAAUUUUGUCAUACCUGGCCUCACUCAACCCGUGAUCUGACUUGAUGGUGAACACCUGUGCCAUAGCCGAUAAUUUAUUGUGGUUUGUGCAGCCAUCCUAUAAUGGUUCGUCAGAAUCUUUCAACAAAUCAAAAAACCUAGCUGCAUCUGCAUUAGGUUCUUCUUCUACGAUUGGACAUUGACUGACAUUACCUUGAUUCAUUCUCAUUGCAUCCAUAACCAUAUUUUUGUAAGGAUUAGUGUUGUCAUUUACCGCUUCAUGUAUGUUGCUAGCAUUAGAAGUUGACCCAACCACCGUUUUUUCUAUUCUCCUCUUACUAACAAAUACUUCUCCAUGUGUAUAUCAACACUGGUAAUUCUCCAUAAACCCUUUAUGUAGAAGAUGCAUCAUUACAACAUCUGGAUGCAGAUACUUUUUAUUUUGACACUUCCUGCAUGGACACCUAAUACCGCCUCCAAUAAAAUUUUUGGGAAUAGAUGUUGCGAAAUUAAUAAAACCCUGAACCCCAUUACAAUAAUCCAUCCUCCGCAAUCCUUGUGGUGAAUCUCGAUACAUCCAUGAACGAUCAUCCAUGACUUAUAUAUAUCGAACCUCUAUAAAAUUAUGAUGACAACAUGUAUUAAUUAACUAAGUUAGGUAAAUAAACUUGCAAAAAUAUUACUUUACCUCAAGAUUAUCCAACAAACCAAUCACAACUUCUCAUAAAUAUUAAAUAUUCAUUAUGAUCAUUUAUCAACGUCCAUACGUACAAAUUAAUAUAUAUAAAUUUACAGAAAUUACCACACCGCAAUACCAUUCAUAAAACUUAAAACGGACCCAUUAAGCAAGCUAUUAAUUAUUUCAAAACAGCACAUGUAAUUUGGUAGUUCCAUUAAGUUUUAACGAUUUACAAACAAAUACAAUCUUACAAAAUCUAAAACAAACCAUAACAGGUAUAAAAUUAUACAUUCAUAUACUACAAGUUUGUCUGAGAAAUAACAAUAAAACAUGUACAUCUACUAAAAAAAUAGAUAUACUAAAAAAAACAACAAAAUUGACAUUUAAAUGUUAAAAUUUAAAAAGAUAGAAUUACUUAAAAAUAAAAUCCGUCGACAAAUCAGAACACGGAUGAUGUGACCAAAAAAACUUCAAGAAAUAUAACUUGUUGUGCUGAGAUGAGGGAGAUUUUUGUGAGGGUGUUGGUUGUUUGCAGAUACGGAGAGUUGGGAUUAGGAAGAAAAAGGAGAAAUAGGGGAGGAGAGGGUCGGCAGUAGGGAAUUAUAUUAACUUUUUCUGACAGUUUCACCGACAGAUUAUUCCGUCGGCUAUUCUAUCGGAAAAAUGGACACGUCACCGUACAGAUCCGCCAUUUCAAAUCCAUCGGUAUUUUUAACGGUGAAGCGGUCACGUUACUGUACGGGCCUGUUGUUUUGAAUCCAUUGGUGAUUCCGCCGGAAAAAACCACCCCGUCAAAACCUCCACGUCAGCAACCCGCCUUUUUUUUUUUUUUAAUUAUGAACUUUCCGUCCGUAAUUUAGACGGUAACUACCGAUGGAUACUGUCCGUCGAUAGUUACCGACGGAAUUACGGACAGAAAAAGUUCCAUCGGUAAUGACAACCUCAAAUUACCGACAUAAAUAUUUUGUCGGUAAAUCCGUUGCUAUUAAGUUAAUUUCUAGUAGUGGGAGGAGUGUUUGCAAAUACCAUGGGAGAUGCGAUUUGUAUUAUUUUAGUUGUUGGUAUAAGAGUCCAAAUAUUGUGACGACCAUUUUAUAGAAAUGAGCACAAUGUUUUUAGAAUAUUUAAAAAAAUUGACAUGGGCAAACAAACAGACGCCUUUAUUUCUGGAAGUUCACUCAUCAAACACAGAUACACAAGUCAACAUCUUUCUUUUGGGAGUUCUAUAGCAGUUAAGACUGUUACAAUGUGAAGACAAAUUGAAUGUCCUUGUUAGUGAAACAAUUGAUAUUACUUCCAUCAAUUAAAAAAUAUUCACAGCACCACAGCUCAAAGACAUGAAUCUCCAUGAAAUCGCCUAAUGUCGAGAUGAUCAUGUAAUAGGCAUAUCGCAUAUGUUGAUUUAAUUCAACCAUUUAGAGUUCAAGGAGGAGGAGAGAACAUAAAAACUACAACCAUGUUACUUUGGUUGGGAAAAAAAUGAAUUAUUAGCAUGUUUUUCAAAUUCCAAACCCAAACUAAUCUUCUUACCCCAUCAUCAUCACCAAUCCAGCCAUCUUCCUCUUUCGUCUACACACCCACCUCGGGCUCCCAUUCUCCAAGUGCUGUUUGGCAGGGACAAACCAGUGCUUGAAUCCUCCGCUACUAGAGAUACCUGGAAACCAAUUUGCGAGAGAAGUUGCUUUAGUGGAUACAUCCGGUUAUAGGCCACUUGCUUUGGGUUCCAUAUUUGAUUUAAUUAUGGGCCUAGCGGAUAAUGUUAUAGUCUAAAUUUACUGGACAAGCUCUUGCAGUGCGACAAAAAGAUGCUUUGUCGACUUGAUCUAGUUCGUUCAGGUUUACAUAGCCCAAAUACAAAUGAAGUUUCUUUUUCAUUAAUGCUUUUGAUUUGUUAUUUUAUAUUCGGUAUAAUUCUUCAUUCUAUUAAAGUUUUUGAUCCUUCUCAUCAUUGUUUUGAGAGAGUUACGUUUAUAAAUCUAGUUGUUGUUUAUUCUCAUCCGUGUUACCAAAAAUAAGAUAUUUAAUAGACUUGAGAAGAAAAAAAAUUACUACAAUCAACUACAAGCUCUUAAAAGGCAGACACUAAUUUUUUCAAUGCUGGAGGAUUUAUCCUUCACUCAUUCACAUUGUAAGUUGAUUUUUUUAUAUACCCAUUCACAUAUAUUUAUAUAUCUAUGUAGACACCAGAUUAUUGCACAGUACCAAGUUAACCGAGUGACUUGCUAUAUAUAAAAAUACAACCUUCAAAAGAAAAUUAUUUGUUAUUUUUUUCUCAAAAACUUAAACUUGAGAUUUAAAUAUACGCACACACUUGUAUAAGUAGAAUGGGUAUUGUAAAUCAUCUAGUAAGUGGUCCAAUGGUAAAAGCUUGAAACUAAAAGGUUUACUUUCAUUGUGGUUGCUAAUAUGAUGGCCCGUACACUCAUAUUAAUCAAAAAAAAAAAUUAUUGUAAGCGUGUGUUUGUAAGAACAUAAUGUUGGGUAUUUCCAGAACUCAAACACACACAAAUUUACGUGGUUCGGCAACUUGCCUACUCCACGGAGCUACUGGUUUGUAUUAAUGAAGCUUACAAACAAUACAAACAACAAAACAAGGAGGAGGAGAAAAUCUUCUCUACUCAACUCAACUCUCCCUAGCUCUCUCUGUGUGUUUCUCUCUGUAUUUCGUGUGUUACAACAAGCUCUCAUUAGCAUCCUCUAUUUAUAGCAGAGGUAGGAGACAAUUCUCUCCAACUUUGGUCAAAUAUGGCAACCACCGUCAUUGCCACCUAGCAGCCACUGCCCACCGUCCUUGCCGCCAUCUUUGACGCCGCUAGCAGCCAUUGUUGACGCCGUCAUGCAGCCAGCUUGUGUCCAUACAUAACAAUCUCCCACUUGGACACAAAUGGCUUUAUAUCCAUCUUUUAGUCUUGGAGGCCUACUGAAGCUUUACACAGCUUCAGUUUAUCAAGAGUAACACCUUUGGUUAACAUAUCAGCUGGAUUCUUGCUUCCACAGAUCUUCUCUAGCAUUAGUUGCUCGUCGUCUAGCAAUUGUCGAAUGAAGUGAUAUUUGAUCUGAAUAUGCUUAGUCCUUGAAUGAAAUGUUGGAUUCUUGGCAAGGAAGAUGGCACUCUGACUAUCGCUAUACAAAGUACCUUUUCCAUUCAUCUUGCCCAAUUCCUUCAGGAAACUCUGCAACCAUACUAUCUCUUUUGCAGAUUCCGAGACUGCAACAUAUUCAGCUUCUGUUGUUGAAAGAGCGACGAUCUUUUGCAAGGUAGAACUCCAGGAAACAGCAGUACCUCCUAGAGUGUAUACAUAUCCUGUAGUGCUCUUUCUGCUAUCAAUAUCUCCUGCUAGAUCAGCAUCUACAAAACCUUCAAGUUUCAAACCACCAGCUGUGAAACUAAGACAAGUUUCCGAUGAACCUUUUAAGUACCUCAUGAUCCAUUUCACCGCCUCCCAAUGCUGCUUUUCAGGAUUGCUCAUAUAUCGGCUUACAACUCCCACUGCAUGGGCAAUGUCUGGUCUGGUACAGACCAUAGCAUACAUCAAAGAGCCGAUAGCUGAGGCGUAUGGAAUCAUACCUGUUGAGAACCUUCUUGACAUACUCUGUUUGUGAGAGCUUUAGUAUGCCUUUGUCUUUAUCUCUGAUGAUUCUCAUUCCAAGUAUUUGUUUAGCAGCUCCCAGAUCCUUCAUUUCAAACUGUUUUGACAACUGCUGUUUCAGCUUAUCAAUCUCCUCAAUGCUGGAUCCUGCAAUCAACAUAUCAUCUACAUAUAAUAGUAGAAUGAUGUAGGAGUUGUCAAAAUGUUUAACAUAGCAACAAUGAUCAGCUUGGCAUCUUGUAUACCCGGAACUGCACAUGAAGUUGUCAAACUUCUUGUACCACUGUCUUGGAGCUUGCUUCAAACCGUAUAGGCUUUUCUGUAGCUUGCAGACUUGAUUCUCCUUUGCUUGCAUUUCAAACCUCUCUGGUUGUUGCAUGUAAAUGUCUUCCUCCAAUUCACCAUGAAGGAAUGUUGUUUUUACAUCUAAUUGUUCAAGAUAUAAAUUUUCUGCAGCUACUAUUCCCAGAACAACUCUGAUUGUUGUGAGCUUCACAACUGGAGAAAAUAUCUCAGAGUAGUCAAUUCCUUUCUUUUGUUGAAACCCUUUUACAACAAGUCUUGCCUUGAACCGUUUGCUUCCGUCAUGCUCAGUCUUCACUCUGUAAACCCACUUAAUUUGCAAGGCCUUCUUUCCUUCAGGUAAUGUUGUUAGCUCCCAAGUCUUGUUCUUCAGCAACAAACUCAUCUCAUCCUUCAUGGCUAACUCCCACUUGCUUGAGUUUCCAUCUUGUAAGGAUUCUUCAUAAGUUAGCGGUUCACCACCAUCUGUCAGCAAAAUAUAAUUCAGUAAAAGUGUGAACCGUUGUGGGGGCUUUAUCGUCCUCGAAGACCUGCGAACAGCUGGUUCAAUUGGCUCCGCAUCUUCUUGUGUGGUAGUGGGCACAGAUGUGCUUGAAUCUUCUUGUAAAGACUCUUGAUUGUUGUUCUGCUUAGUAACAUCGGGAAGCCCUUCUAAUCUUAUGAAUUCAGAUCUUUGUGGACUUGUAUCUGAAUCAGCCAUCUCUGUUUCUCCACUUGAUCUGUCUUUGUACAUAACUUUCUCAUUGAAGAUCACGUUCCUGCUUCUGAUAAUCUUUCUAUUCUGAUCAUCCCAGAACCGAAAUCCAAAUUCUUCAUCUCCAUAGCCAAUGAAGAAACAUUUCUUGGAUUUGGCUUCUAACUUGUUGCGAGCAUCAGAAUCUAUAUGAACAUAGGAAACACACCCAAAGACCUUCAAAUGAGAGAGUCGUACCUCUUUUCCUCUCCAUACUUCCUCGGGCAGUCUGAAUUCCAAAGGAACUGAUGGUCCACGGUUGAUCAAGUAAACUGCGGUAUGAACUGCGUCAGCCCAGAAUGUUUGAGGUAACCCUGAAUGCAACCUCAUGCUUCUAGCUCGUUCAUUGAUGGUCCUGUUCAUCCGUUCAGCAACGCCAUUCUGUUGCGGUGUGCCUGGAAUGGUCUUUUCCAUUCUGAUACCAUUGACAACACAAUACUCCUUGAAACCUCCAUCAAUGUAUUCUCCUCCAUUAUCAGAUCUCAAGCAUUUCAACUUUAGACCUGAUUCAGUCUCAACCAUAGCCUUCCAUUUCUUGAAUGUUUCAAACACAUCAGAUUUAUUUUUCAGAAAGUAACCCAUACCUUCCUGCUGAAGUCAUCAAUGAAAGUCACAUAAUACCGAGAACCUCCAAGAUGCUACUGGAGACGGUCCCCAUAAAUCUGUGUGUACCAGUUCUAGCUUUCUUGGUCGUAAGGUCCUGCCAACCUUCAAGAAACUGACCUUCUGUUUUCCAAGAACACAGCUUUCACAAAUGUCUAGAUCGACAUUUUUUAACUCUGGCAGCUUUCCCUUCGACUGAAGUAUCUUCAUCCCCUUUUGACUCAUAUGGCCAAGUCUACAAUGCCAUAGUGUGCUUGAUUUUCUGCUUCAGUUGAGGCAAUGAUGUCUGCAAAUCUUGUGGUCAUAUACAGGGUGCCGGUUUUCUUUCCACGAGCUAAAACCAUUGCUCCCUUUGAUACUUUCCACAUUCCUCCAGCAAAAAGUAUUGAAUGACCACUAUCAUCAAGUUGUCCGACAGAGAUCAACUUCUUCUUUAAUUCAGGAACAUGCCUUACAUUCUGCAAGGUCCAUAUAGAUCCAUUCAUUGUCUUGAUUUGCACAUCUCCUAUACCCACAAUAUUCAGUGGUGUUCCAUCGGCCAGAUAGACUACACCGUGAUCUCCUCCAACAUAAUUUUGCAGCAUUUCAUUGUGUGGCGUACAGUGGAAUGAAGCACCAGAAUCAAGAAUCCACUCAUCAAUUUGACUAUGUACAGCAAGAAUUAAAGCAUCUUGUACCUCAUCUGUGGUAGCGUUUGCAGAGUCAGCUUCAGGUUUCUUCGGUUUUGUGCAAUUCCUACUGAAAUGACCAGGUUUGCCACAAUUCCAACAUUCAACCUGCUUUCUGGAUCCAAACUUGCUUUUACUUCUGUAUCUGGAUUUUGAUCUGCCUCUGGAUGAGCCUCUAUCGUGUCUCCUCCCUCGAGUGUUGAUGUUGAGAGCUGAUCCUGAGCUUGAACUUUCACCCGAGUCUUUCCUUCGCACUUCUUCAGCCAAAAUCAAGUCUCGAAUGUCAUCAUACUUCAGUUUGGAUUUUCCAGCUGAAUUGCUCACGGCUGUCCUCAUGCCUUCCCAACUGCUUGGAAGUGAAGCUAGCAAGAUGAGUGCACGAAUCUCAUCAUCAAACUCAAUCUCAACAGAUGAUAAUUGAUUUGUGAUGGUAUUAAAGUUGUUGAGGUGUUGUGUCACAGAAGUGUUUUCGACCAUCUUCAAGUUGAACAACUUUUUCAUCAGGUGCACUUUAUUAUUUGCUGAUGGCUUCUCAUACAUCCCAGACAAGGCUUCCAUCAAUUUUGCAGUGGAUUUUUCUUUCGUAACAUUGUGAGCAACUCUUCUUGAUAACGAUAGCCGGAUAAUGCCCAGAACUUGUCUAUCAAGAAGUUGCCAUUUUCUUCUUCCAUAUUUUGGUUUGCUUCCCAAAGGGAAGAUGAAGUUUCUUCCCAUAUAAUAAUCUUCAAUUUGCAUUUUCCAGUAUCCAAAAUCUGUUCCGUCAAAUUUUUCAAUUCCAGCCUUUAUUUCAUCUGCCAUUUUUAAUAUUCUCCGAUUCGAAUUUCCAAAUCUGACCUUACAGAUGUGUCCGGAACGGCCAAAAACCUUGGAAAUGACACUGAGAUCACCCCAAUCGGACUUCGGAUGGCUCAGAUUUUAGCAAUCAAAGUUUUGGAUUAACGGACGGCAGAUGCAGCCGCGUGUCAGCCAGAGUACCGCCUGCGUCGCACCGGAUCAAAACUCAGCAGCGGUGCAGAUAAGCCACGUGUCAGCAGAUUAGGGCCUGAGUCGCACUGGAUCAAAACUCACGGUCCUGAUUAAGCCACGUGUCAGCCGAUUAGUUCUGCGUCGCACCGGAUCAAAACCCCUCAACGGUGAUGAUGUAGCCACGUGUCAGACGAUUAGCGUCUGCGGUGCACUGGAUCAAAACCCAGAUGGAUGACGUGGCAGGUGACGUGGCGUUGACCGUGCGACUUGCUGACGUGGCGGUCAGACCGACCCGUUUUGCAGAAACCGGGCGAAGGAAGGAGCGUGGCGCGUACGGCGCGUUGGUGCGCGUGGGCAGUGCUGCGUCGGCGCGUGUGGCGCGUGCGGGCAUGCAGGACGUCGGUUCUUCGCCGGGUUUUCACAGUGGAUUCGUCCGGUUGUCCUCUACACGAUGGUAUGUUCAAAAACACGUUUUGAGAACUUUGAUUUUGAGUUUGGAUCAAACACCCUCUUUUUCAAGAACAAGCUCUGAUACCAGUUGUUGGGUUAUUUCCAGAACUCAAACACACACAAUUUACGUGGUUCGGCAACUUGCCUACUCCACGGAGCUACUGGUUUGUAUUAAUGAAGCUUACAAACAAUACAAACAACAAACAAGGAGGAGGAGAAAAUCUUCUCAACUCAACUCAACUCUCCCUAGCUCUCUCUCUGUGUUUCUCUCUGUAUUUUGUGUGUUACAGCUCUCCUUAGCAUCCUCUUUUAUAGCAGAGGUAGGAGAUAAUUCUCUCCAACUUUGGUCAAAUAUGGCAACCACCGUAUUGCCACCUAGCAGCCACUGCCCACCGUCCUUGCCACCAUCUUUGACGCCGCCAGCAGCCAUUGUUGACGCCGUCAUGCAGCCAGCUUGUGUCCAUACAUAACACAUAAAUGGUGUUUUACAGUAACAUUCAUUCCAGAUCUCAAGCAGCAUUGCUAGGCCUAUUUGAAAACCACAUAAAGAAUUGUAAUAGAAAUAGAACAUCAAAAUUACAAGGAAAACAUGUUGAUGAGGCAAAUACACAAGUCGUAGAGCCAUUAGUUUGAAGAGAAAGGAGAACGAAAAUCCACACAUUAAACAACAUAUUCACACAUGAGUAAUAUUAUGCCCUUGUUUUUGAAGGUCCAGACACUUGAAAAGAAACACAAAUGGGCAAGCAAACAUAUGUCUUUAUUUCUUGAGGUUCGCACAAUAAAUGACUAAGGACGCAACAUGGCAUGCUUGGGUAAACAACACGCAUAGAUAGAGAAAUCAAUAUCCUUCUUUUAGAAAUUCUAUAAAAUUACAAUACAAAUCCAAAGCCAAAUUGUAUGUCAUUGCCAAUGAAACAGUUGAAAUCACUUCCACAAAUUUAAAAACAUUCGCAGCACCAACCAACCAACCCGAUGCAAACAUGAAGAACAAUUAUUAGCCAUAUUACCUGUAUGCGUGGAUAUUGGAUGUGUUGAUUUAAUUUAACCAUUUAAAGAUAAAUAAUUGUAGCUAUUUUACCUGUAAGAAUGAAUUGUUAGCAUGUUUUUCAAAUUCCAAUGCCAAACUUAUCAUCUAACUUAAUUAUCACAACCACCUCCAUCCUCGUCCUCUUGCUCUUCCUCUUCCUCUUCCCGCCACCCAUUAUUUCGGGUCCACAUUCUACAAGUGGUGGUUGGCACGGAGCAACCAGUGCUUGAAUCCUCGACUACUUGAGAUACCUGCAAAACCAAUUCAAGCAAGUCAUAUGCAUUCUAACUUAUAAGUUUUAUUAUUGAGUGAAACAAGAAACAAAAACACUAAAAGAAAGGCAAGAAAUCAGGUUCAAUAAGCAGCACCUCUGAUUGAGCCCGCAUUGAACCAUUUGAUGUAGUACUAAAUUUUGUGGUCAAUUUUGGACAUUGAUGCACCUUCAACGUCUCCAAAUGAGGGAAUAAGAAAUCAUAACAUCCAAGACUAAAGUAGACAAUACUCGGUAAUUGUUCUAGAGACAGCUCUUGCAGAUCGGGGAGUACUAUCUCCUUCUCAACAUCAAUAGGUGAAGCAUGAUCAUACUGUCCAAAUACUCCCAAUAUUUGAGAGGAUUCUCCUACUUCAAGUUUUUGGAGCUUUUUGAGACUUGAAGCCAUGGCUACUGGAAAGAGACUCUUCAACUUGUUACAUCCUCUGAUCUUAAGUUGACACAAAUUAGGAAAGCAUAAAGAUUGAAGAUCACUCCCUGAUAAUAUUUGAUCCUUUUCAUCGUCAUUAUCCUUAGCAAUUAUUUGCUCCAAUUCCACACAAGUUGAUAUCUCUAGAACUUCCAGUUGAACUAGACUAGUAAUCAUAAUGCUUGUGAAUACAUGUUUUAGUCUUUUACAAUUCCUCACCACCAAAGAAGUCAAAUGGCUUAGCACAAUACAUUUCCAUAUACACCUCAUGUCAGGCACAGGUAGGGAGUACACAUGUAAUGUUUCCAAACUUGUUAACCCCUGCAUCAAAAGAAAACAAGGGUACAUAUUUGUUAGAUAUAAUUCCUAUUAAUGUUUGUGCACUUUGUAAUUAUUAUGUAAUUUUGGUAAAUGGAUGAACCAAUUAUACCCAAUACCUAAAUACUUAACAGCAAAAAGAUAUAAAUAGACAGGGAAAUUGGGCAUGGGAAUAUGAAAUCAUAAUUUUUCAUAUUUAUGGUAAUCUAAAUAUAAAUUAUUAUUUUAUACUAGUUAAAUUAAAAAGCAACCAUGAAAAAAUUAUACUUAUUAAUAAAAAAUAGUUUUUUAUAUUUGAUUUAUGAUAAAAAAAAAACAAAUUAUAACAUUAACCAAAAAUUAAUAAAAUACAAAAGAAAAUAAUUUUAACUACAAAAUGCUAUAUUGUUGAUCAUUUUAAUUAUUUUUUUCAUACGAAAAGGUGAAAAAAAUGUAAAGAAAAAAUAUGAAAAAUAUAUAAUAAAUAACAAAUUUUUUAAACUAAAUAUAGAUUUUUUAUUAACUUUUUCAACUGUGUUUUCACUCAAAUUAGGAAACAUAAUGAUGAUUGAAAAUAUAAGUAUUGACAAUUAAAUUAUCAAUUAAAUUCAGUUUUAGAAAUUUGGAGGAAGAAAGAAGAAAUUAUUACAGUUUAUUAAAGUUGACAAUUUAAAUUAGAAACGAAAAAAGAUUAUGGAGAAAUAUAAAGGACGUACUUGGAGCUGUGCCAACAAAUUACCCAAUUCUUUGUGGCCAUGAAUGGUUAACACUUGCAAAGAAGGCAACUGGGCAGCAGAAUUCUUUGGACCAAAAAAACUGCAAUUUGAAAGAAUCAAUUUUCUUAGCUGAGGGAAGUUGAUGACGCCAUCUCUGGUGAGUGCAUCUCCUUCUCCACUGUAAAAUAUUUGCUUUAAAUUGACAGCUAAUUUAAUCUUCAUCUGUUCGAGGUUCAGAAGACUUGGAGACACGGAGACAGGGAAGACAUGUUCCAGUUUAUCACAGCCACUUAUAGAAAGAAUUUUUAAUUUUGGGAAGCCAAGAGACUUUGGAAUUAUUUCCCUUUCACCAUCUUGCUCUUUGAUAAGACGCUUCAAUUCAUCGCAUUGUUCUAUCUGUAGUGUUUCCAGAUGAAUAAGACUUUGAGCGAGGGACGGUGUGAAAAUAAAUGUCAGUUUGUCAAGAAACAACAACUCUAGAUGAAUAAGACUUUGAAGGCUGACAUGUCUGGUGGGCCCCUUCCAUAUACAUUUGAGCUCAGAUAACCAUUGCAGAUGUAACUUUGUUAAAGAUGACAGCAGCCGCAACUCCUUCUCCUCGUUAAUUCCAUCAUCACCCUCACCCAAUUCAAAUACCUCUUCCAAUGAUUCACAUGAACUAAUUUCCACACUUAAUAGAUUUUCCAAAGCAUGCCGCCAUUUUGCUUGAAACAGAGUGCGAAUAUCCCCACAUGCAGUCACUUGUACAUGUUCUAAUCUUUGAAAGAAGUCCUUUUGCGAACCAUGGCCAUGGGUGGUCAUCUGAUCAGAGGACAAUACUAUAUUUUUUAAACCCUCAAUGUCGCUAAAACCAAUUUGAGACACAGUAGGAAACAACUGCUCAAAUGUCUUUGCAUUUAAGGAUGUGGCGCUGAUAUCACUCAAAUAUAACCUUGUCGAGGUUGGGUAUGUUUUAUCGAGUGAAUACCAAUCCCCAAAUAGUAUAUCAUAUUUGAGCAACCUGGGAAAAACAAAAUCUCUGGGAAUGCAUUCAACCUCCGGUAUCUUCAAUGAUAAUACAGCUAAAUGAGACAGCGAUUCGAGUUCUGUUAGGCUCGCAUUCAUUCCUUCUGUGCUGUCACAUCCAACAACAUCCCAUUCCUUGAAGCUCUCAUCCCCGAUCAACAGUUCUUCUAACUUCUUCAACCUGCCAAUCAAAUUCACAGGAAUCCUUCUUAGCAAUUCACAACCUGUCACAUCCAACAACCUCAACUCCUUGAGCUCCCCCAUUUCACUAGGUAAUUCUUCAACGGAAGAGAAACUUAUAAAACCAAGAAUCUUAAGUCUUUGCAGCUUUCUCAACCAAAUGAGGCCCUUGCAUUUACACCUUUUCAACAACAACGAUUGAAGGUUCGUUGAGAAUUCAAGUGAUUGCAAUGACAAACACCCUCCAUCAAGAGACAAAACUUCAAUUGCUUUCAUCCCUUCAAAAAACCUCUCUGGAACAUUCAAACCACCAUCCAGUCCUAACAAUAGGACUUUGCGCUGUGGACACACCAAUCCUUCAGGAAGUUCUGUGAGUUUAUUGCCCAUUAACGAAACUACUGUACAACCUUCAAAGCUUUUAUUGCUCAUUGGCCACUCCUUCAACCCAAAGCCAGCCUUUACCAUGAAUCCGUAUUUUUCUGAUGAUGCUAUCUGAAUAGCAACAUCACGAACCAAGUCAUGCAUUUUCACAUAUUCUUCACUUUUAGUUCCUAACAGCAUACAACAAGCUUUGAGGUUUUUGAUUGCCACAUAAACUCGUCCCCUUGCAUCUUCAAUGGACUCCACAUCUUGAUGUAACCCAUAGCCAACUGCAUAUCUCGUCAAGUACUCAAUUGGAAUGUUGUAAUCUUCUGGAAAUAAACAGCAUAGCAAGAAACAUAACUUGGUUUUCUCGUGCUUCAAAUAAUCAUAACUCAACUUAAGACAUGCAUAUGCAUUUUUUUGUUCAUCAAUUUGUUCGAUGUGCAAACAUUGAGAGUUUUUGAGCUCUUUAAACGCUACUUCCCACUCAACAGCAGAUUUAUCUCUUAGAGCCCUUCCCACUGUCACAAGUGCUAUAGGCAAUCCUUUACAUUCUCUCGCAACCUUCUUUGCCACUGUGUUCAAGGUAGAGUCCUCAUCAUGUAAACCAGCAUUGAUUUUGAAUAAAGCCCAUGCUUCAUUUUCAGAUAAGAGACUUAACAACACUGUUGGCUGGCACUCCAUAUAAGAACAUAUAUCCUUAAGACGUGUUGUCAGAAGAAUUUUACAACCCCUGUGAGCAUCACCAAAUGGGAUCCCUAUCUCUUCCAUGUUAAUAACUUUCCAGACAUCAUCUAGGAUUAUAAGGAUCUUCUUUCCCUGCAGUCUCUGCCAUAAUCGAUCUGCUCUCCCUUUUUUACUUUUCUCGUCAAAACGCAGACCUAAACUAUCUGCCAUUUGAUCCUGAAUGUCUGUGACAUUUGGAUUCUGGGACACCGUGGCUAUCAAAACUUCAUCAAAAAGAUGCAACUCUUUUGCUCUCCUGCCUACUUCUUUCACUAGGGUGGUUUUACCCACCCCUCCCAUGCCGUACAGUCCAAUCAUAUCGAUACUCUCAUCUUUGAGAGCUUCCAUAAUUUGUUCAAAAGCUUUUUGACGAUUCUGAGGGUGUGAAUCCCUUUGAUGGAAGAAAUUCUAUGUCUUGAAGAGGUGCUUUGUGGGACACUGUUGGAAACUUUUUGCUAUUUUCUUCAAGGUUUCUCAAAGUCUCCGUCUUCUUUGCAAGUGCCUUGCUUAACUUGAAUUGUCGUAUCCAAUUUGGACACCAAGUAAAGCAUUUGCCAUUUUUUCCUGUUUCAUUUUCCAAUGGAUUCACACCUUUAAUUUCGUUGUUUGCAUCCUCCAGCCAUUUGUUGACAUCUUUCUCAAUUUCUUCAGCAUUUCUUUCAGCAACUUCGACAGCCUUUUGCAAACGAUCUAGUGUCAAAGCCAGGUUCUUCUUUUGUUCAUUGAAUUCUUGAACAAAAUUGUUGAAACAGAACAUGUAACGAAAUUGCCUUAUUGUUGGUUCCACCAAGAGUUCUGCUAUCUUAGAUACAAUGGAUUCACCAACACUUUCGAUAGCCAUUUUCCACCAGUCUGAAAACCAGAGAAAUAAGGAUACCGACUAUGAGAGUGAGACAUUACAAGUAAAAUAGGAAUUUUAUUACCUUAAUUUUGGAAAAUAUGUGCGAAAAGCAAUAAAAUAGCGGGAGGAACAAAAGGAGAAGGCCUUUAGUAUGGAAUCCAGCUUCAAAAGCAACAAGGCAAGGUAUAAGUAUACCAAUGAGCAACCCUCAUCUAUAAUAUCUUUAAAUUAAUUUGUUAUUAAUUUUAAAUUGUCAUAAUGAUGUUAAUAAAAUAUAGAAUAUUAAUAUGGUUGUAUUGUCAAUCAAAAAACUCCUCUCGCUCACAAAAUAUAGAUUAGAAUAUUAAUAUUAAUAUUUCAUCAAAAGUUAAGAUAUAGAAUAUUAAUAUAUCUUAGUUCUAUUUCACUAGUUGUAUAUGCCACUAACUUUAUUCAUGCAAUCAAUAUAUUUAAUAUUCAUUUGAGUUUGAUUAAUGAAUCUAAAGUUGAGAUAAAAUUAUUAGGAAAAAAUAUGCUUAGAAAAGAAAAUUAUGAAGUUGUGAUAAUUAUGAUGUUUCUUAUUAUAUCAAGACAUUGUUUAUAGUGCUCCUAGUUAAUGCUUUAUUAAUACUAGAAAUUAAUCAAAGUUAUUGAGAUUGAUAUAUAUUUUAUUUUUUUUCUUUAUAAAAUGAAGCAAUUGUUCUAUAAGGUUAAGGUAUAAAGGAUACCUAAAAUUAAUAUGUAGGUAUUUAUUUAAUGAAAAACACACUAAAUUGAGUUGUAAGAGGACUGUAAAGAGAAUUUAUUCUUGAAAGGAGUGGUGAGAGAAAAAUAGAAUUUGAAGAAGUUCAAGAACCAUAAACUAACAUCCAAUUAGAACCUGAGCUCAAAUAUAGCACUAGAUACUUAGCUUAAAGAUCAAGAAACACAAUAAUACCAUAGAUCUAAUAAGAGAUGUCAUACACCAAUGACAUAUGAAUUUUUCAUAGAAGCUAAAAAUGAUGAGUUGCUCAUACUUAAUGAGCCUACCAAUUACAUGAAAGCCAAUAUCUAAUAUUGAUUCCAUGAAAUGACUCACGGAUAUAAAAUUCUAAAUGGAUUAAAAAUAAUUUGGUUAAUUAACCUAAAGGAAUAAAAUUCAUUGGAUGUAUAUAGAUCUUUAAGAAAUAGAUUAGUAUUAAUGGCAAUGUAUAGAUGUAUAAAGCCAGACUAGUUACUAAUGGUUACAAGAAAAGACAAGAAUUGGCUUUGAUGAAACCUUCUAGCUGGUAGCUAUGUAAAAACCUUUUUGAUAUAGCUACAUGCUAAUAUUAAGAAUUCUAGCAAAUAGAUGUCAAAAAUGCAUUCUUGUAUAGGAAUAUUCAUAAAGAUACGUAUAUUACACUACCUAAAGGUUUUGAAUCUAAAUAAUUUCCCAAAAAUGUAUGCCAGUUGUAAAACUUCAUUUAUAGACUUGAACAAGAUUUAUUGGCACUAAUAAUAUACUUGGUUGAGAAUAAAUUUAAAUAUGUUUCAUAUGAAUAUAACAUCAAUAAGCAUGAAGAAUUUCAUGAAAAUUCAAUCAAAAGGUCAAAGAAGGAAGCAAAGUGAAGACUUAGUUUAAGUAUUUAUUUUAGUUCUUAAUUUAUAAAUCUUUAUAUCUUACUUGAUGGUAUAAUUAAAAUAAACUCACACACAUCACUCUGCAUAUAUUAAAGGAUUGAUAUAUCAGAUGAUCUAAGAUAGAUGGUUCUAAGAAUUCACCUAGAUUAAAGUUGUUGAAUAUGGAAAUCUACAUGAGUUGGACGACCGUUUGUUCAUCAGUGAUAAACAAUUGGAAAUUCUACAUUAACCAGACGACUGCUUGUUCAUUAGUGAUGAACACUUAGAAAUUCUACAAGAAUCAGUUGAUUGAUUGGCUUGACUAGUCUGAACUGGUCAACCGUUUUACUUAUUAGUGGGCUACCAAUAACUAGUUUUUCUUAUAAACAUUUCUAUAGCUUGUUUAAUUGUAAAAUUAGCAAUGAAUUCCAAACAUAUAUGAUAAAAAAUCUACUCCAAGAUAAAAUAACAAUAAAAUUAUCAAUCUCUGAUCAUACUAUAACUAGUGCUUUUAAACUAUCAUAUUAUAACACAAAGAGUAUAUAUUUUCAUUCUCGCUACACUUAAAUACUUUUAAAUCCUAUAAGUGCUACUUAGUGAGUGAUAAAGAUAUUAGAACUUCAUUUGUAUGAUCCACUCUAUUGAAAGAGUUUGUUGUAAACAAAAAUCAUACUUGUAAAACCAUGAGAGUUAAGUAAAAACUCUUGGUAUUAGUGAGGGAAUAUCAUCAAAGUAAAAUCUUGAAGAGGAUAUAUCUUCAAGUGAGAAAAAUCUUGAAGAAGGAUUUCAAGUGGUGUAAAAGGCUUGGUGUGGAUUCAUCAGGUGGCUAUUGUACACCUGAACUUAGACUAAUAAAAAUAUAUAAUAUUCAAGUACGGUUUGAUAUUUGAGGUGUGAAUAUAGCAAAUUUGCAGUUCUCUCUCUUAAAUCUUUACUUUAAGUACUUUAAUUAUAUUGUUGGUUAUUAUGUUUACUUGAAAUAAUUUGCAUUAUUUGAUAUUAUUAGAUGUCUUAAUCUUGGAACAACAAUUGAUAUCAGAGUUUAGUUCUCAUAUAUAGGUUUACUUAGACUUUGAGUAGAAAAGCAACCACUAGUUAUAAUCUUCAAAAUGAAGGAUCAUCCACAUCUAGAGUAUAUUUUAUUAAUGGUAAUGAUUAUGCAUAUUGAAAAUGUAAGGCCCAAAAUUUUGGCCCAAGCUCAAGUCAGCUCAAACCCAACCUAAGUUAACCUAGAAAAGGUUGUAAGAGAAUUAUUUUUCUCUUUUUUUUUUCUUGUGGUUGUUGUGACCGUACCCUUAUCAAACUAAUGAUUUAUUUUGGAGAUCUGCAUAAUUGAAGACUAUCAUAUUAGGAUUCUUGGAAUCCUAAUCAAUCGAUCAAUGAGUUGGUCUAGACCAGCCGACUGGUUGGCCUAUGAUAGCAGUCAACCGGUUGGUAAAUCUUGUCAACCAGUUGGCCUAACAGUAGGUUUUUAUCGAGUUUGUUGGGUUCGGUCAGUUUAGGUUAUGCACGGAUUCGAUCGGGUGAAACAGUUCAAUGCUAUAUUUAUGUUUUGGUCUUUAAGCUUAGAGUUUUUAAUCUUUUAUGAUACUUUGCGUUGUUACUCAUUUUUUAGCCCCACAAGUUGGAGAUGGUGUGUAUCCCUCUUGAAGCGAAUGCAGGAGUUUAGCUCAUAGUUGCUGGAAGAUUGACAAAAACGGAGAAUAAAGAAAUGUUUUUCUAACCCUAUUUCAAUUGUUUUCUGCUCUCUUUAUCCUCCCCCUUUGCUGCCAAAAUCUUUAGGAUUCUUAAGCUAAUUAGGAGUCUUCAUAAUGAUUAAUUCAUUCCUUAUUUCUCCUUGUGAUAACAAGUCGAGAACACUUGAAAUACCAAGGGAAAAGUGAGUUUUUAAGCAUAUUGAAUCUCCUUAGAUUUCUAUUUUAGUUGUCUCCUAAUCCACGAGUUGCCAAAGACUCAUGAGAUUACCAUGGAAUAACAAGAACAAGAGGAAAAGUAAAAAAAAAGUUUAUCAUUUAAAAUCAUUCACCAUAUUGAGGGUAAUGAUGAUGAUGAUAAUCAAGAAAGCAUUGAAGAGAAUAUUGCCUUAAUUACAAGGCAAUUCUGAGCUUUCUAAGGAAGAAAUAAGGAGAUAAAAGAUUAUCAAAUUUAAAGAAAGAUGGGGAAUAAGGAAAAGUCUAGCAAAGAACUUCUAAGGUGUUUUAAAUGCAACAAGACAGGACACAUCAAAGUAGAUUGUCCACUUCUUCAAUACAAGAUGAGAAAUCAUCAUUAUAAUACGGCAAUGACAACCACUGGGAGUGACAAUUCUGACUCAAGUUUUAAUGAUGAAGAAAAGCAUGUGGCAAACAUGUGCUUCAUGGCUAUCGAAAAUGAAAAUGAGGUACAAUCUUUGGAUUAUGAAUCUGACCCUAAUUAUAAUGAGUUGCAUGAUGCUCUUAAAUCUUUAUAUAUGAUGAAUUUAAAAAAUUAGAUUUAAAAUAUAGUUUAUUGAAAAAGAAAUAUGCAUGCUUAUUUAUAGAAAAAUAAACUCUAGAAAAUAAACUUGUAUUGUUAUUGAUGAAAAUAAAAAGGUUAAUCAACUUGAAAAAUAAAAUAAAUCCUUAAAAGAAAAGGUUGAAAAGUUGAAUACAACAUUAGCUAAAUUCAAGCAAGGCUCCAAGAUUUUAGAAAAUAUGCUUUCAUGUCAAAGGUGUGUUUUUAACCAAAAAAAAAAAGGUUUAGGUAACCUAAAAGGAACCAAAAGUAUUUGAAAAAUCACUUUGUUAAAACCAAAUAAUCUUAUAACCCUAACCAUAAAUGCAAUUAUUGUAAAGUUAGAGGUCAUGUUAUGUAUGCAUGUUCCAUUGAGAAGGACAAAGCUUAAUAUAACUUAGGUUCUAAAAGGAACCACCACUAACAAUAAAGGAAUGGAAAAAAACCAAACAAGCUCAAGCAAUAAUCAAGAAAUGGUAAGUAACUCCUUCAUGCCACUAAAAGAGCUAAGGUAUGUAAGCUCCCAUCCUCCUGGAUUAAUUAUCGGUAAUCUAUUUAAAGUAACUAGAAUAAGAGCUUCUUCUAGAAACAUUAGUGGGCAUUUUGCAUUUGUUUCUCAAAUAGAACCCAAGUCCUUUCUAGAAACUGAAAAGGAUGAAAAAUGGAGUUUGUCCAUACAAGAUGAGUUAAAGUAAAUUUUUAAAAAAUGAUAUUUAGAAACUAGCCCCUAAACCUAACAAUCAAUCCACAAUAAAAACAAAAUGGGUUUCUAGAAAUAAAGUUGAUGAAUAUGGGACAAUAAUUAGAAACAAAGCUAGAUUAGUUGUCACAUGUUAUAAUCAAUAAAAAGGUAUUGAUUAUAGAGAAACAUUUACAAUGGUAGCUAGACUAUAAUCAAUAAGGAUGCUUUUAGUCUAUGUUUAUCAUGCUAACUUUACACCUUUUCAAAUGGAUGUUAAAAAUACAUUUUUUAAAAUGGUUUUAUUAUGGAAGAAGUGUAUGUUAAGCAACCACAAGGUUUUGAAAACUUUCAUUUUCUCAAUUAUAUUUUCAAACUCAAAAGGACCUUGUAUAGUUUAAAAGAAGCACCAAGAGCAUGGUAUGAUAGAUUAAAAUCCUUUUUUAUUGAUAAUGGUUUUAACAUUGACAAAAUUAUCUCUUUGUAAGAAUUUUACAAAAUGCAUACAAGAUGAAUUUGAAAUGAGGAAGGUGGAAAACUUGAACUUCUUCCUUGUAUUGCAAAUCAAAUACACAAGGGAUGAUAUCUUCACUAACCAAAGCAAGUACAUCAAAGAUCUUCUAAAAAGAUUUAGGAUGGAACAAGUUAAAGUUGUCAAUAACUCAUGGGAACAUCAAUUAAUCUUAAUACAAACAAAAAUGGUAAGAAUGUAAACAUCACUAAAUAUUAAGGUAUGAUCGAAUCUCUUUUAUACUUAACUGCAAGUAUACCUAAUAUCAUGUUUUGUGUAUGUUUAUGUGCAUGUUUUCAAGCUUGCCUAAAAAAUCACAUGUAAGUGUUGUAAAACGUAUUUUUUUUAUUUUUGCAUGGUAAUGUAGAUUUAGAGUUAUGGCAUCUAAAAGGAAGUGAGUUAAACUUGAUCAGAUAUUCAAAUACAUACUUUGUCAGAUGCAAUGUUGAUAGAAAAAAAAUACUAGCAGAACAUAUCAUUUUUUAGGAUUCUUACUAGUAUCUUGGGCUAUUAAAAAGCAAAACUUAGUAGCCCUAUCAAUCACUAAAGUAGAAUAUAUAGUUGCAGGUAGUUGUCGUGUAAAAAUUUUAUGGAUGAAAUAAAUCCUAGAAGACUAUUAACUUAAUUUUGAUCAUAUACUCAUUAAGUGUGAUAACACUAGUUCUAUAAGUCUUUAUAAAAACUCAAUCCAACACUAACGUACAAAACAUAUAUAAGUAAGGCUUCACUUCCUAAGGAAUUACAUUGUAAAAAGAGAUAUUGUACUUAAGCCUAUAAGCACAAAACACCAAUUAGUAGAUUUCACAAAGCCACUAAGUAAAGAUCAAUUUUGGAAAAUACAAGGAAUUUGAGUCUAAAGGUUGGACAAAUUGGUAUAUCAUUACUCAAAAAAUAUAUUUGGAUGAUAAAAUUUUAAAAAUAUAGAUUUUUGUGUGAACCAUUCGAUCGACUCAUAUAACUAGAUUAAUUGGCAGAUCGGUUGAGUCAGAUGAUUGAUAACAAGGCUACUAAUCAUAUUUUCAAUUUUUAGCCCCUCGGUUUCUUUGUCUUUUGGAUAUAAUUUUAUAUGGAAAGGAUUUAUUUUUAGUGCAAAGAAAGGAUCUGAAGAGAAUUUUAGGAAAUUUUCAACUUGGGAUUAAUUGGCCGACCAGAUGAGCUUAACACAAAACAAUUAGUUGGUUGAUUGCUCGGCAGUAUAUAUAUUUGUUAUUUCUCAAACAAAAUUAGAAAAUAAAACAAACCCUAAACCCGACUCUCGCUCAAAAACUCACCAAAAUACAUCCGCUUGAUCAUAUUUUUAGCUUAUUUCUUGAAGAUUCAAGUAUAAUAGCAAGCAAGAAAAGCACAAAAAAUGUGGAAUCAAAAAGCAAAAGGGCUAAUGAUUGAACCUCAUACCAAGGUGAUGAUAUUCAAAGAUUUCAAAAUUCUUCUACAAAUAGGUCUAUUUCUAUAAAAAGAGGCAUGGGAAAUGAUCUCAAUGCUUUUGAUAUAGACAUUAUGUUUUAGGAAAUGGUUGGAGCAUAAUAUAUUAUUUGAAGAAAGUUAGUUAUCCUAAGGUAAUAAAAAUUUUUUUUUGUUAAUAUGAGGAUAACAAUGGAACCAAGGAUUAUAAAGUCAAGAUUUGAUGUUAAGAACUAGAUUGCUACAUAGGAUUAUAGCACACAAUAUAUUUCCAAAGAAAGAGCAAUUUGAUGAGGUAACUUUGAUGGAUAUGUGCUUAAUCGAUUGCAUUAUUAGGAGAUGGCUAAUAAAUCUUCUUUAUAUUAUGAUUAGGAAUACGAUCAUGGCAUAUGAUCAAAAGCAAAAGUCUAUUUCAUAUGGUCAAGCAUUAAUUUCUAUUUUUUAGCAUUUUAGGAUUAUUUUGAUGGGUAUAGAUAGGAAUCCAUAUUUAAAGCUCAUGGAAAUAGAUAAUAAGACCCUAACCAAGAUGAAAUGUCUUAAAAAAAGGAUGGUGUUUGGGUUCCUAAGCACCAACUAGGAGUACAUGCUGAAGAAGAGCAAGAUGAUGAGGAGGAAGAGCACGAGACUAGUAGUGAUGACAUAACUGAAGCUAUGUUUAGGUCACCACCACUUGCUUCCUCUCAUGAAGAGGCUACAUCUAGUACAUGGAAUUCAAGUAUGAGAGUCACCUAAUACAUUGCAAAAGAUAGGGGGAGACAUAUUUUUAUAUCUAAGUUAUAUAUUUAUUUUCAUAAUAAAAAAAUAGGAGAGUGUUUACCUCAAAUGAAAGAAUAUUAAUUAUAUUGAUAUACUAGUUAUUGAAAGGUUAACUCAAACUAUAAAUAAAGUUUUUAAUAUGUUAAAAAUCAUGAUAGGUUGUAAUGCAUUGUACAUAACCUUCAAAUAUAUAUUAAUCAAUUAUUAGAUUGAUGAUAAAUUAAGUUAUUUAAUAUAUCUAAUCAUAUUUUAAUUAGGAUUAUAGUUUAUAAUUGGGUUAAUAUAUUAGGAACAACAAGAAAUUAAAAUCAAGUUUUACUUGACUAUAAAUAAGUUUUAAAAAAUUGAGGGACUAAUGUAAUUUAUAUAAAGGAUUACAAUUGCAGACCUAGAAAAAUCAAAUAUGAACUUAAUCGAAUAUAUUUAUAGUAGUUGUGCCGAAAUCAAACAUAUGAUAUUUUUUAGGGAGAAAAGUGAUAUUUUAUUAUAGUUAGAGUUAUGUUUUCCCUAUGAAUACAAUGAUGUUACUCAUAACUCUAAUAAAGAUAAUUUAUUAAAGAGUUAGAAAAAAGCUAGCCCUCAAGAUUUAACAAUCCUUCAAUCCUAAAAAUUUUAAAAGAUUUUUAAUUUUGCAAUUCAUGUGGAUUAUAAUUAAAGAUUAGAUAAUUUAAUAACUAGUUAUUUGUGACAAUCUAGCUAGAAAGAAUCUAUCAAAUCCUAAAAGAAAGAAUUAUUCUUCAACUAAUCUUCACUCAAAAUCUAAAUGAUCUUUAACUGUGUAAUGAGAUUUAUGGGACUUUGAAAAUAUUCUGAAAUUACCAUUUUUAUUGCGUUCAUGUUUUAUGAGAAACCUAGAAGUUCAUCAAUAUGAACAUAUGGAAGGGUGUCGUUUUAAACAAAAGUAUGGAUAGAUUUUGUAAAUAUUCAUAAAAAUUAGGUUGAAGCAUAAGACCAUAAUACUUCUCAAUUUAGUGAAUCUCUCAAAGAAUGUAGUUUUAUAUGUAUAUCUCUCUCGGUUAAACAUUAACCAACCGUGGUUUAAAACUUGGGCUAUCACUAAUUUAGUUCAAGUAUUGAAAACGUAACGUAAUUGAAAGUUUAAAUUGAAAGAUGUCUUUAAAGUCAAAACUAUAUAUGAAUCUCUUAAAAUAGAAAUGUAGCUUAACAUAUAUAUUUUUCCAUUUGAACAUGAAUGAUGAAUCACUACAAUCCUAUAAAUACAUACAAGAGCAAAAUUAAAACAUUAUAGUCUAGAUGAAUUUAAAUUAGCAUCACAAAGACUUGUGAGUUAAAGAGGUAAUUUCUAUGAAAAAUGCAAUUCCAUGACAUAUAUAUAAAGUAAGGUAGUAUGUGUAAUAUAAAGACAUUAAUAAACAAAUAAAAGAAGAAUAUGUACAAGAAAUUACUUGAUGGUAAGGAGAUAAACGAACGACAAAUUCACGAUGAUUAGUUAACACCUGCAUAGAUGACACAAAUGUAAUUAAUCUAAUAAUCUUAUGCAUGUAACUAUAUCUAUGGUAGCUCAAAAAAGUAAUUUUUUUAUAUAUAUAGAAUAAAAAGAAAAGUCUUCAAAAGGAGUAAAUAAUUAAUUGAAUUAAGGUCCCUCUCUCCCACUUGCAAGGAUCUUGCAGGAAUCAAACUCGAGCUAGCAUCUAAUAAUAACUUGCGUAUGACUAUCCUUAUGAUAUAUAUCCAUGAAAGAGUUUCCUUACUUCAAACUCGAUUUGUCCACGAAGGCCAAAGCCAAAAAUAUUCAUAUUAAAAGGGGAUUCUUUAUUUCAAAUUUGAUCUGCUUUCAUUUUUUUUUUAUUAACAUAUAAGGCUAAAAUGUUCCGAUUAAUUUUUACUUCAAACUAUACUCGAUUAACAUAUAAGUAAUAUUUUAUAUAUUGUUAAAAAAUCCUACACUCUAUUUUGCAUUAACUAGGGAAUUUAUAAGAAUUUUAUUUCUCAUGGACUAACCAUACAAUUGAAUAAUUAACAUAUACUAAGGGUCUUGGCAUUUCAUUGUAGCAAUUAAUAAAAAAAUAUUUUGGUCUUUUUCAAUUUAAUCCUCAAGUUUCUUUAAGUUUAAACUCUCUUUUUUCAAUUUCAUCAUCCAAUGUUGGGUUUAAUGGGUAUUAAACUUCAUGAUUUGUUUUAAAAUUUUUUUAUAAAGUUAUUCUAGUUUCAUUACCCGAGUUUGAUAGGUUAAUCUAGGUUGACUUGAGUUAUUUUUUUAUUUUAUUUUAGUUUAUUUUUUUCUCAACUUUAUCCUUCAACGUUAAGUUGAUUGAGAAUUGGGCAUCAUAUUCAUUUUUUUUUAUGAAAUUAUCAUGGUUUCAUGACCUAUAUCGCGAAUUUUACACGUUAGCCAAGUUGACUUGGGUUUUUUUUUAUCCUGUUCUGAAUUAAAUUUUUUAAAACAAUUCAUCAUUAAAAAUUAGGUUUAUUAGGAUUUUGACUUCAUAAUUUUGUUUUACUUUCUUUGUAUUGAUUUAUCUUGGUCUUAAAACCUGGGUUUGACAGAUUGACCGGAGUCAACCUAUGAUAUUUGUUAAUUGAUUUUUUUUUCAAUUUAUUCUUUCAACAUUGGAUUGAUUAGGAAUUGAGUUUGAUAAAAAAAAAAUUAUUUGUUUUCUAUUAGUUUAUCACAGUCUUAUGAUUCUGGUUGCAAGUUCACGUAGUUGCCUUAGGGUUUUUUUUUUAUCAUUUUUCAAUUGAAUGUUUAUUUUUUUCAAUUCCAUCCUUCGAUAUUGAAUUGAUUAAGAAUUGAGAUUUAUAAUUUGUUUCACUUUGCUUUGUUUAAAGUUAUCCCGGUCUUAUGACUCGGGUUGACUCAAGUGGUUUUUUAUAUCCUUUUUUUAAUUAAUUUUUUUUUCAAUUUCAUCUUUCAAUAUUGAGUUGACUGGAAAUUGGGCUUAAUAUUUUUUAUUAUUUAUUUUCUAUGGGGUUAUGAAGGUCGUAUAACUCAGGUCGAGGAUUUGAAUAUAAUAUAUUUUUGUCUUAAUAUUGUUUUUAAAAAUAUCAUCUUAAUUUGUUUUAGUUAAACUAUAUUCUUACCACUUGUUUGAGUUGUCUUUGGAUUUGUGAAGUCUACUAAAUCGCUAUGCUUAACCCUUGUAUAGUUUUUUUUCCUGCUAGAAAACAUGUUAAGUACACUUGUAUUUUUUUUUAAAAAAACUUUUAUUCGACUCGCAACAUAGCGCGAGAAAUUAUUGAGUGUUGGCUAAAAGGGGAUAUUUCUCUUAACAUCGUACAAAUCCUUGAAGAUUAAUUUAUAGUAUUUAGAGUUUAAGAGGAACUAUGAAUAUACAAAUACGCUUAGCCUAGCAAAUAAUUGCAUAAUAGCUCUAUCUAUUGAAGAUGAUUUGAUUAAAAUGAAUCUAAUUUCCUCAAUUAUUAAGUAAUGGGAAGGUCUGUUCUUACUAUGAAGUUCGUGGAUUUUUGGGCUUUCCAAUUGACAAAACCAUGAGUGAUAUAAUAAUAAUAAUAAUAAUAAUAAAGAAAUGAUGUGUCAAGAUCAAAUUAUGGUGUUCAAAGCUAGCCAUGCACUAUUAAAUCCAAACAUUAUAGUUAAUUAGAAUGUUCUUACAAGAGUACUAUUAUUUAGACUAUUACCCUACUUUAAUUCACCAAACACAGAGAAAUUUUACUCUUGUAAAUUUGUAGCUUUUACAUCCGUGUCAAAUUUAUGGUAAAGUUUUAAUUUAAUUCUAUAUAUGUAUUAUUAAGAAGAUUUUAAAACUAAUUAUUUUUCUAAUUGACUAAUAAAUUAAAACACCAUAAUCUUUUUAAUAAUGGGUAUUUGAUCUGUAUUUACAAUUAUUUAACCCUACAACGAGAUAAAAUUCGAUAUAAAAUUGCAUACAGAAAUUGAGUGAGUCUGGUAGGAGAAAAUAGGAAUUAAAUUGAACAAAUAGCUCACUUCCUUUCUCCAUGGAUCAUACUUGCAAACAUGUAUGAACACAUAAUAAUAUAAUAUAAAGACAAUAACAAAUAACACAAGAAUUAGUAGAAAUACACACCUUGUUUGUAGUACGUAGAGACAGGAACGAAUGGAAGAUUCGCGAUCACUUAGACACCCACAACCUCUCUAUCAAUCGAUUGCAACCACAAAUAUAAUCCUUAAUGUAUGUAGUGUUGCUAUAAUUAUGAUCUCUCAAGGUUUUUUUUUUUUUUUUUUUUUGAAAAUGAUGAUUAGGGGAAAAAAACGAAAGGACCUGAAAAGAAGACAACAAAUAAUUAAAUGAAGAAUACUCUCUGCCACUUCCAAGGAUGAAACUCGAGCUAUAUGAUUGUCCCUAUAUCCCACUCAAGGAAUAUGAUUUGCCCAUAAAGAAAAGGAAAAAACAAAAGACAUUCCUUGCUUUAAACAUGGUUUACUUAUGAAGUAAGCUAAUGACAUCAACAUUUGGAGGCUAAAGAGAGAUUCUCAUUUCAAUUUUAUUUUUUAUUUUAUUUCAUUUGUUGGGUGCAAGCAGGCCAAUGGCUUCAUGGGUAAGCGAAAACAUUACUGCUGCAUGUACAAAAACCAAUUUAAGGCAUGUAAGAGAUGCCCUAAAGCCUUCAAUUUUCUAUAUUACCGUUUAGAGCUUUAGAUACUUCUAUCAUAGGAAGAUGGUAACAAUAAAAAAAACAUUUUUUGUUUUUAUAUUAGAAGCUGGUUUGCGAUUGAACCUGUUUUUAAUGAAAAUUUAAAUUGUUUCCUUCAAAUUAAUUUUUUGGAUUGUUUUAAUAUAUUUAUAUCAAAAAAAUUAAAAAAAAUAAAAAUAUAUAUUAUUUUAAUAUAUUUUUAAAUAAAAAAUAUCUUGAAAAACUACGUUUCUAAAUAGGCCCAAAAUAUGAUUGGUCAACAAAGUGACGUGAACCCAUUAAAUGGGUUUUUUCCUAGAAAUAAAAAAAAUUAAAGUGUAAAUUAAAAACUUUAUACACGCAUAUAAUUAAAUAACUUAAGAACCAUCUAUGUCAACAAAUAAAAAAAAAAAGAGAGACAUUAACGAUAACUAAAUACAUAUCUAGAAAAGUCAAGGGGUGGACCUGUAUUAAGAUAUUUGAUCUCGCAACAUGGUUUAUUUACCUGAUUGUGUUUAAUAAAAUUAAUUUUUUAUUUAAUCAAAUGGUUGUAGAAAUAGACACACAUAAAAUUGAUUAUAUCAAAUUAAAGAAAAAUAUAUAUCUUGCAAGGUUGCACUUACUAAAAAUAUUAUCCAAAAAUAAAUAUUUUUUAUUCUUAAAAAUAAAGAUCAAUUAUAUAAAACAUAAUAGAUGAGUAAGAAAAAUCUCUUUAAAAAUUAAAUACUUAAAAACAAGAAAAUUAAAAAGGCUAAAUGAAAAAAAAUCAAAGAGAAGAAGUAUUAAUUUAAAUAUAAAUAAAAAAAUACUUAAAAAACAAAUAUAUAUAUAUAUAAGCAUGAUUGUUUUUCUUAAAUCCAAAAUUACUAAAACAAAGCCAACGUUGUUGAGCCUAGUAAGCCAGACAAACAUCUGGCCCAUUUAGGAGGGCUUACGUGGGGAUUUAUUUUUUAAAAAUGCAAUUGAGACAAAUAACAUGUCAUCUAUUUCAAUGUUUUUUUUUUUAAAUAAAUAAGUCAGAUGAUGCGUCGCUGGACUUUGCGAAGAUUCCAGCCACUGACCCUAUUUUUCAACCCAUUUUUUACUCUUUAUUUUUUUUUAAGAACUUUGAAACCAUCAUCCAUUUGUGGUGUCUUUUCCACUUUGAUCCCCAGACUUUUAAUUUUAUCCUUAGUAAAAAGAUUUGAUUCAAUUAGAAUUUAAUUUGGCUUGCCAUGGUAUAAAGAUUUUAAAAAAUAUUAUUGUUAUAGAAUAAUAUAAACCAUAUCUUGGGACUUUACCUAAUAACUUAAGUUAUUGGAUUGAGAUGAUUCAUUGGCAUGAUAUCAAAUUCUUGUUGAUCAAACUGUCAUAGGUUCGAAUUUCACUACUCUCAUUCUAGUUGAUAAAAAUUAAACAUAAGGUAAUGUGAGGAUUUGCAAGUUUAAAGCCCAAAAAGCUUUUACUUGAAGGGGUGUGUUAGAUAAUAAUAUAAAUCAUAUCUUAGAGUCUCAUUUAACAGUUUAAGCUUUUAGGUGAAAUGGUUCUUUGAUAUGGUAUCAAUGCAAGUUUGGGUAAGAUGCUUUUUUAACAUGGUAUUAAAGCAAGUUUGGGUAAAAUGGUUGUCAUACUUCUUUGACAUUAAUGAUAAGUAGUCAUAAGUUUGAAUCUCACUAGCCUUAUUUUAUUUUAUCAAAAUUAAGGAUAAGUUAUUAUGGGCAUAUGCAAGUUUCAACAUCAAAUAACUUUCAUUUAAAAGGGUGUGUUGGAGAAUAAUAUAAAUCAUAUAUUGAAGCUUUCAUGUGCAUGUAAAAAAUACUCAACACAAUCUGAAUAAUAAUGACAUAUAUUUGAAAAACAAUAUGAUUUUAAUUCAAGUAAAAAACACUUUUAAAAAGUAUCAUGCAUUAUAAUACUCAACACAAUCUAACUAAUGAUAUAUAUUUGAGAAAUCAUGGUAUUUUAUUUUUGGUAUAAAAUAUUGAGGACAUAAGAAAAUUAAAAACAAAUAAAAGCAUAUACAUUAUAGAUAAAUUAGUUUUAUGUCCUCUUCGUACAGGAGUGAAAUAAUUUUGAUGAUUUUAUUAUUUUUAUGUAAUGAAUUCUUUGAUAAUUUAAUUAUGUUAUUAUAAUCGUGUUCAUGUGUUAUUGUAGUAGUUAUAGUAAUUUUUAUUUAUAUUGUUCCUAUUGGGUUUAAAUAAGAAUUAUAAUACAUAUUAUUAUAUCCAUUAUAAUGCUUAAUCCAAAAUUUCAAUUAUUUUUAUAACAUUUUAUUUAUUUUUUUCAACUUGGUAUCAUUGUUUUUUAAUUAAUUGAAAUAGAAUUUAGGAAAUUCAUAUCCUAGAACUAAAAUAAAAAAGUUGUGUAACUUUUUAAAAAAUAAAUAAUAUACUCAUUCUCUUGAUGCAUAUAUAUCAAAUUUAAAAUUUUAAUUAGUGUUGAUUUUUUUAAAAGAAAUAUACUAAUAUAUCACUUGAUACCCUAAUCUUAUUAAAAGAAUGACUUAAUUGAAAAUAAUAAGGUUCAAUAAUGUAGAUUCAACUCUUAUGCUAUCAGGUACUAUUAAAGAGUUCAAAAGACUUUGAUGUGAGUUGGGUGUGUUUGGCAUUGUAAUGACAAUUGUGGUUCAAAGUGUAUUUUUGUUUAAAAAUAUAUUUUUUUUAUUUUUUAAAAAUUAUUUUUAAUAUCAGCACAUUAAAACAAUUUAAAAACAUAAAAAUAAAAAAUAAAAUAUUUUUUAGUAAAAAAUAAAUUUUCAAAAUUUAAGAGAACUUGCACCGCGAUUUCAAGCAGCAUUGCUAAGGCCUAUUUCAGAACCUCAUAAAGAAUCAUAAUAGAAACAAAACAUCAAAAUGACAGAGAAAACAUGUUGACGAGGCAAAUACACAAGUCGUAGAGCCAUUAGUUUGAGCAGAAAGGAGAACGAAAAUCCACACAUCAAACAAUAAGUGCAUACAUGAGUAACAUUAUGCCCUUCACUUGUUUUUGAAGGUUCAGAAACUUGAAAAGAAACACAAAUGGGCAAGCAAACAUACGCCCUUAUUUCUUGAGGUUCGCACAAUAAAUGACUGAAGACACAACAUGACAUGGGUAGACAACUCAAACAUUCGCCCUUAUUUUCUGGAAGUUCAAUAUCCUUCUUUUAGGAGUUGUAUGGUAAAUAUGACUGUUACAAUGUAAAGCCAAAUUGUAUAUCAUUGCCGAUGAAACAGUUGAAAUUACUUCCGCUUAAAGACAUGAUUCUCCGUGAAAUCAUCACAUGAAGAGGUAACCAGCCAACCUGAUCCAAACAUGAAGAACAACGACCAUUCAGGCAUAUCACAUAUGUUAAUUUAUUUCAACCAGUAAGAGUUGAAGGAGAAGGAGAAAACAUAAAUAACUGCAGCCACAUUACUUGGUUGGGGAAAUAUUGAAUUAUUAGCAUGUUUUUCAAAUCCCAAUGCCAAACUAAUCUUCUUACCUAUCACCAUCAUGAAAAAAACCAAUUAAUCUUAUUACACCCUCUUCUUCCUCCUCCUCCUCCUCCUCCCACCCAUUAUUUCGGGUCCACAUUCUACCAAUGCUAGAACCCUCAGCUACUUGAGAUACCUGCAAAGCCAAUUCAAGCAUGGCAUACACAUUCUAACUUGUAAGUCUUAUUAUCAAGUGAAAACAAGAAACAAAAGCACUUAAAUAGAGGCAAGAAAUCAUGUCAAAUAAGCAGCACCUCUGACUGAGCACUCAUCGAACCAUUUGUUGUAGUAGCAAAUUUUGUGGUCAGCUUUGGACAUAGACGCACCUUCAACGUCUCCAGCCGGGGGAAUAAGAAUUCAUAACAUCCAAGACUGAAGUAGACAAUCCUUGGUAAUUGCUCUAGCGACAGCUCCUGCAGAUCAGGGAGCACCAUCUCCUUCUCAACAUUGACAGGUGAAGCACGAUCAUCCUGCCCAAAUACUCCCAGUAGUUGAGAGGAUUGACUUACUCUAAGUAUUUGGAGCUUCGGGAGACCUGAAGCCAUGGCUACUGGGAAGAGACUCGUUAACUUGUUGCAUUCAUUGAUCUCAAUUCGACACAAACUAGGGAAGCAUAAAGAUUGGAGAUCACUUCCUGACAAUAUUUGAUCAUUUCCAUCAUCAAUAUCCGUAGCUAUGAUUUGCUCCAAUUCAUCACAAGUUGAUAUCUCUAGAACUUUUAGUUGAACCAGACUCAUAAUCAUGUUGCCUGUAAAUACAUGUGUCAGUCUCUCACAUUUCCUCACCACCAAAGUAAUCAAAUACCUCAACACGAGACCCUUCCAUAUACACCCCAUGUCAGGCACAGGCAGGGAGGAUAGCUGUAAUGCUUCCAAACUUGUUAAGCCCUGCAUAAAAAAAUUAUAAUAAUAAAGGUGCCAAUUUGUUAGAUAUAAUUCCUCGUAACGUUUGUGCACUUUGGAACUAUUAUAUAAUUUUGGUAUAUAUGUGAACCAAUUAUCCCCAAUACUUCAGCAAAAUACUUAAUCAGCUAAAAAGAUAUAAAUAGAUAGGGCAAUGGGUCAUCGGAUUAUGAAAUCAUAAUUUUCCAUAUUUAUGAUAAUCUAAAUAUAAAUCAUUAUUUUAUAUUAGUUAAAUUAAAAGCAAUCAUGAAAAGAUUACACUUAUUAACUGAAAAAUAGUCUUUUUAAUAUUUGAUUUAUAAAAAAACAAAUUAUGGCAUUAACCAAAAACAUAUAUAUUAGAUAAAAUAAUUUUAAUUUUACAUAUUAGUAAUAUUUCUUGAAUAUAAAGUAAAAAUGCUUUAUUAUUGAUCAUUUUUUUUCUUGUACAUAAAUUCAGUGCAUAAGAGCUUAUCGAUUACUUUAGUUUUAGACAUUUGGAGGAAGAAAGAAGAAAUUAUAACAGUGUAUUGAAGCAGACAAUUUAAAUUAGAAAAUAAAAAAAAAAUCAUGGAGAAGUAUAAAGGACUUACUUGGAGCUGUGCCAACAAAUUACCCGAUUCUUCUUGGCCAUCAAUGGUUAACUCUUGCAAAGAAGGCAACUGGGCAGCAAAAUCCUUUGGACCGAAGAAGCUGCAAUUUGAAAUAGACAAUUUUCUUAGCCGAGGGAAGUUGAUGAUGCCAUCUCUGGUGAGAGCAUCUCCUUCUCCACUGUAAAAUAUUUGCUUUAAAUUGCUAGUAACUACAGUCAUCUGUUCCAGGUUCAGAAGACUCGGAGACACAGAGACAGGGAAGACGUAUUCCAGUUGACCACAGUAUUCUAUAAGGAGAGUUUUUAACUUUGGAAAGCUUAGAGACUCUGGAAUUAUUUCACUUUCAUCAUCGUGUUCUCUGAUAAGAUGCUUCAAUCCACGACAACUUCUUAUCUUAAGUGUUUCUAGCUGUGGUAAUCUUUGAGCGAGGGACGGUGUGAAGAUAAAUGUCAGUUUGUCGAGAGAAUCCAAAUUCAGAUGAGCAAGACUUUGGUGGCUGACAUGCCUGGUGAGCCCCUUCCAUAUACAUCUGAGCUCAGGCAAGCAGGACAGUUGUAACUCUGUUAAAGAUGACAACAACGACAGCUCCUUCUCCUCACUGCUUCCUUCAUCAGCCUCACCCAAUUCAAAAACCUCUUCCAAAGAUAUACAGUCUUUAAUUUCCACACCCCUUAGAUUUUUCAAAGCCUGCCGCCAUUUAGCUGGAAACAGAGUGCGAAUAUCCCCACAUCCAUUCACUUUGACAUGUUCUAAUCUUUGCAAGAAGUCCUCUUGCGACCCAUGGCCAUGGGUGGUCAUCUGAUCGGAGGACAAUACUAUAUUUUCUAAACCCUCCACUCUACGAAAACUAAUUUGAGACACGGUAGGAAACAACUGCUCAAAUGUCUUCGCAUUUAAGGAUGUGGCGCUGAGUUCACCCAAAUAUAAUCUUGUCUUUGCAGUUGGGUAUUCAUUAUCAAGUUCUGAAUACCCAUUCCCUAACACCCAAAUAUCAUAUUUGAGCAACCUGGGAAAAACAAAAUCUCUGGGAAUGCAUUCAGCCUUCGGUAUCCUCAAUGAUAAUACAGCUAAAUGAGACAAGGGAGUUUAGUUCUGUUAGGCUCGCAUUCACUCCUCCCCUGCUUGUCCCAACGACAUCCCAUUCCUUAAAGCUGUAACACCCGAUUAGCAGUUCUUCUAACCUCUUCAAACUUCCAAUCAAAUUCACGGGAAUCCUUCCUAGAUUUCUACAGCCUGUCACGUCCAACAACCUCAAGUCCUUGAGCUCCCCCAUUUCACCAGGUAAUUCUUCAAUGGAGUCGCACCCUAUAAAACCAAGAAUCUUAAGUCUUUGCAGCUCUCUCAACCAAAUGAGGUCCUUGCAUUUACACUCCAUCAACAGCAACGAUCGAAGGCUAGUUGAGAAUUGAAGUGACUGCAAUGACAAACACCCUCCCUUUAGAGACAAAACUUCAAUUUCUUUCAUCCCUUCAAAAAACCUCUCUGGAACAUUCAAGCCACGAUCCAGUUCUAAUAGUAUAACUUUGAGCUGUGGACAUACCAAUCCUUCAGGAAGUUCUGCUACUUUAUUGCCCAUUAACGAAAUUGCUGUACAACCUUCAAAGCUUUUACUGCACAUUGGCCACUCCUUGAACCCAAUGCCUGCCUUUACCAUGAAUCCAUAUUCUUUAGAUGAUGCUAUCUGAAUAGCAACAUCACGAACCAAGUCAUGCAUUUUCACAUGCUCUUCAGUUUCAGUGCCUAACAGCAUACAACAAUCUUUGAGGCUUUUUAUUUCCGCCUGAACUUUUUCCCUUGCAUCUUCAAUGGACUCCACAUCUUGAUGUAACCCGUAGCCAACUGCAUAUCUCGUCAAGUCCUCAAUUGGAAUGUUGUAAUCUUCUGGAAAUAAACAGCAUAGCAAGAAACAUAACUUGGUUUUCUCGUGCUUCAAAUAAUCAUAGCUCAACUUAAGACAUGAAUAUGCAUUUUUUUGUUCACCAAUUUGUUCCAUGUGCCGAAAUUGAGAGUUUCUGAGCUCUUUGGACGCUACUUCCCACACAGCAGCAGAUUUAUCUCUUAGAGCCCUUCCCACUGUCACAAGUGCUAUAGGCAGUCCUUGACAUUCUCUCGCAACCUUCUUUUCCACUGUGUUCAAGGUAGAGUCCGCCUCACGUAAACCUGCAUUGAUUUUGAACAAAGCCCAUGCUUCAUUUUCUGAUAAGAGACUUAAGAACACUUUUGGCUGGCACUCCAUAUAAGAACAUAUGUCUUUGAGACGUGUUGUUAGAAGAAUUUUACAACCCCUGUGAGCAUCACCAAAUGGGAUCCCUAUCUCUUUCAAGUUAAUAACUUUCCAAACAUCAUCCAGAAUUAUAAGCAUCUUCUUCUCUGUCUUCAGUCUCUGCCAUAAUCGAUCUGCUCUCCCUUCUUUAGUCUUUUCGUCAAAACGCAGACCUAUACUAUCUGCCAUUCGAUCCUGAAUGUCUAUGACAUUUGGAUUCUGGGACAGUGUAGCCAUCAAAACUUCAUCAAACAGCUGCAACUCUUUGGCUCUCCUGCCGACUUCUUUCACCAGGGUGGUUUUACCCACCCCUCCCAUGCCGUACAGUCCAAUCAUAUUGACGUUGUCAUCUUCGAGAGCUUUCAUAAUCUGCUCGAAAGCUUCUUUUGACGAUUCCGAGGGUGUGGGUCCCUCUGAUGGAAGAAAUUCUAUGUCUUGAAGAGGUGCUUUGUGGGACACUUUGGGAAACUUUUUGCUAUUUUCUUCAAGCUUUCUCAAAGUCUCUGUCUUCUUUUCCAGUGCCUUGCUUAACUUGAAUUGUCGCAUCCAAUGUGGAUACCAAGUAAAGCAUUUGCCAUUUUUUCCUUUUUCAUUUUCCAAACGAUUCACACCUUCAAUUUAGUUUUGUGCAUCUUCCAGCCAUUUGUUGACAUCAAUCUCAAUCUCUUCAGUAUUCCUUUUAGCAACAUCAACAGCAUCUUGUAGACGAUGGAGUGCCAAAGCCAGGCUCAUCAUUUGUUCAUUGAAUUCUUGAACAAAAUUGUUGAAACAGAACAUAUAACGGAACUGCUUGAUUGCUGGUUCCACCAAGACUUCGGCUAUCUUAGAUACAAUGGAUCCACCAGCACUUUCGAUAGCCAUUUUCCACCAGUCUGAAAAAUCAGAGAAACGAGAAUAGUAAUUUUAUCACCUUAAUUUGUGAAGAUAUAAGUGGAAAGCAGUAAAAUAGCCGGAGGAACAAAAGGAUAUUAAUAUCUAUCUAUGCCAACGAGCAAUUAAUCCCUUGUCCCCUCAUCUAAAUCUCUAUUCAUGCCAUCUACGAAAGUUACCUAGGGUGCUAUCUUUUUUUGAAGGCUAGAAUAUCUUCAAAUUAAUUCGUCAUUAAUCUUAAAUUGUCAUAAUGCUGUUAAUAAAAUAUAGAAUAUUGAUAUGGUUUCUAUGCAUUUUAAAGACAGAAUCUUUAUGCCACAAAAGUAUACCUUAAAAUUCAUUUAUUUGAAUAAAGUUCUGACUUUCCCAAAUAUAUGAGAAAGGUACGUUUCUAUAAUAAUUUUUAAAUUUGUUUUUACAGAAUUGAAGACGAUGAAGAUUAUAUUGUUAUUGGGUAGAGAAUCAAAAAGUAAAGACAACUUGAAAUUAAAAUAUUAUUUAUGAAAAAUAAACCAUAUAAAUGUAUGAAAUAGCAUGAUGAGAAAAUAUUUUACAUAGAAAAUACUUUUUAAUAGUAGUGGGGAUGGAUGUCAUGAGAUGACAAUGAUUGUGAAAAGGGUGGUGAUGAGAUAGCAAUGAUAACAAGAAAAGAGGUCAUAGUGAGAAGGUAGUGGUGGCGGCAGCCACGAUGGUGGUAAAAAAAAAAUUGGGGGAAAUAAAAUAUGUUAGGGGUGGUAGUGAGAUACAAUGGUGGUUGAAAGUCAAGAUAUAAGAUAAUAAUAUUUUGUUAAAUAUUUUAUUGGCAAGGAUAAACAUUCAUAAAUAAACAGAAGUUUUGAAUUUUGCAAUGCAUGAGUAAAUGUGAUGAAGGUUGUGUGCCAUUUGAAAUGAAAGAAACUUUGCAAAGAUAUUACGUACCUCAAUCAUAUGAAUGAUUGAAUAAAAACUUUCUAGAUGAGACUUUGAUUUUAUUUUAACUUGAUAUCAUAAUUUAUCUACAUGUUAAUGAUUGUUCAUAAUUUUUAAGCAAAAUGCAUAGUUUGAUAGAAGUUAAUAGGCACCUCAAAAUAAUAUUUUGAAUAGCAGAUGUGAUUUUCCAGUUUGAAAAGAUUAUUUUGAUUUAUUUUUUUUAGAUUAACGUGGGUGUCCGGGCCAGCUUGCGCGCACCUCGACUAAUCCCACGGGCCCUGAAGUUAACGACCAUAUAAGCCUCAAGUGGUCAUCAUAUGAGCAACUUAGGGAUCGAACCUGAGACCACAGAGGGAGCAAACCUCUUGGCUCCAAGCUUUGACCACUAGGCCACCACCUAGAUGGUUAGAUUAUUUUGAUAUUUUAUAUGAUGUUUAAGAGAGAUCGAUACUACUUAUGUUAAAACUUUUUAUGCGAUGAAAAAAUAAGCAAAAUUACACUAGACUGGACUUGAAAUUCAAUUUUCUAUUCUAAAUUAAAGAUACAUUAGAACUAGAUUUGGAAAACCUAGGCGCAUAUUAGGCAACUCUUCUUGAAAACCUAAGUUAAGCUUAUAUUUAGCCUUAUGACUAAUGUGAGUUAAAAAAAAAUAUCAAGCUAGUUUGGAAAGUCAUACGUUAAUAUUCAAGGUAAGACUUCACCUAUAAUUAAAUGCAAGAUUGUUAAAAAAAUGAUGCCAAUUAUUUAAUUGCACUAUAAUAGGCUAUGUUGUCAAAAUAUAGAUUUAUAUGCUUGGAUUGAACAUAUUUUAUAAACAAUUGGAGAUUUAAUUGCUUGUUUAAGCUAUAUUGUGUGAUAUGGAGCUCCACAAAAAAGGAUAAAACUAAAGUGAUUACUGAUAAUGAGAACUCCAUCUUUCCUAGUUUAAAAAUUAAUCAAAGGUUUGAUGAUAAAAACUAUUGAUAGAUGAUUAGACUAAAUAUUAGGGCAUGUAAAUCUAAAUUUUAGAGUUCAUUAAUAAUGUUAUUGUUAGUGAAAUAUGCUUUGUAGUAAUUCGGUUCGUUAAAUGUAGCAUUGAUUUUAUUCAUGUAAAACAUAUUUAUUAUUAAUAAAAAAAAAUUUAUCUUUAAUAUUCAUUUAUAUUUAAUUAAUGAAUCUAAUAUUUAAUUAAUAAAUCUAGAGUAAAGAUAAAGCUCAUGAGACAAAAAAGCUUUGUAAAAAAAUCAUAAAGUUAUUAUAAUCAUAAGAUUCAUAUUGCAUUAAAAUAUUGUUCCUAAAUGUUCUAGGUCAAUAUUUUAUUAAGACUGCACAUUAAUUAGAGCUAUUGAGAUUGGUGCAUAUUAUGUUUUUUUUUAUGAAAAGAAAAAUUAUCUAUGUCUAUGGAAAGACUCAUGUAAUAAUUAUGUAAGUGAUCCUUAAACUUGAGAUAACUAAAUAUUAUUGAUUGUGAAAUCAUUGGCCCCGGUGGAACGAGUUUUGAAAAAGAAUCAAUGACUAUAAUGUUGAGAACAAAAAUAAUUUAACAAAGCAGAUAUACUCCAUGCUAUAAUAUCUAAAUAAAAACAUUUUUGAUGAAGGGAUAAUAAUUACACUGAGAAACUAGUCGCUGAAAGGUUAAGUCAAGUCACUUAUGACUUUUAUAAUAUUUAGGGGAUCAUGACAAGUUGUUAGACAUUGUACUUGAUCUUCAAAUAUAAAUCAAUUAAUUAUUGAACCAUUGGCCACACACAUAAGAACCAUUGGUCAGAAAUUAAAAUAAAAUGAUUAAUCAAAUAUGACUUGAUUAUAAAUAAAUUUUCAAAAUUGACGACUAGAAUAUAAUUAAUACAGGGGAUUUCUAUUCUAAACCUAGAAAAAUCAAGUAGGGAUUUUAUUCAAUAAAUUUAUAAAAUUAUCCUAAAAUAAUGUAUGCAAUAUUAUUUAAGGAGCAAAUUGAUGAUUUUAUAUUUAUAGGGUUUUCAAGUUUUCCUAUAAAGAGAAUGGUAUGCCUAUUAUUUCAUAAGAGAAUGUGAGAAGAGUAUGAUACGUAAACACCUAAAACACAAAAGAAAAGAGCUAGCACUCUAAGGUAUAUCAAUCUCUCUCUCCUAAAAGGAUUUAGGAGAUUUCUCACUGGUCAUUAGUGUGGAUUACUAUUAGAGAUCGAAUAUUUAGUCAGCUUAUGAUUUGCAACAACUCAGUGUUGAAGCAAAUUUUCAAAGCCAAAAAGAAUAUAUGUUCUUCAAUUAAUCUUUGCAUAAACCCUCAACAACUCUAGAUUUGUCUAACAAGAUUGUUAGGACCCCCAAAGAUUUUUAAAUUUCCCGUUUUUACUAUGUGUAUGUAUUUUAAGAUACCCAACAAUUAUAGGUGAAGCCUAAUGUUCUUAUUGGAGCUUAAAUAUUCAGUUAUGAAUAUAUGCUUGUAGUAUUUAGAAAAGAGCAGGAAGUUCAUAUUAGUGUGUAUGCCCAACAAUUAUAACUUUAUUUCUUUUUCUAAUUAGGUGGUUGUAUAUGCCACUAACUUUAUUCGUGCAAUCAAUAUAUUUAAUAUUAAUUUGAUUCUGAUUAAUAAAUCUAAAAUAGAGAUAAAGUUUUUAAGAAAACAUAUGCUUAUAAAAUAAAGUUAUAAAGUUGUGAUAAUUACAAGGUUUCUUAAUGUAUCAAGACAUUGUUCGUAGUGCUCCUAGUUAAUGCUUUAUUAAUACUAUAAAUUAAUUGAAGUUGUUUGUCACACUAGAUAUCGCAGUGGCCUUCAAAUUUCUAGGAUAAAGAACAGACAUCUAACAUCUUGUUUUUAAAGAGGAAAAAGAUCUGGUUUAAAAAGUCAUUAUCUACUAUUAUGAUCACUAAAAACCCUAACCGUUCAACAGAGAUUCUAUGGUACGAGACUGGUUAAGUAAAAUAAAAUAUAGUAUCACCUCUAAAAUAUCCUGCCUAAGAUAGGUUGUAUUGCUGGUUUUGUUUUAAAUUGCUAAAGAUAAAGAUUUGUUGUAUUAUGUUUUUUUUAUAUCUGCCUAUAAUAUUCUUGAUUCUCGCACUCAUAAAUAUUCAACUACAAAUACUUCCAACACUAGUGUUGAUAAAUAUUAUGUAACAAAAGAGUAUGGUAUUGUUGACUUUGGUAUCAUUGAAUAUUGAGGAUUCAAAAUAAUUCUCAAUCUUAUUGUCAAUAUUCAUAACUCUUAUGUUAGCAAACAUCGAGAAUAUUUCUAAUUCUGACAUUAGUGAAUAUGAAUAUUCCUUACUCUAACUCCAGUGAAUAAACCAAUAAAAUUUGAAUUGAAAGCAAAAGACAUAUUUUUGUUAUUUUUUUAGAGAAAAAAAAGAUAGAUAUGUAUGUAUUAUAUACUACAAUUGCAUUUCACACUAUAAGUCUACAACUCAAUACUAAGUAAAGUGGUUAAAAAAACGUAUGAGGGAUCCACGAAGAAAUUAAAAGGGUACCCGAAUUAUUUUUAGAAACUUCUUAUAUCUUAAAAGACCUAUUGGGCUAGAUAUCAAAAAUAAAUAAGACUAAAACAGGGAAAAGGACAUAAGGGUGUAUUUUUUCAAAUACACCCUUAACCGAAAGAAAAUUAGGCCUGCUGAGCUUGAGGCCCAGGUCCAACCCUAUCUCAACAGCUUCUGUCUUUCUUUUUUUAUAGGCUAGAUCAAGCCCAGCCAUAUGGGCUGGGCUUCAUCCACCGGCCCAACUUGGUCACUAAGGUUGAACAGUCCUCCUUGGAACAACAUCACUUUUUUGGCUGAAAUGGGUAUCUUUAUUUUUCCCCCUAAAUUGAAAAUAUCUUUUUCCUUUUUAAAAAAAAUUUCACCCCUGGAUCAAUGCAAUUAGACCCUGGAUUUGAGCGUCAUUUACAAAAUAGUUCUUGGUUUUAAAUUUAAUCAAUUUGGCCCUUAAUUGACUCUUUAACUUCUAAUUCUUUCAAAAUUACCCCUGAAAAAAUCAAUUAACCCCCUUAUUGUAUCAACAUCUAUUCACUUUGGUCUCUAGAAUUUAAUUACUUGAAAUUUUAACCCAAAUUGACCCUUAACUUUGAUAUUUCUUCAAUUAAGCCCCUGGUUUCAUUAACUAAACUAAUUCAAAGUUUAAUUAAGUCCCUAAACUUAUCAAUUCUCUUAAGUUUUAACCAAAUUGACAUCCACCUUUAUACUUUCCUCCUUAUUAGUCCAUGAACCUUUAAUUUGUGUUGUCUUGACCCAAUUCUCAAAAUAUUUUUUUAUUUAUUAUUAUUUUUAGUAUUGUUAUUAUUAUGGAAAUUUAAAAAUUGGGUUAUGACAUUGUUGAUAUUGAUACAUAUUUUGUUAUUUAAAAAAAAAAACAAUCGUUCUCAUAGGUUUAGGUGUAAAGAAUAUUUAAAAUUAAUAUGUAGGUGUUUAUUUAAUUAAAAACACGCUGAAAUGACUUCUAAGAGGAUUGUAAAGAGAAUUUAUUCUUUAAAUGAAUAGUGAGAGGAAAAUAGAAUUUGAAGAAGUUAAAGAACUAUAAACUAACAUCCAAUUAGAACUUGAGCUUGAAUAUAUAGCAUUGGAUGCUUAGCUGAAAGCUCAAGAAACACAAUAUUUUCAUAGAUCUAAUAGAAGAUGUCAUACACCAAUGAGACAUGGAUUUUUCAUAGAAGCUAAAAAUGAUGAGCUGCUCAUACUUAAUGAGCCUACCAAUUACAUGAAAGCAAUAUCUAAUAUUGAUUUCAUGAAAUGACUCAAAAAUAUAAAAUUCUAAAUGGAUUAAAUAUAACUUGGUUAAUCAACCUAAUGGGGUAAAAUCCACUAGAUAUAAGUGGAUUUUUAAGAAACAGAUUAAUAUAAAUAACAAUGUGUAGAUGUACCAAGCCAAACUAGUUGUCAAUAGUUACAAGUAAAGAAAAAGAAUUGGCUUUGAUGAAACCUUUUUGUUGGUAGCUAUGUAAAGACCUUCUUACUAUAGCUAUAUGCUAAUAUUAUGAAUUCUAGCAAAUAGAUUUUAAAAAUGCAUUCUUGUAUAGGAAUAUUCAUGAAGAUAUGUAUAUUACACUACUUAAAGGUUUUGAAUCUAAAGAAUUUCCCAAUAAAUUAUGCAAGUUGUAAAAAUCCAUUUAAAAACUUAAACAAGAUUUAAAGAGUUGAAAUAUCCAUUUUGAUGAGAUAAUUAAAAAAAGUGGUUUUAUUAAAAAUAGUUAAAAAUAUUAUUAAGUACUUAAAAAAAAUUAAGAAAAUAGUUCAUGGCUAUUUGAAAGCUAGAUUUAAAUUAGAUAUUGAUAAUAGCAAAUCUUGGUCUAGAUAUAGAGGCACACAUCACAUUUUUAUAUAUUUUGAUGAUAACAAACAAAAUAGAAAAUGGACUAAAAAUAUACUUGGUUAAGAAUAAGCUUUAAACAUGUUUCAUACGAAAAUCACAUCAAUAAGCAUGAAAGAUUUCAUGAAAAAUGAAUCAAACAACCCAAGAAGGAAGCAAAGUGAAGACUUAGUUUAAGUAUUCAUUUUAGUGUUUAAUUUAAAAUGAACUCACACACAUCACUUUACAUACAUUAAAGAAUUGAUAUAUUAGAUGAUCUAAGAUAGAUGGUUCUAAGAAUUCACCUAGAUAAAAUAUGUUAAAUAUGGAAUUAUGCAUGAGCCGGACGACCGCUUGUUCAUCAAUGAUGAACACUUGGAAAUUUUACGUGAACUAGAUGACUAGUUGUUCAUCAAUGAUGAAAACUUGAGCAUUUUCUAAGAAUCUUUUGAUUGAUUAGCUUGACCAAUCUGAAUUGGUCGAUUGUUUUACUUAUUAGUAGGGUUCCAACGACGAGUUUUUCUUAGAAACAUUUAUAUAAUUUGUAUAAUUACAAAAUUAGCAAGGGAUUCCAAACAUAUAUGAUAAACAAUCUACUCUAAGAUAAAACUAAACAAAAGUAUCAAUCCUUGAUCAUACUCUAACUAGUUCAUGGAUAUUUGAAUACUAGAUUUGUUGAAGAAUAGAAGGUUUAUUUUGGGGAUUUACAUAAUUCAAGACUCGUAGAUCAAGAUUCUUGGAACCUUGAUCAACCGAUCAGCUAGUUGAUCUAAGUUGUUUGACCGGUUUGCUUGUUAUUGCCAAUCAACUAGUUAGUCUAAAAAGAUUUGGGAUCAAGAAAGUAUGGGUACCAAAAACCUUAACUUGAUUUUUUGUAUAUAGGAAUCAAAAUAGUAUAGGAAAUGGUUUUUGGAUAAUGUUUGCUCAAAUCAUAUAACUAGAGGUGAUUCUUUAUUUUCAAGCAUUACCAAAAUCAAUGGUGGAAAAGUCACUUUUAGUUAAAAGUCUUCCUCGUAUAGCUUCUAAAAAACAAACGUUAUAUGAUGAAUAUGUAACAAUAAUUAGAAAUAAAGCUAGACUAGUUGCCAUAUGUUAUAUUCAAUAAGGAUACUUUUAGUUUAUAAUCAAGAAGAAUGUAUUGAUUAUUAUGAAACUUUUACACUAAUAGCUAGACUAUAAUCAAUAAGGAUAUUUUUAGUCUGUACUUGUCAUGCUUACUAUAUACUUUUUCAAAUAAAUGUUAAAAAUGCAUUUUUAAAUGAUUUUAUCAUGAAAGAAGUGUAUGUUGAGCAACCUGGUUUUGAAAACUUUCAUUUUUUCAAUCAAGUUUUCAAACUAAAAAAAAAAAAACCAUGUAUGAUUUAAAAGAAGCACCAAGAGCAUAUCCUUUCUUAUUGAUAAUGGUUUGAACUAUGGCAAAAUUAUCUCUUCGUAAGAAUUUUGUAAAAUGCAUGCAAGAUGAAUUUAAAAUGAGCAUGAUGGAAACAUUGAACUUCUUCUUUGUAUUGAAAAUCAAAUAAACAAGGGAUGGCAACUUCAUCAACCAAAACAAGUACAUCAAAGAUCUUCUAAAUAGAUUUCGGAUGGAACAUGUUAAAAAUGUCGAUAACUUAUGGGAACAUUAAUUAAUCUUGAUAUAGAUGAAAAUGGUAAGAAUGUAGAUAUCACUAAAUAUCAAGGUAUGAUUAGAGAUCUUUUAUAUUAAUUGCAAGUAAACCUAAUAUCAUGUUUUGUGUAUAUUUAUGCAUAAGUUUUCAAUCUUUCCCAAAAAAAAUAUUUAAGUGUUGUAAUAUAUAUAUAUAUAUAUAUAUAUAUAUAUUUUACUUUUUGCAUAGUACUGUAGAUUUAGAGUUAUGGUAUCUGAAAGGAAAUGAGUUAAAUUGAUCACCUAUUCGAACGUAGACUUUGCUGUAUACAAGGUUGAUAGAAAAAGUACUAGUAAAACAUGUUACUUUUUAGGAUUCUUACUGGUAUCUUAGGCUAAUAAGAAGUAAAACUCAGUAGCCCUAUUAGCCACUAAAACAGAUUCAUAUAGUGGCAUGUAGUUAUUAUGUACAAAGUUUAUGGAUGAAAUAAAUCCUAGAAGACUAUUGACUUUAUUCUUAUCAUAUACUCAUUAAGUGUGAUAGAAUUAGUGUUAUAAGCCUUUAUAAGAACAUUAUCCAACACUCAAGUACAAAACAUAUAGAAGUGGGACAUCACUUUCAAAUGGAUCACAUUGCAAAAGGAGAUAUUGUACUUAAGUUUAUCAGCACAGAACACCAAUUAAUAUAUAUUCACAAAGCCUCUAAGUAAAGAUCAAUUUUGCAAAAUACAAGGAAUUUAAAUGUUGCUCAUGCUAAAGAUGUGUGUGGUGUCUCCUAUAUGUAUAUGUUAAUGGAAAUAAGUUGGAUAUAUUCAAGUGAUGAAAUAUAUAUUUGUAAGCAUGAAAUGUCUGGAAAAUUUAUUAUGUUGCAAAAUUUUGUUGACUAUCCAAGCUUUGAGACGAAUCGGUCGACUGGUUGAUGCUAAACAAACAUAGGACGACUAUUGUAUGAACAAUAACCUUUUAAGAUUUGAGUUAGAUACCCUUUUAAAGUCAAAAGGGUGGACAAACUGGUAUAUUAUACUAAUGAAACAUAUCUGGAUCAUAAAAUUUGAAAAAUAUUGGUUUUUAUGUGAACCAUUCGAUCGACUCAUAUAACUAUAUCAAAUGGUUGGUCAGUUGAGCUAGAUGAUUGAUAAUGAUGCUAUUAUCCAUAUUUUCAAUUUUUAGCCCCUUGAUUUUUUUCCUUUUAGAUAUAAUUUUUUAUAUGGAAAGGAUUUAUUUUUAGUGUAAAGAAAGGAUUUGAUAGAAUUUUAGGAAAUUCUUAACUUGGGAUGCAAUCGAUCGACCAGUUCAGCUUAACCCAAAACAAUCAGUCGACCGGUUGCUCGACAAUAUAUAUAUUUGUUAUUUCUGAAACAAAAUCAGAAAAUAAAACAAACCCUAACCCCGACUCUCUCUUAAAGACUCACCAAAAUCCAUCCUCUUGAUCACAUUUUUAGCUUAUUUCUUGAAGAUUCAAGUACAAUGGCAAGAAAGAAACGCAUAAGAGAUGUGGAAACGAGUAAAAGGGUCAAUGAUCCAACCUCUUGUAAAGGUGAUGAUAUUCAAAGAUUUAUAAAUUCUUCUGCAAAUAAGUGCAAAUAAGUCUAUUUCUAGAGAAAGAGGGUUAGGCAAUGAUCUCAAUACUUUGAUAUAAACACUAUAUUUUAGGAAAUGGGUGACAACAUAAUAUAUUAUUUGAAGAAAGUUAGUUGUGUUUUUUUUUUUAAUAUGAGGAUAACAAUGGAAUGAAGGAUUAUAAAUUGAGGAUUUGUUGUUAAGACCUAGAUUGCUACAUAGGAUAAUAACAUACAAUAUAUUACCAAAGAAAGGGCAUUUUAAUAGGGUAACUUUUAUCAAUAUGUGCUUAAUCGAUUGCAUAAUUAGAAGAUGGCCAAUAAAUCUUAUAUAAAUUAUGAGUAGGAAUAUGAUCAUGCCACAUGAUCAAAAGCAAAAGUCUUUUCCUUAUGGUCAAGCAUUAACUUCUAUUUUUUAGCAUUUUAUGAUUACUUUGACGGAUAUAGAUAGGAAUCCAUAUUUGAAGCUCAUGGAAAUAGAUAAUAAGACCCUCACCAAAAUGAAAUAUAUGUUAAAUAAGGAUGAUGUUUGGGUUUCUAAGAACCAACUAAAUAAGAGUACAUCCUAAAGAAAAAAAAACAUGGUGAUGCAGAAGAAGAGCAAAAGACUAGUAGUGAUGACGAAAUUGAAGUUAUGUCUAGUACAAGGAAUUCAGGGAUGAAGAGUUACCUAAUAUAUUGCAAAAGAUAGGGGGAGACAUAUUUUUAUAUCUAAGUUACAUAUUUAUUGUUAUCAUAAACAAAUAAGAGAUUGUUGACCUUUAGAUUCUUUUAUAAAAGAAAAUAGAUAUUCUUAUAGGUUGUGAUAUAAGGUAUAUUUGAAACUAAUAUUUAGGUGUUUGUUUAAUGAUAAGUAUAUUGAUUGCACAAAGAUUCCAUAUGAAAAGAUUACUUGUGUAUAUGAAAAUACUCUUUUGAUAAUUUUGAAAGUGAUUUUUAGUGAUGUGAACCCUAGCAGAAUUGCAUGGAAUUCGCGAACCCAAGAUCUAUCUAAUCCAAGUUUUUGCUGAAAAUAGGAUGAGUUUAUCACAAUGGAAGACCUGCUCCUAGGCAACAAGACUAUAAAUCAACCCAAUCACAACGCCUACAUCUAGAGAUGAGCAAAAGGAGUAUAAAUUCACAACAAAAUGGGUCAAUUCUUUGAAAAGUUGAAAGUUCAAUCAAGAACCAAGAUUGACAACUAAAGGUCGGCAAAAACCAUAAUGGUAUUAGCCAAAAAAAAAAAGUAUGCUGAGAAUUAUUCUCAAGAGUAUUUAUACCCAAGCCAAAAACCCUAAUUUCUCUAAUAGGUCACAUAUAAACUCAAUUUAAAUAAUAAUCAACCCAAACUAAAACAAGCCCAAACUAAUUAAAAUAAAUAAAAUAAACAUGUCUAAAACCCAAACAAGUGUUUCCUCAUAAAAUAAAGAAAGUUUAAUAGCUCAACUAAUUUAAUAAGACAAGUUCAGUUAUUCUCGUAUUCUGUCUGGCAGCAACAAAUCCCAACUUCACAUUAAUAGUUCUUUCUCAUCUUAAAUAAUUAAAAUGUGUGUCAUGAACUGUUGGAAAGGUAUGGAAGUCUAGUUUCCAUUCCAACUAGAAUCACCUAAACAUUCGACUUGUAGCUCGAUUUAUGAUAAAACAAAAGGUAGCGAAAGGUCAAACUGACUGAAUCUAGUCUUCUUCUCUCAAUCCUUAUGUAAUGAUCUUGGUUCCUCCAACAAGCCCUUCGGCCACAACAUCGCCACUUUGAGCCAUCAUUAACGACAACAUCACCACCACCAGGUCAGCCUCAUCUCCUCCUCUUCCUCCUUCUUCUCCUCUUUCUCCUUCUUCUUCUGCAUCAUUUGUCGCAGUCUCCAUUGUUUUGUAAAGUGAACAAUGGAGAGUUUUAUCAUUGUUCAAUGGGUCAGACCAGGUCCAACCCAAAUCAAAAUGGUUGAGUCGGGUCUGGCCCAGUCCAAAAAAAUAUAUAAAUUUUUUUUUUCAAAAAUCCUUUCAAAAUUUAUGAUUUUCCCGCGUAUUUUUCUAUCAACUUUGCUUAAUAUUGGUUUGUAUUUUUAUAUUAUAAAGAUACGAAUCUGGUAUUAACAUACCCCAUUUUUUCUAAAAUAUUGUGAAAACUUUAAGAAAAUGUCUUCUUUACAUGCAUACGAUUAAGUCUCUCAAAGAUUGAAAAAAAAAUAUAUCAUAUUUUCAUACAAUAAAAAUUCAAAAAAUAUAUUUUAGCACGUAUUAUAGAUUUUAAUACAAAAUUAUUAAAGCCAUUAGAACUAUGCUAAUAUUUCAAAAAUACUAAAAAAAAUUAUUUUGUUUUCUUUUAAUAUCUAGGAUUAUGAAUUUACAUGUAAGACAUAUUCUCAAUAUUAAAAAAAUAGUUCUUUUAUAUAUAGACAUUAGAACGGUUAGGUUUUACACAAUAAGAUAAAAAUCUCCUUACUAAGAAAGACUUAUCUUAAACUUUAGACAAACCAACAAUUAAAUAACACAAAUACCUUAGCAUUUAUCAUACAAUUAAACAAUGUAGUUUACCUUAAGUAAGGCGUAUUUGGGGUGUUAAUAUCUUCUCUUUACGCAACCAGUCCCCGAGCCCGAUCUCUGAGACCAGUUAGGGUUUCUAGUGACCAUAAUAAUAGGAGAGGACUCAUUUUCUCUCUUUACACUAAUAAAAGACAAGAAAUCCUUAUCUUCCCCAUUUUCCGAUAUUAUACAAGAGUGGAUGCAUAUUGGUCGCAACGCCGCAAACAUGCAACGCUCUUCUAAUGAUAUUUAAUAUGUAUUUACAAUUAUUUAACCCUACAACGAGAUAAAAUUCGAUAUAAAAUUGCAUACAGAAAUUGAGUGAGUCUGGUAGGAGAAAAUAGGGAUUAAAUUGAACAAAUAUUUCACUUUCUUUCUCCGUGGAUCAUACUUGCAAACAUGUAUGAACACAUAAUAAUAUAAUAUAAAGACAAUAACAAAUAACACAAGAAUCAGUAGAAAUACACACCUUGUUUGUAGUACGUAGAGACAGAAACGAAUGGAAGAUUCACGAUCACUUAGACACCCACAACCUCUCUAUCAAUCGAUUGCAACCACAAAUACAUUCCUUAAUGUAUGUAGUGUUGCUCUAAUUAUGAUCUCUCAAGGUUUUUUUUUUUUUUGUUUAGAAAAUGAUGAUUAGGGGGGGAAACGAAAGGACCUGAAAAGAAGACAACAAUUAAUUAAAUGAAGAAUACUCUCUGCCACUUCCAAGGAUGAAACUCGAGCUAUCUGAUUGUCCCUAUAUCCCACUCAAGGAAUAUGAUUUGCCUAUAAAGAAAUGGGGGGGGCAUAAAGAAAAGGUGGGGGAAGGCAUUCCUUGCUUUAAAUUUGGUUUACUUAUGGAGUAAGCUAAUGACAUCAACAUUUGCAGGCUAAAGAGAGAUUCUCAUUUCAAUUUGUUUUUUUUUUUUGGGUGCAUGCAGGCCAAUGGCUUCAUGGGUAAGCGAAAAAAUUGCUGUUGACCAAUUUAAUUUUCUAUCAUAGGAAGAUGAUAACAAUAAAACAUUUUUUUGUUCUUAUAAUGAAAGUAUUUUAAGUUGGCUUGGGCUGUGAUUCAACCUGUUUUUAAUUGUUAACGAUAUUAUCCAAUCUCCUGAAGAUAAUAUUGAUACUGAAGAUAAACAUGAUCAGGGAUUGAUAUCCCUGACCUGACCUGACCUGACCUGCUCAUACCUGAUCAUAUCUAAACAAGAGAGAUUACUACUACUGAAGAUAAUCGUAAUCUCUGUUAAUAAUAUUAUCCAAUCUCCUGAAGAUAAUACUGGUACUGAAGAUAAACAUGAUCAGGGAUUGAUAUUCCUGACCUGACCUGACCUGCUCAUACCUGAUCAUACCUGAACAAGAGAGAUUACUACGACUGAAGAUAAUCGUGAUCUCCAAGCAUAUCUACAAUAAAGAUAAUAUUGAUAUUGAAGAUAAACAUGAUCAGGGAGUACGAUAAUUAUCAAGAAGUCUGGAUACUGAAGAGAUCAUGAUCAGGGAUUGUUAUCCCUGAUCAUACCUGAUCAUACCUGCUCAUACCUGCUCAUACCUGACCUGACCUGCUCAUACCUGCACAAGAGAUAUUCAUCGAAUCUGAAGAUAACGUGAUCACAUUAGAAAAUAUGUGUAUAUCUUAUCAUUAAUUGUACUCUUGAUUAUAGGAUUCAUUUUGAAUUUAAGAUGGUAUUAUAUAAGACCAUCAUGUAACAGUAAAUGAUUAUUCAACGAAAAUACAUUCUUCUGUAUCCCUCUAGCCUUCCCGUCUACAGCUCUUCUCUUCUUCUUCUCCUAUUCUUUUAUCUUACAUGGUAUCAGAGCCAUUGACUCACGUCACACAAAUGGCCUCCUCUACAGAAAAUACCUCUAAUGCUGCUGCUAUUAGCAUUCCUGCUCUUGUUUCCCCUCCUGCUAUAAAUGUCACAAAACUCUCAAAAGACAACUAUCAUGUCUGGAAAGCCCAACUAAUUCCCUUCUUCCGUGGGCAAGGUAUUUUUGGCUACCUUGAUGGAACCAUUCCCAUUCCAUCUAAAGAAAUUUCUGCUGCUGCAACUUCCUCUGUCAUCUCCAAUCCUCUCUAUGAACAUUGGCAGCGCCAGGAUGCUGUUAUAGUUGCCAUUCUGUUCUCUACAAUCUCCGAAAAUGUUCUUAUUCAAGUGGUAUCUUACACCACCUCAGCUGCUAUUUGGUGUGCUCUAGCCAAAUCUUUUUCCUCUCAAUCACGUGCUAGAGUUAUUCAACUCCGCACUGAACUUGUCAACACCCGUAAAGGGUCACAAUCUGCCCAUGAUUUCUUUAUGGAGAUCAAACGCAUGACAGAUGAACUUGCUGUUGCCGGUCAUGCUCUUCAUUGUGAUGAAAUUAUCUCCUAUCUACUGUCGGGUCUUGGCCAUGAUUAUGACUCUCUUGUCACUGCCACAUCCCACAGACAUAACACCACCUCCAUCCAACAAUCACCCGAUGGUAACCAGAUCAAAGAACCACAUUUCCAAACCAAAAAAAUCCUCUGAUGGACAAACCUUGUAUCCCCUGCCCCAUGCACUGCUAGCUACUGCUUCUCCUCCCUACAAAGAACCAACUUCGUUUACUGAAGCCUCAAAAUCUUCUCACUGGAGGUCUGCCAUGAACACUGAGUUUGAUGCCUUGCUCCGGAAUCGCACCUGGGAACUGGUUCCUCCAUCUCGCAAGGUAAAUGUCAUCGGCUGUCGCUGGAUCUUCAAGCUAAAGAGGAAGGCUGAUGGUUCUAUUGAAAGAUACAAGGCACGCCUUGUUGCUAAGGGGUUUCAUCAACAAUUCGGGGUGGACUUCAAUGAAACCUACAGCCCGGUAGUGAAGCCUGCAACAAUCCGGUUGGUUCUGUCAAUUGCAGUAUGUAAACACUGGAAAAUUCGUCAGCUGGAUGUCCAAAAUGCCUUCCUUCACGGCACACUUUCAGAAGAGGUUUACAUGGAUCAACCACCAGGUUUUAAACAUCCUCAAUUCCCUGAAUAUAUCUGCAAACUCAAGCGGUCCUUAUAUGGACUUAAACAGGCGCCUCGUCAAUGGUUUUCUCGGCUUGCUGCUGUGCUGCUACAACUAGGAUUUGUUGCCAGCAAAGCUGAUUUGUCACUCUUUGUUCUAAACGACACCACCAGCAUCCUCUAUGUUCUUAUUUAUGUUGAUGAUAUUAUCAUCACCGGCUCUAAUGAUGUUGUUGUCCAGGAUAUUAUACAGCACCUACACAUAGAAUUUGCUAUUACUGAUCUUGGUUUUCUAAGUUUUUUCUUAGGCGUUGAAGCCUUACGUGAUACUACAGGUCUCUAUUUAACUCAACGCAGGUACAUUAUUGAUCUGCUCACUAAGUCCAAGAUGGAUGGUGCCAAGCCGUGUUCAACUCCAAUGUCCACUUCUGUCAGCUUGACAGCAACAGAUACAACAACGUUUGAAGAUCCUACUCUAUACAGAAGCAUUGUUGGUGGCUUGCAUUAUCUGUCUUUCACUCGGCCUGACAUUGCUUUCGCAGUGCAUCGUGUUAGUAAAUUCAUGCAUCAACCCAAGCUAUCCCACUGGUUGUGUGUUAAGAGGAUCCUGCGUUAUCUCAAGCAAACAAUAUCAUACGGCUUACUGUUGUCUUGCUCCAAUUCAUUCACAUUUCAGGCAUUUUCUGAUGCAGAUUGGGCAGGGGACAUAGAUGAUCGUCGCUCUGUUGGUGCGUAUUGUAUAUUCCUUGGAUUCCACUUUAAUUUCAUGAAGCAAAACAGCAAGCCACAGUCGCUCGUAGCAGUACUGAAGCGGAAUACAAGCUCUCGCGGACACGGCAGCCGAACUCCAAUGGUUACAAUAUUUAGCUGCCGAACUUGGUCUGCCACUCUCCACAAGUCCCACUCUUUGGUGUGACAAUAUAGGUGCUACUUAUCUAUCCUCCAAUCCGGUGUUCCAUGCCCGCACAAAGCACAUUGAAAUUGAUUUUCACUUCGUCAGAGAUCUGGUCUCUCAACAGAAAUUGAUAGUCAGGUUUUUAUCUACUCGUGAUCAGCUAGCCGAUCUUCUGACCAAACCACUCUCUACAGCACGGUUUAAUUUUUUGUGCUCCAAUCUUCACGUUUGUGACCUCCCGUCAAGAUUGAGGGGGCGUGUUAACGAUAUUAUCCAAUCUCCUGAAGAUAAUAUUGAUACUGAAGAUAAACAUGAUCAGGGAUUGAUAUCCCUGACCCUGACCUGACCUGACCUGCUCAUACCUGAUCAUAUCUAAACAAGAGAGAUUACUACUACUGAAGAUAAUCGUAAUCUCUGUUAAUAAUAUUAUCCAAUCUCCUGAAGAUAAUACUGGUACUGAAGAUAAACAUGAUCAGGGAUUGAUAUUCCUGACCUGACCUGACCUGCUCAUACCUGAUCAUACCUGAACAAGAGAGAUUACUACGACUGAAGAUAAUCGUGAUCUCCAAGCAUAUCUACAAUAAAGAUAAUAUUGAUAUUGAAGAUAAACAUGAUCAGGGAGUACGAUAAUUAUCAAGAAGUCUGGAUACUGAAGAGAUCAUGAUCAGGGAUUGUUAUCCCUGAUCAUACCUGCUCAUACCUGCUCAUACCUGACCUGACCUGCUCAUACCUGCACAAGAGAUAUUCAUCGAAUCUGAAGAUAACGUGAUCACAUUAGAAAAUAUGUGUAUAUCUUAUCAUUAAUUGUACUCUUGAUCAUAGGAUUCAUUUUGAAUUUAAGAUGGUAUUAUAUAAGACCAUCAUGUAACAAUAAAUGAUUAUUCAACGAAAAUACAUUCUUCUGUAUCCCUCUAGCCUUCCCGUCUACAGCUCUUCUCUUCUUCUUCUCCUAUUCUUUUAUCUUACAUUAAUGAAUUUUAAAUUUUUUUUCAGAUUAAUUUUUUUGAAUGGUUUUAAUAUAUUUAUAUCAAAAAUAAAUAUUAAAAAUAAAAAAAUUAUUUUAAUAUAUUUUUAAAUAAAAACUAUUUUAAAAAAUUAUAUUUUUAAUAUUCAAAAUAUGAUUGGUUAACCAAGUGACGCGAAUCCAUUAAAUGGGUUUUUUCCUUAGAAUAUCAGGUUUAAAAUUUUAGUAUAAACCAUAUAAAAUAUGUUUUAUAUGCAAACGAAUCUACGGUGCAACUAGAUUUUGCAUGCCACUCGUGACCUGUAUUUGAGAAAUCAUGAUAUGGUAUAAAAUACAGAGGAAAUAAGAAAUAAGAAAGUUAAAAGCACGCAAAUUAAUUAGACGUCUGCCCCUGUAUUAUGGAAGUGAAAUAAUUUUGAUCGUUUAACUAUUUAUAUAUAAUAAAUUUUUUGGUAAUUUAAUUAUGUUAUCGUAAUUGUGGAUGUAUUGUUAAUUAUAAUUAUUUCUGCAUACAUUGUUUCUAUUGGGUUUAAACAAAAAUAGUAAUAUAUUUCAUAUUCAUAAUUAAAAUGCAUAACAGUUGCCUAGAAAAGAAAAGAUAGGUUUUAGUUCUUUUUAAUUGAGAGAAAAGAGAGUUCUAUUAGUGGUGGUUAUAAUUAAUCGCUAUUUUACUCACUCUUUGUUAAGGACCGGGUUUUGUUUUAUCAACAAAAAAAUUAAACAUAUAAACUUUUAUGACAUAUUUUUUUACAUAAAAAAAUAUCAAGUGUAAAUUAAAAAAUUUAUACAUGUAUCUAAUUAAAUAAAUUAAAAAUCAUUUAUGUCAACAAAUGAAAAAAAAAAACCAUGAGGUGGGUGUAGAUUAAAAUAUUUGAUCUCGAAACAUGAUUCAUUUACCUGAUUGUGUUUAAUGACUCUGAUUAUUAAAAUUAAUUUUUUUUAUUUAAUCAAAUAAUUGUAGAAAUAGAUACACAUAAAAUUGAUUGUAUCAAAUUAAAGAAAAAACAAAUCUUGCAAGGUUACACUUACUAAAAAUAUUAUCCAAAAAUAAAUAUUUUUUAUUCUUAAAAAUAAAGAUCAAUUAUAUAAAACAUAAAAAAAGGCUACAAAAUACUUUAAAAAACAAGAAAUUUAAAAAGGUUAUUUAAAAGGCUAAGUGAAAAAAAUCAAAGAGAAGCAAUAUUAAUUUAAAUAUAAAUUAAAAAAAAUAAAAAAACACAUAAAAAAGCAUGAUUGUUUUUUUUAAAGCCAAAAUUACUAUAACAAAGCCAAACUCUACCGGGCCUAAUAAGCCAAGGCAACAUCUAGCCCAUUUAGGAGGGCUCAUGUGGGGACCUAUAUAUAUAUAUAUAAUUGAGACCAACAACGUGUUAUCUAUUCUAAUGUUUUUUUAAAAAAAUAAUAAGUCAAACGGCAUGUCAUUUGACUUUGCUAAGAUUCCAGCCACUGACACAAUUUUUCAACCUAUUAUUUACUCUUUAUUUUUGUUAGAACUUUGAAAUCAUCAUCCAUUUGUGGUUUUAUUUUUUACUUUGGUCCCCAAACUUUUAUUUUUAUCCUUCGUCAACAAAUUUGAUUCAAUUAUAAUUUAAUUUGGCUCUUCAUGAUAUAUAGAUUUUAAAAAAUAUUGUUUUUAGAGAAUAAUAUAAAUGAUAUCUUGGAACUUUAUCUAAUAACUAAAAUUAUUAGAUUGAGAUGAUUCAUUAAUAUGAUAUCAAAGUCAUGUUGAUCAAGUUAUUAUGAGUUCAAAUUUCAUCAUCUUUAUUCUAUUUGAUAAAAAUUAAACACAUGUAGUGCGAGCAUCUGCAAGUUUAAAGCCCAAAAAGCUUUUAUUUGAAGGGGUAUGUUAGAUAAUAAUAUAAAUCAUAUAUUAAAGCCUCACCUAACAGCUUAAACUCUUAGGUGCGAUGGUUCUUUGACAUGGUAUCAAAGCAAGUUUGGGUGAGAUGCUUCUUUAACAUGGUUAUUUGACAUUAAUGAUAAGUGAUCACGAGUUUGAAUCUCACUACCCCUAUUCUAUUUUAUAAAAAUUAAGUACAAGGUAUUAUGUCAUGUGCAAGUUUCAACAUCAAAUAGCUUUCAUUUGAAAGGAUGUGUUUGAGAAUAAUAUAAAUCAUAUCUUGUAACUUUUAUAUACAUUUUCUUCUUUUUCCUUUUUUCUUUUUUGGUUGCAAAAUCAUAAGCUUGAACUCGGAUGUGUACAUUGCCGAUAAAUGCAUAUAUGGGUCUGCAACUUCAUUUUGCUUGUAAUGCUAUUUUGUUUUUAUGUUUAAAAUUUUGUUUUAGUGUAUUCUAAAAAUAUAUAUAAAUUUAAAAAUAUUAAAUUGAUAUUUUGUAGUAUGUUUUUGAUAAUUUAAAUGUAUUGAUAUAAAAAAUAAAGAAACUUAAAAAAAAAAUAUUUUAAUUCAAGUAAAAAAAUACUUUUUAAAAAAGUAUCAUGCAUUAUAUUACUUAAAACAAUCUAAUUCAUGAUAUAUAUUUGAGAAAUUAUGGUAUUUUAUUUUGGUAUAAAAUAUUGAGGACAUAAGAAAAUUGAAAAAAAAAAGAGCAUAUAAACUAUAGAUAAAUUAGUUGUAUGUCCUCUUUGUACGGGAGUGAAAUAAUUUUGAUUAUUUUAUUAUUUUUAUGUAAUGAAUCGUUUGAUACUUUGAUUAUUUAAUUAUGUUAUUAUAAUCCUAUUUAUGUAUAGCGAUAGUAGUUAUAAUAAUUUUUAUUUAUAUUGUUCCUAUUGAGUUUAAAUAAAAAUAGUAAUACAUAUUACAUCCAUUAUAAAUGCUUAAUCCAAAAUUUCAAUUAUUUUUAUAACAUUUUAUUUUUUUCAACUUGGUAUCAUUGUUUUUUUAAUUUAUUGAAAUAGAAUUUAAAAAAUUCAUAUCCUAGAACUAAAAUAAAAAAGUAGUGUAACUUUUUAAGAAAUAAAUAACAUAUUCAUUUUCUUGAUGCAUAUCAAAUUUAAAAUUUUAAUUAGUGUUGAUACUAAUACAUCACUUGAUACCCUAAUCUUAUUAAAAGAAGGACUUAAUUGAAAGUAAUAAGGUUCAAAUAAUAUAGAUUCAACUCUUAUGCUAUUAUGUACUAUUAAAGAGUUCAAAAGACUUUGAUGUGAGUUAGGGUGUGUUUGGAAUUAUAAUGACAGUUGUAGUUCAAAGUGUUUUUUGGUUAGAAAUAUAUAAAAAUAAUAUGUUUUUUUAUUUUAAAAAAAAUUAUUUUUGAUACCAACACAUCAAAACAAUUUGAAAAUAUAAAAAAAAUAUUUUUUUUAAUAAAAAAUAAAAUUUAAAAAUUUAAAGAAACUUGAACUGCGUUCUCAAACACACUUAAUCUAGUUCAAAAGAUAGUAAUUUGUUCCGCAUUACCAAAAAAAACUUAAUCUAGUUCAAAAGAUUUCUCUUGAUAUUUUUACUUUCACGUCUUACCGAGAAACAUUCAAUAUGCAUCUUAAAUCGAAGUUUUUGAUACGAUUAAAGUAAAAAUUAUUUAAUAAUAAGUAUGUUUCAAAGUUUUUAGUUAAAAGUUUUUCUCCUACAUUCUUCUUUUCAAUCCGGUAUCAAUGUUUAUUUUUUUCAUUUUAUUUGCAUAUGUGGCAAAAAAAAACCAAUUUAUGAAUUAAUUUUCUAAUAUAUGAUAAAAUAUUAAUGAUUAAAAUUUAAAUGUAUUGACACAUAAUCAAUCAAUGUAUGUUAAUUAUAAAAUAAACUUAAAAUUGCUUGAUUUUACUAUUAUAUUUUGAUUAGUAUUGAUGGUUGAUUCCACUAAUAGUUGCUUUGGCAUAACAAUAGCUCUUGCUAUAACUAGUGUUGUUUUUGUGUUUUUUAAUUUUUUUUAAAAAAUAAUUUCAUCAUACCAAAUAAAAUACAAAUGCAUCAUUAUUUUUAUAUUAUAUCAUUAAAAAAUAUAACUUGCGAUUAGAUAUGAUACGCAUUGCCAGGUUUCAUUGAUAAAAAGAUCUAAAUAUGUUGAGUUGUAUGUAUCCUCUUUAUCUAGCCAGAAACAAUUACUAGACAUUUAUUGGAAAAGAGAAAAAACUAGAUCAUAUAUAUAAUUACAAGAUCUAGAUCUAAACUAACUAUGUAACCUGCUGCACUCUGCACUCUGCACUCUGCAUCGGGUUGAAUAAAAAAACAAUUGAAGAAAAAAAAGAUAUUCAGCAAAUAAAAAUGUGUUUUAAAUAAGGAAAAUAAAAAUAAAAACAUAGUCGGACAAUGAAAACAUGAAAAAAAAAUAUCAACUAUGUUAACCUAUUAAACUUGAUAUCUUAAUCAUUUGACCAAAAGCAAUAAACUUGAAAAAACAUUAAAGCCCAAUUCAAUUAACCAAACAUUAAAGCAUCAAAUUAAAAAUAUAAAUAUACAAAAAGGGAAAAAAUAGCAGUUAUAAAUUAAAAAAAAAUACCUAAGGCUGAUGAGUCAACCCACCUAAUCUAUAGACCAAGUUAUAAGACCGAGAUAACCCGAUAAAAAAUAAAAUGAAGAAAAUGACAAAACCUAUUUUUAAAAAAUGUUUAAUGUUGAAUCAUGAAAAGGAUUAGAAAACUAGCAAUUAUAAGCUCAAAAAAGGGUUAAGCUUACCCAGGUCAACUCACCACACCCACGAGUCUGGUCUUAAAACUAGAAUAACCCUACAGCUAAAAGAAAAUGAAGAUAAUCAAGAACCCUGAUUUUCUCAAGAAAAUCAAUAAAAAAACAAUGUUGAAUUAUAAUAUGGCACACAAAUAAGUAAAAAUAAAAAAUGAUCAACCCUUGUAAGCUUAUAAAACCUAAGCCCUGGACUAUUUGAUCGAAAGCACAAUAUAUAUAUAUAUAUAUAUAUAUAUAUAUAUAACCCUCAUAGAUCAAUCAACAAAUUAAAUAUUGAAAGAAAAAAAUUAAAGAAAAAAAUCAUAACACAAAAGUAUCUAAAAGGAAUUAAAAAAAGUUAUUAAAAGGCAAAAAAAAUGGCGUGAACUAUCUAGGUUGACCCAUCAAACCCACGAGUUAUGUCUAGAGAUUGAGAUAACUUAAAAAAAAAAUAAAAAAAACCAUGAAGCCUAUUUAAAAAAAAAAUCAUAGUCGAGUAAUGAGACCAAAAAAGAAAAAAAGUCUAAAAAAAAAAGAGAAACUCAUGUUAGCUUACAAAACUCAUGACUCAAGCCAUUUGAUUAAAGGCACCAAAUCCGGAAAAACCACAAUUCUUGAAUUUUAAAAAAUUUAAUGUUAAAUGAUAACAUUGAUUGAAGAAUAAAAUUGAAAAUAAUUAAAAACUUAAAAAAAAAAGCAAGGAAAAAAUCAUGAAAAAAAAACCACGACCAAAUUUGAAAUUUUAAAAAAUAAAAAUUCUAGAUUGAAAGAUGCAAUAAGAAAAAAAAACUUACAAAAGAGCAAAGGAUAAAAAUUGACAAAUUCAAAGAAUAAGGACUGCUACGCAAAUAUACUCAACUAAGAAGAUUGGCAUGAAAUUUUAAAUGCUAAACAUGAAUCCCGAGGGAGGAUAAACAGAAGAAAACAAAGGAAGCUUCUCUGACUACAUGAGGGAUCCAAUGAUAUGGUGGAAGGAAUUGUUAGUCAUCUUAUGAAGGUACAUGUGCCAUAUCCUAUACGCUUGACAACUUUUUUUUAAUCACUUCAAAAGACCAAUCUACCUCUCAAUUAACUUGCUUGUAGCUAAAAAAAAUUCACGUGUAAACACGAAAUUGCCACUAAACCAUGCCUAAAUGUUUUUGAGACAUUAAGAUUUAGCCGCACUAAGAAUAGUGAAAAUACAUGAAAGCCCCCAAAGCAAACCUUAAUUAAUUCUAACAUAAAGGAUAAGGUAGUAAUUAAACUUUGCAAAAAGACAUGAAAUCUCAAAAAAAAAAAAACAUAGCAACCAAAUAUCUUAUUAUUUUAUUUUAAGGGUAGUAAAGGUUUUUCACUAUUAAACAAAUAUGAAAAUAUGUUUGUAUCCCCACUAAAUAUGAGAAUAAUAAAUGGAUCACAUAUAAAAAAAAUAUUUUACCUCUAAACUUAGUUUUCUGGCCAAAUUGGAGGAAGGACAAAAAUGUUAUUUUACUAUUAUAAGAUAUGAUAAAUCUUCUCUUAUGCUACAAUGUUUUAUCCAUGCCCUAUAUAUUUUUGGUAAACAUAUAGUGAAUAAAAAGAAAAUUGUUGCCAAACAAAUGCUUAAUAAAGCUAGGUUUUUGGGUAGUUUUGAAGGAAAAUAAAAAAAGAGUGCAAUUAGUAGAGGUUAUAAUUAUAAAGUUAUUUGGUAAUGAUUGCUCUUAAAAGUUUUUGCAUAAAAAAUACUCCAAAACUUCAUUUUGAUUAUUUAUUUCCAAAUAAUUUUCAAAACGUUUUUCCAAUUUUACCAAAGCAUUGUUUUAUAGUGAUUUUUGGAACAAAACAUCAAUUUUAUUAUAUAAAAAAAGUAAAAAAUUCCUUAUUUUAUUGUUAAAUUAACAAAAACUAAUUGUGAGGCUCACAAAGCAUUGGGUGGGUUUUUUUUUGCUUAUUUUAGAUUUUUAUUUUUAUUUUAUAAUUCAACAUUAGGUUUGUCCAUUAUAGUCUCAUGAUCUAGGUCACAUUUUGUUUUUUUUUUUUGUUUUUUUUUUUUUUCAGUUUCAUCAUUUAAUGUUGGGUUUAUUGAGAAUUGAGCUUCAUAAUUUAUUUUGAUUUGUUUUCUAUAGGGUUAUUCAAGCCACAUGAUUUGGGUUACGGGCUUCACAUAUUAACCUAGAUUGACUCAAGUUGUUUGUUUUUUGGAUUUUUUUAAUUGAUUUUUUUUAAUUUCAUCAUUCAAUAUUGAGUUGAUUAGAAAUUAAAUUUUAUAAUUUUUUUUAAUUUUUUUCUAUAAUCAUUUUGGUCUCAUGAUCUAUGUCUCGUAUUUGACAUGUUGACUUGGUUGACUUGGGUUUGAUCCAAUAUGUUUAUGUGUCAAUAUUUUUUUUUUAAAAAAAAUAUCAUCUUGAAAUAGUUUUUAGUCAAUAUAUUUUUAACAAUUUUCUGGGUUUUCUUUGAAUCUGUCAAGUUAACUAGGUGACAUCGGAUUAACCCCCACAUGAUUUAAAUUUUUUCUACUACAAUACUCAUUGGCAACACUUGAAUAUUUUUUUCAUAUAUGACCCGUAGCGUAGCGCAGGGCAAUCAUCUAAGUGUGUUCUUAGGGGGUGUUUGGGAUUACGGUUGAACUCUGCUUUUAAAAAACUUAAAUUCUUUUUAGGUUUAAUUUUUUUUUUAAUCAUUAUAAUGUACUUGGUGUCAAAAAUAAAUUUUAAAAAAUAAAAAUAUAUUUUUUUAAUAUAUUUUAAAAAACAGCACAUGAAACAUACACCUAAAGAAGUAACCGAGAUUCUGCCAUUGACUCCAUCUCCUGCUGUCAAUACAUAAAAGUUUUUUAAAAAAUGUUAUCAUGUAACAGGAAAUAAGAGUACAAACAAAAUACACACUCCCGCUCCUGGCAGGGAAACAAAAUCUGGGAAGGAAAAUUUGAAAUAUUUUUUCAAAAUUUGUAGGCGGAUUUUCCAAAUCAAAUAAGCAUGAUAUGUAAAGUAAGGUACUUUUUGGCAUAAUUCAUACACUAAAAACUUAAGCCCAAUCCUUGCCACAAAGAGUUGCAAGGGUAGUAUGGGAGAGGUGGGGUUGUCUUUUCACUAUGAUGUAUUUGACAUUGAAUGAAUGUUUAGGGAGAAGAUGGUCACUUCAAGUUUUGGUAGGGUUGCCCUGGGCGUCCGCUAGGCCCACGGCUCCACGUGAGAACACCUGGUGCUUGGGAUGACCUGCCCUUGCACUAGGUCAGACCCGAUCGCCAUGUGGUGCUGGGCUAGCUUGCCCUUGCCCUGGGCGUGAGUCAACCCAAGCCCCCACGUGGGGACACCUAGCGCUUGGGCUGCCUGCACUUGUGUUGGGUUAGACUCGAGCGGCAGAUGGCGCUAGGGCUGGCUUCCCUUGCCCUGGGCAAGAGCCAAGCCUGUGCCCCCAUGUAGGGACAUAAUUAGUACUUAAAAGUGCAUUUUUAUCAAAGUUUUAUAUCAUCAUUUUGCACUUGAAGUAUCAAUAAUUCCUUAACUAGAACAUAUUUUAUAAUAACAAGUCUGAUAAUAUAAGAUAGCUUUCAUUUAUGGUAAAUGCACAUUUUAAAUGCAGGCAUAUCUCACAAUUCAAAAAAUUAAUUGAUGUGAUUAACUAUUGAAAGUGAAAGACAAAGAAAAGACUAAACUUAGAAAAGAGAAGUUGAUUCAAUUCAAAUUGAAACAAUGUUUAGUCAUUGGGUCAUAUUUGGAGCUGUAGAUCUUGGAUUUCAGUUUGGUUUAUAUGGCUAGAAAGCUAAGACAUGGACCUAAAACAUUCAUAAGGGCCAAGACUCAAUUCUGUUAUUUGGAAGUCCACAUCUUAGCAUCAAAAGAGAAGUCUGAAUUUGUCAUAUAGCCCAGACACUAUUCAGUGUUCAGCCCAUAUCUUGAGUUUUAGAAGUCCAAAUGACCUCAUUCUUGUUUUGUUGGAAAGCUGAGAUAAUUUUCGAGAACUUUCAUGUUGAUAUUUUAACACAAAAGAAAGGUUUAUUAAUAUCUUGUUUAAGAGGUAUUGAGAAUAUAUAUGAAUUUAAUGAGAGUUUGUUUAUCUGGAUAGAUUAAUGGAAGUUGAAUGAUGAAUGCCUUGCUUUGUGGAAUUUGCAAAUAGUUUUUCUAUUUUAACGCUUUGAUUACUAGGGACUAGUAAUAAGCUGGUUGAGAGGUGUGAUUAGUACUUGAAAGUGCAUUUUUAUCAAGGUUUUAUAUCAUCAUUUUGCACUUGAAGUUUCAAUAACUUCUUAAUUAAAGCAUGUUUUAUAAUAACAUAUCUAAUAAUAUAAGAUAACUUCAAUUUAUGGUAAAUGUUCAUCUUAAAUAUAGGCCUAUCACUUAAAUGAAAGGAUUGAUUGAUGAGUUUAAGUAUUGAAAUUGAAAGGACAAAGAGAGGGCCAAACUUAGAAAAUAGAUGUUGGUGCAGUCCAAACUGAAACACUGUUCGGUACUUGGGUCAUAUCUCGAGUUCUAGAUGUCUAAAUGAUCUCCAUUUUUAGGAAAGAUUCGGUAAGACAUAGGCAUACAACUUUCAUGUGGAGGCCAAGAUUUAAAAAGGCCAUUUCAAGUCCAAAUUAUAGCAAUAACGAAGAAGUCUGAAUCUGUCCUACAACUCAGACACUAUUCAUUGUUCAGCCCAUAUCUCGAGUUCUAGAAGUCUAAAUGACCUCAAUUUUUUUUCCUAGAAAGAUAAGAAAAUUUCCUAUAACUUUCAUGGUAUAGGUGAUUUCAGUUCUGAUUCUAGCAAUGAUAUUUUAUUUAGAAAAGAAGAUAAGGAUUUUCACCAAGUCAAGAGUUGGCCACCCACUCAACAAUUAUUCAUCAAAUCAGUAGUUUUAAAUUUUGGUCUAUAAAAGAAGGCAUUUGCCAUGCAUUUAAGGGCUUAGUUGUUCAGAUCAUUGUUCUUGCUCUCUCUCUUUAUAUAUAUAUAUAUAUAUAUUUUUUAAUUCUUAAGUUUUGCUUUCAUUAAUAUCUUGUUUAUGCUUUUCAUUUCCUUUCAUUUACUUAGUUAACUUGUAUCUUAUUUAUGUUCUUGUUUUAUUUAUUUAUGUUUCUCUUCUUCAUUAUGUUUAGCUAAGUUUAUUAUGUGAAGGUGAAAAGGUUACACUAAUGGUGUAAGAAUAAGUAUAGUUAAACUCAACAUGGACCUUAAUAUUUAAUAUUAACAUGUCUUAUCUUUUUAUCUUACUAAUUCUUAAUACCUUGCUUGCUAAAUGGUUAAUCUAGAUUUGUGUUAUAUAACAGUUGGUACAACAAAUGCUUGGCACUCUUAUAGAAUCAAACAAAACCCACGGGUAGGCUACCCAAACACAAGCCAAGGAUAGGUUACUAUAACACAAGCCAUAGGCAGGUAAUUGAAUAAGAGACCACAAAUAGGUUACCCAAUCACAAACUUACUUUCUAAAAUCUUUUUAAAUACUUUAAACUAUAAGUAUUGUAGAGAGAGGACAAUUGUCAUAACCUAAUUUUAGAUCUUCCAAAAUUGUUUUAUAAAAAAUGCAUACAUAUUUUUAUUCAAAAAUAAAAAAACAGAAAAUACAACAAUAUUUUUAGGACACUUGGAGAUAAGUGUUGCACGUAAAAAUCCGCACGGUGUCCGAUGGCGAUUUUUCGUUUAUUUUGCUGAUUUGGUUCUUUAGAGUCGUCACCUAGUAUUUUGGUCAUUAGGAACCCUAACUGGUCUUUCAGAGAUUCUAAGGCAAGGGACUGGUUGCGUAAAGGGAAGGUAUUAGCACCCCUACUACGCCCUACCUAAGGUAAGCUGCUUGGUGUUUGGUUUGCUCUAUAAUUGCUAUGGUGUUGGUGUUUUCUAAUCCCAUCAAUUUUCCUAGGUUUGAUUCAAAUAAAAUUUAUUUGGAUAGAAAUCCAAGGAGAUUCAUUGUGCUUCGAAAGCUCAUUUUUCCCUUAGUAUUUCAAGAGUUUUGCGACUCGUAAAUCACAAGGAGGAAGGAUAAAUUGUUUUUUUUAGAAAUCUAAGGAAAUUCAAGGCGCUUUAAAGCCUAUUUUUGCCUUAGUGUUUCAUACUCUCACGGCUCGUAAACCGUGGAGUAAAAAAUUUUGAAAUGUCUUCGAUUAGAAUCAAGACUUCUUUCACGGAUGUGUGCGGAUUUAUUACUCCCAAUAAUAGUUUGGAUAUUCAUCCCUUUGAGAUUUCUUUAUCCAAACAUUAACGGUGAAUAAUAAAUGAAUUCCCCCCAAAAUAAGACUUUUAUAUUUUUUUGGAAUAUUGGCCAAUACCCUUUGGAGUUUUACAAACAUGUUGUAAAAUAAAAAAAUGCAAGAAAAUAAUUUUUUUGUUGUGUUUACGAAAUCCAUGCGAAAACACCUUUUUAAAAUUUCCAAUAUUUUUUUGUAUAUAAAAAAAACAUUCAAAACAUGUUAGGGUAUUAGUCGUAUGGAACACAAAAAAAAACAUUUUUUAUAUAUUUUUGUAUAUUUGCCGUAUUUUGCAUUAAAAAAAAAACCGGUAUUCUAAAUGCGAGAUUGAUAUAAUGUUUUUAUUAUAUAAAAAAAAAUACAGACCUUAAAAUCAUCAAUAUCUCUCUCUUUCUUUUUUUUGAAAAUAAUAAUAAUAAUAAAAAAAAAAAUAAAACCAGUACAUCCGGGCAAGUGACCCGGCUGCACAAAAAAAGAACUCAGCUACUGUUCAAGUGAAUUAUAAUUCACUUGAACAGUAAACACAAAAGGCAUGCAUAGUAGAUAAGUAAUUAAAAUGCAAAGUGAAGAGAAUGCAUGGAAACUUACCUGGCGCUGAAACGGGCGAAGAUGAUGCUGCUGUUGUUUCUUGCGCACAACCGAUCAUCACUGAUUCUGAAGAUAAUGACGAACGCUGGUAACUGGUGUUGGUCUCUGUCUUUCUCGUCUUGCUGACGCUUUCUCUGGAGACGGCGAAGACGAUGAAGGUGUGAUGUGCUGGUGAAAUGGAUGUUCUUCCCUCUGUGCUUUCUUGCUCCUUCUCUGUUUUCUUGUGAGCUGCUGCUUCGGCUAUUACAUAUGAAAGAAAACGUUGCACCGCUGGAGGAGAAGAAAACUGGAGACGGAAACAAAGAGACGAAGGCGAUGGUGAGGGCGUGCUGGUUGGUCCCUCUGUGUUUUCUUCUAUUUAUGAGUUUUCCUUCUGCUCGUCCCUGUUGUGCUCUUCUUCGUCCGUUCGUUUCUCUGGUUUUCUUUCCCUUGCUUCCCCUGUUUCUCCCUCUGUAUUUUCUGUUCAUCCUCCCUCUCACUCGCAUCCGUUUUUGUCUCUACUGAAAAGAGAUGGUUACUGCUGCUAUGGCUGGCAUGCUCACGGUAAGAAAAGGGGAGUGGGGGCUGGUGCUUAUGGGGGAGAUGGUGGUCUUGGUUUGGGGAAGAUCGUGUGGGUGUACAUGGGCUGCUGAUUUGAAUAAAAAAACCGGGGCUGUUGAGGGAGGCUGGGAUGGUUGGAGAUGACGGGUCCGGCUACAGGGAGAAGAAAUCGAUGCCUCAAAAACCUAAAACAGGGUUUCUCCUCUGUUUUUUUUUAGAGAGCGAGGCGGCUGCAGACAAGAGGGUUUUUUUUUAGGUUUAGGUUUUUUCUUUUUUUUCCUAGUCAAUUUUUCUCCCCCUGUAUAUAAGGCUGCAUGUUCAUUUAUAUAGAAAAUCUCUACAUGUGUUUAUUUAAGGAAAUAUUGCAAUAAUUAUUGCAGAGAUUAUCUUCUAUAAGCAUCCCCAACAAAUCCCAUAUAUAUGGUAUUUUAUAUUGCAUUGAUUAUUUUCCAUAACCAGCACGAAUCAAAUCAUAUAUUCAUGGUAUUUUAUAUUGCAGUAAUUAUAUAUGAUUUAACAAUUAUCUCCUUGACAUAUUGCUUUCUUAAUAUUCUCCCUGAUGCUCUAUGUUAUCGUCACAUGUAAAUCUUUAUUUUUUAUUUUUUUUAUUUUUUUUAUUUGUGAAAAUUUAUCGAAACAUGAGUCAAAAAUUGGGUAGCAAGAGAUGCCCCCUCUUUACAAUGCUUACGAAGCAAAACUCCUCAAUGUUUUGCAUAGUAAGCUUGUAAAGAAAAAAAGUCUUCCUUACUGGUUGAGUGAUCCACUCAUCCAAGGACUUCACUUUUUUUAAAAAAGAAAAUUGGUCUAUUUUCACCGGCGAUCUGCCCACACACACUUAACCUGGCCUAUUUUCAGGGCCGACCUACCCAUAUACUCAUGCUGGUCUAUUUUCAUGGGCGACCUACCCUUUUGAUUGGGUUAAACUAAGAUCCCAUCUAGCGAUCUUCUUUAACUCGAAGCAAAGUCGGUGUGUAGCUCAGUCGACCUGAAAUCCCAUCUGGUGAUACCCUUUAACUAAAACUAAACUCUGUGUGCGGUUUAUAAUGGGUGACCUACCCAGGUAAAAAAAGAUGGAGAAUAGUCUCAUUCUAAUGGGUGACCUACCCAAAAAAAAUGGUCUCAUUGUGAUGGGUGACCUACCCAAGUGGAAAAGAGGAAGAGUGGUCUCAUUCUUAUGGGUGACCUACCUAGGGGAUAGAAUGACCUCAUUAUAAUGGGUGACCUACCCAGGUAAAAAAAAAGGUGGAGAAUGGUCUCAUUCUAAUGGGUGACCUACCCAGAAAAAAUGGUGUCUCAUUGUAAUGGGUGACCUACCCAGGAAAGGGAGAAGUGGUCUCAUUCUUAUGGGUGACCUAUCCAGAAAAAAUGAUGGUCUCUUAUAAUGGGUGACCUACCCAGGUAAACAAAAGAUGGAGAAUGGUCUCAUUCUAAUGGGUGACCUACCCAGAAAAAAUGAUGGUCUCAUUGUGAUGGGUGACCUACCCAAGUGGAAAGGGGGAAGAGUGGUCUCAUUCUUAUGAGUGACCUACCCAGGGGGAAGAAUGGCCUCAUUAUAAUGGAUGACCUACCCAGGUAAAAAAAAGAUGGAGAAUGGUCUCAUUCUAAUGGGUGACCUACCCAGAAAAAAUAGUCUCAUUGUGAUGGGUGACCUACCCCUCUUAAAAUUCUUAGAAAACUCCACGCUUUUCUAAGAAACGGUUUCAAUAUCAGGUGACCGACCCAUCUUAAAAUUCUUAGAAAACUCCAUGCUUUUCUAAGAAACGGUUUCAAUAUCAGGUAACCGGCCUCUCUUAAAAUUCUUAGAAAACUCCACGCUUUUCUAAGAAACGGUUUCAAUAUCGGGUGACCGGCCCAACCUAAAAUUCUUAUAAAACUCCACUCUUUUCUAAGAAAUGGUCUCAAUAUCGGGUGAUCGGCCUGACCUAAAAUUCUUAGAAAACUCCAUGUUUUUCUAAGAAAUGGUCUCAAUAUCGGGUGACCGACCCUUCUUAAAAUUCUUAGAAAACUCCACGCUUUUCUAAGAAACGGUUUCAAUAUCAGGUAAUCGGCCCCUCUUAAAAUUCUUUAGAAAACUCCACGCUUUUCUAAGGAAUGGUCUCAAUAUCGGGUGACUUGCCCAUCUUAAAAUUCUUAGAAAACUCCACGCUUUUCUAAGAAAUUGUUUCAAUAUCAGGUGAUUGGCUCAUCUUAAAAUUCUUAGAAAACUCCACACUUUUCUAAGAAACGGUUUCAAUAUCAGGUGACCGACCCCUCUUAAAAUUCUUUAGAAAACUCCAUGUUUUUCUAAGGAAUGGUCUCAAUAUCGGGUGACCUGCCCAUCUCAAAAUUCUUAGAAAACUCCACGCUUUUCUAAGAAAUGGUUUCAAUAUCGGGUGACCUGCCCACCUUCAAAUUCUUAGAAAACUCCACGCUUUUCUAAGAAAUGGUCUCAAUAUCGGGUGACCAGCCCUUCUUCAAAUUCUUAGAAAACUCCACACUUUUCUAAGAAACGAUUUCAAUAUUAGGUCACCGGCCCUUCUUAAAAUUCUUAAAGAAAACAUCAUACCUCGAGGAAUGAAACAGUGCUGGUUCACAAUUCCUAUAAUUUUCCGUAGUUUCGUUGAGCUGAGAUUUUGUCUCUUAGCAGUUCCCAAAAAACUUGGAACUAAUUUUUUGUUACCUAUCUUGGAAACAUAGGUCCCCCUUUCCGUAGUAAGCUUCUUCGAGCUCUUGUUUCCAUUUGUUUGUCCAACCUGUUCUCUUGGACCAGAAUACACUCCACGCGCUAUAUUUCCUAUCCUUUUGUGCUUGGUGAAGAGAUCUCCAGUUCCUAAUGGGGCCCUUUCUUGCUCCAUUAAACGUUGCUUUGUGUUAUACUUUUGCCGAUGUUUUAAUUGUCUUCUUCAUUUUUUUGAGAAAUUAUUUUUAAAAGGAAAACUCAAAAAAUUUGGUUUUGUUCAUGAAAACUAAAACUUCAAUGCAAUCAUCAUAUAUAUAUAUAUAUAUAUAUAUAUAUAUAUAAUUAUAUAUAUAUAUAUUUAGCAACUCUCCUAAAAGGCGUUUUAGAAGUUCUAUAAUGAUACCCCUUUUGGCUUUGGUUCACUAUAGACCCCUAUGUGCACUUUUUGCCCCAUAGUGUGGUGUGCAAUACCUAUCAGGUUUAAAUUUGGUCUGGAUCCCUCUAAUUUAAGAAUUAAUGGAGUCAUCUUCUUAGUCAUGUGUAAAAACAAUUCUUUUAAGUAAAAGAUUUUGAAUGUUAUGAGAUAUGCGCUUUAUGAAGAAAAGGUUCUUUAUAGAGAGAAGUCACGGCCGAACUUUAUUUUAUGGAUCGGGAAGCAUAGUAUUUCUUUAUAGAGUCAGAAUUCACAGGUCUAACUAGAUCUUCUCCAUCCAUUCUAGAUAACAAUAAAGCUCCUCCCGAGAAUGCUUUCUUUACCAUGUAAGAGCCUUUAUUGUUUGGCGUCUAUUUACUCUGAUCUUCUCCUGGUAAAGGCUAUAUUUUCUUCAGUACAAGAUCUCCUUCAUGGAAUCCUCGAGGUCGGACCUUCUUAUCAUAUGAUUUGGUCAUCCGUGAUGAUGACAGAUUGCAGUUAUCCUCUUUUUACUGAUCAGAUUCAACUAUUCAUAUCUAACUUUUACUCAUUCCACCUCUUCUAAACUCAAAGUCUACCAAUACUCUUAAUGAGGGGGUUUCCAUUUCUAAAGGCAUUACCGCCUCCAUUCUAUAUACCAAAGUGUAUGGGGUGGCUCCUAUUAAGGUUCGGACUGCGAUGCAGAACGUGUGAAGGGCCAAUGGCAACAUCUCAUGUCCAUCCUUAUAGGUGAAUAUCAUCUUCUGAAUAAUCUUCUUGACAUUCUUGUUAGCAAUUUCUACUGCAUCAUUCAUCUUUGGCCUAUAUGGCGAGGAAUUGUAAUGCUUGAUUUUUCAUCUAGGGUAGAGUUCUAUUAUUAUCUUGCCAUUGAAGUUCUGGGCAUUGUUAGAUAUAAUCUUUUUCUAGUGAACCAUAUCGACAAAUCAAAUCUCUUUUCGUAAAUUUCCUCACCACUUUUUGCCUCCAAACAUCUCAACAAAGUCUUGUCAGAUGAUUUCUUAUACAAAGUUUCAUCACCAAGAUAAAAUUUCAUUGCCGAUCUCCUCAAAGUCUUCUUGUUGAUUUUGGAUGCCCCCAUGGGAUAUGUUUGGUUUUGGAUGAAAUUCUUGAUAUCAUAGUACCAAGGGUUUCCAUCUAUUUCUCUUUCAACUGAGCAACAAUGAGCUAAUUUAUUUCUUACAUCAAUAUGUACCGGUUGUACCUUAUGCCUAAAGUCUAUUCUAGCCCUAGAAGCUGGCGUGACCAAAGCGUUAGAAUGGUUUCUUUCCUUUCCUAGAUGGGUGAAAUUUAUUUCCUCAAAUUCUCUAGCCAAUUUAGACAGGUAUUCUUAGUAAGGUCUCAACUUCUCAUCCUUGGUUUGCCAUUUUCCUUUCUCUUGGCAAAUAAUCAAAAUUGAGUCUCCAUACAUAUCUAUCUUUCUAAUAUUAUUCUCCAAUGCCACCUCUAAAACGAGAAUGCAAGCUUCAUACUCCUAUGUUAUUAUUGCACCCAAACUACGACUUAACUGAAACCGGAUACUGUUUCUUAUCAGGAGAGAUUAGCACUGCCCCCACUCCGUUACCACAGCACUAUCAAAGUAUAUAAUCCAACAAUCUGAUUUCCCUUCCUCGACUAAAAGCACAUCUUCAUCAAGAAAAUCAAAUUAACAACUCAUAAACUUUCACAACAUGGUCAGCUAGGUAAUCGGCGAUGACAUUCACAGCUUUCCUUGUCAUAUAUACUAUGUCGUACUCAGCCAGUAGAACUUGCCAUUUUACAAUUCGGUUUGAUAGAUAGGGUUGGAUUUAAUAGGUACUACUUGAUUUUCGUGAAAGUUUCUUCACACUCUUAUUCCGAAUUCCAAGAUUCUUCUUCCUUAACAAUUGAAGAUGAGGUCAUAAGUCGUGGUUAAUUGGAAUAUAAACCGAGCAAUGUAAUUCAACAUUCCCAAGAAACUCCUUACAUCCUUUCUCAGUCUUGGGAGUUGGCAUAGAUUGAAUAACCUUUACUUAACCAGGGUUCACUUCUAUCCCUUUGUCACUCAUCAUAAAUCCCAACAACUUCCUAGAUUUCACCCCGAAUGAACAUCUUGCAUGGUUAAGCCUCAACUUUGUACCUCCUUAGUUUUUUCAAAUAAUUCCUUCAAUAUUUGGACAUGAUUCUCUCCCUCUUUAGAUCAUGUCAUCCACGUAUACUUUAACCUCUUUUUGCAUCAUAUUGUGUCAUCCACGUAUACUUUAACCUCUUUGGUAGGUGGCCCCAAUGUUCUUUAACCCAAAUGGCAUGACUUUAUAGUAAAAGGUUCCUCAUGGUGUUACAAAGGUUUCUUCUCACUAUCCUCAAGUCAUUUUUAUCUGAUUGUAGCCCAAAAAUCCAUCCAUAAAGCAAUAUGUGGAGCUACGUGCUACAUUGUCAAACAUAUCUAUGUGUGGUAGACAAAAUUGUCUUUAGGGCUAGUCUGAUUUAAGUCCCUAAAGUCCAAACAUUGAUUUUAUCUUUCUUUUUGGCAAGACAACUAUGUUGGACACCCAUUGUGGAUACUUGACUAUUUUUAGAAAAUCAGCGUUCCACUGCUUUUCAAUUUCUGCCUUUAUUCGGAUUUGUCUUUCUCAACCUUUACUUAACCGAUUCGGAUUGGUCUUUCUCAACCUUUACAUAAUCUUGGAGUUGUGCAAUCAAUUCUUCUCUUUCUUUAAGGGUGAUCAAAGUUCGUAUCUUCAACUCUCUUUUGAUUUCUUCAUCGCCCACAUCUAUGGUUUUUAGCCCCUCUCUAGUGGGUUUCCAAUCUUGUUCAUGUUAUUAAUUUUUAUCAAACCCCUAAUGUUAUUUUCCUACAAUUCUUCCUCUUCUACAACUAAUAUGUAUUCUUUAAAGUCCGACCAUUCAUUCUCAGUGUAAAGUGCAGGUGUAGUUAUGAAAGAUUUGCUUUGAAAAAGGAAAGUGAUGUGUAAAAACACAAAGAUGAACUUUUGAAAAUGCAUAAUCUCAUUCAAGGGAAACGUUCGGCUAAAAAAAACAACAAGGGUAAAAAUCCAUUGACAUUUGGAACCUCGAUUUAAAAAGUUGAAAAAGGCAAACAACACAAUAUCAUGAUCAAACAAGCAUUGUUGAUUAAAUUUUUAACACGAAUGGAGCUUCUUGGAUCUCCCAAUUCUGGAACAUCUCUCCCUUGGCUAGCUUUUGAAUGAAGGUCUUGAGAUUCUAAAUGCUUUGAGAUUAGGCUUGUUUGGAUGCAAAAAGAUAUUAUGGAGCAUACAUCUUAAGGAUUGGUUCUAUUUCCUUUAUGUGAGACAUUGGGUAGGUUUACUACUUGGUCUCUAAAAAGGGUCUCUUGUUGUCCUAGUGAUCACCCUCGUAAAGGCAAUAUAGGGGUUCAGUAGAUAGUGGGAUGGCACGUGUACCAAUCACUAUCAGUCUAAACACUUAGCAAAGAGUUGGGGUUUACACAAACUUAAACCUUGACUCAAGUCAUAAGGCAAGCUGCUAGUUCCCCAUUUAACUUAAAAUUUAAUAUGUGUGCUCUCAAAAAAGAAAAUAAUAAUAAAGUGAUGAAUGACUACAUCAUGUAUGACAGAAUGUAAAGAUACUUGCUAAAACUUUUAAACAAAGUAUCGUUCACAGUAAAAAAAACAACAACACAUAGCAUAAUAAAAAAACAAUUACCAAGCUUAGUCCAAGGAUCCCAAGCGGAGUCGCCAUUCUGUCGCACGUAAAAAUCCGCGCGGUGUCCUAUGGUGAUUUUUCGUUUAUUUUGCUGAUUUGGUUCUUUGGAGUUGCCACCUAGUAUUUUGGUCACUAGGAACCCUAACUGGUCUUUCAGAGAUUCUAAGGCAAGGGACUGGUUGCAUAAAGGGAAGGUAUUAGAACCCCUAGUACGCCCUACCUAAGGUAAGUUGCUUGGUGUUUGGUUUGCUCUAUAAUUGCUAUGGUGUUGGUGUUUUCUAAUGCCAUCAAUUUUUCUAGGUUUGAUUCAAAUAAAAUUUAUUUGGAUAGAAAUCCAAGGAGAUUCCAUGUGCUUCGAAAGCUCAUUUUCCCCUUAGUAUUUCAAGAGUUUUGCGACUCGUAAAUCACAAGGAGGAAGGAUAAAUUUUUUUUUAGAAAUCACAAGGAAAUUCAAGGCACUUUAAAAGCCUAUUUUUGCCUUAGUGUUUCAUACUCUCACGGCUCGUAAACCAUGGAGUAAAAUUUUUUGAAAUGUCUUCGAUUAGAAUCAAGACUUCUUUCACGGAUGUGUGCGGAUUUAUUACUCCAAAUAAUAUUUUGGAUAUUCAUCCCUUUGGGAUUUCUUUAUCCAAACAUUAACGGUGAAUAAUAAAUGAAUUCCCCCCAAAAUAAGAUUUUUAUAUUUUUUUGGAAUAUUGGCCAAUACCCUUUGCAGUUUUACAAACAUGUUGUAAAAUCCAAAAAUGCAAGAAAAUAAUUUUUUUGUUGUGUUUACGAAAUCCAUGCGAAAACACCUUUUUAAAACUUCCGAUAUUUUUUUGUAUAUAAAAAAACGUUCAAAACAUGUUAGGGUAUUGGCCGUAUGCAACACAAAAAAAAACAUUUUUUAUAUAUUUUUGUAUAUUUGCAGUAUUUUGCAUUAAAAAACCGGUAUUCCAAAUGCGAGAUUGAUAUAAUGUUUUUAUUAUAUAAAAAAAAAAUACAGACCUUAAAAUCAUCAAUCUCUCUCUCUUUCUUUUUUUUGAAAAAAAAAAUAAUAAUAAAAAAAAAAAACCAGUACAUCCGGGCAAGUGACCCGGCUGCGCAAAAAAAGAACUCAGCUACUGUUCAAGUGAAUUAUAAUUCACUUGAACAGUAAACACAAAAGGCAUGCACAGUAGAUAAGUAAUUAAAAUGCAAAGUGAAGAGAAUGCAUGGAAACUUACCUGGCGCUGAAACGGGCGAAGAUGAUGCUGCUGUUGUUUCUUGCGCACAACCGAUCAUCACUGAUUCUGAAGAUAAUGACGAACGCUGGUAACUGGUGUUGGUCUCUGUCUUUCUGUUCUUGCUGACACUUUCUCUGGAGACGGCGAAGACGAUGAAGGUGUGAUGUGCUGGUGAAAUGGAUGUUCUUCCCUCUGUGCUUUCUUGCUCCUUCUCUGUUUUCUUGUGAGCUGCUGCUUCGGCUAUUACAUAUGAAAGAAAACGUUGCACCGCUGGAGGAGAAGAAAACUGGAGACGGAUACAAAGAGACGAAGGCGAUGGUGAGGGCGUGCUGGUUGGUCCCUCUGUGUUUUCUUCUAUUUAUGAUCUUUCCUUCUGCUCGUCCCUGUUGUGCUCUUCUUCGUCCGUUCGUUUCUCUGGUUUUCUUUCCCUUGCUUCCCCUGUUUCUCCCUCUGUAUUUUCUGUUCAUCCUCCCUCUCACUCGCAUCCGUUUUUGUCUCUACUGAAAAGAGAUGGUUACUGCUGCUAUGGCUGGCAUGCUCACGGUAAGAAAAGGGGAGUGGGGGCUGGUGCUUAUGGGGGAGAUGGUGGUCUUGGUUUGGGGAAGAUCGUGUGGGUGUACAUGGGCUGCUGAUUUGAAUAAAAAAACCGGGGCUGUUGAGGGAGGCUGGGAUGGUUGGAGAUGACGGGUCCGGCUACAGGGAGAAGAAAUCGAUGCCUCAAAAACCUAAAACAGGGUUUCUCCUCUGUUUUUUUUUAAAGAGCGAGGCGGCUGCAGACAAGAGGGGUUUUUUUUUAGGUUUAGGUUUUUUCUUUUUUUUCCUAGUCAAUUUUUCUCCCCCUGUAUAUAAGGCUGCAUGUUCAUUUAUAUAGAAAAUCUCUACAUGUGUUUAUUUAAGGAAAUAUUGCAAUAAUUAUUGCAGAGAUUAUCUUCUAUAACCAUCACCAACAAAUCCCAUAUAUAUGGUAUUUUAUAUUGCAUUGAUUAUUUUCCAUAACCAGCAUGAAUCAAAUCAUAUAUCCAUGGUAUUUUAUAUUGCAGUAAUUAUAUAUGAUUUAACAAUUAUCUCCUUGACAUAUUGCUUCCUUAAUAUUAUCCCUGAUGCUCUAUGUUAUCGCCAUAUGUAAACCUUUAUUUUUUAUUUUUUUUAUUUGUGAAAAUUUAUCAAAACAUUGGUAAAAAAUUGGGUAGCAACAAUAAGCAUUUAAGAUAAAAAGAUCAAAUAAUAGAAGAAUACCUAGAUUGGGAGAAUUCAACAAGAUGAGAUGAAGAAAAAAAUGAGGUUAAGGUUGAAAUACAAAUUUGAUGAAAUUUGGAAGAAUUAAUCAUGUUUAAGGACUUUAUUAAACUUCUAAAUGGCAUAGUUGACUUAAUUAAGGAAUUAAUUAAAGUGAAGAUUAUGUUUGAAAGUUUAUUGAGAAAAAAAUUAGAAGAAAUAUUUAAAUUUAAGGACUUCUAAAGGGUUUUGUGGAUUUAAUUAAGAGCUUAAUUGAAAAAACUAAGUUUCAGGACUAAUUUGGAUAAAUUUUCAGAGAUUGGAAGAUCAGGGAUAUAUUUGAAACUUUGAAAAAGUUAAAUUGGUGCAAUCAGGAGUUCAAAUACAAGAAAUGUGAAGUUUGAAGGCCAAUAAGGGGCCAAAAGGUGUGCAAUAAUGGGGCUAUAUUGUGCUUUUCUAGGUGUCGCACGUCAAAAAAAUCCGCGCGACAUCGAUUGACGAUUUUUCUCGUGUAUUGCAUUUGCUUUGAUUGGUUUGUUGGAGUCGCCACCUAGUAAUUGAUUGCAGGCUACUAGGAAACUGGGUAUGCUGAUCUUGUCAGAGAUUCGCGGGUAAGGGACUGGUUGUGUUUAGGGAAGGUAUUAGCACCCCUAACACACCCAACCUGAGUUAAGCUGCUUCGUGAUUUUGACGUGUUAAAGAAGUUUUAAAAUUUGUCUUUUCAUCAGAUAUUAGAAAUACAACUUACGUAUAAGUUAAUAAUUCUUGACCAUGAUCCAAUCAAAAUAUUAAAUUCUUCUUUAAUCUUUGCAAUUUUAUCAUAAAAAAAAAAACAUUCAUAAAACAAAUACAAACACACACAUACACUUUCACUAUUUUUGUUUCUUUUCUUUUUCUCUUUUUGUUUUUACAUCCACAUUUACAAUAUACAAAUAAAAAAUUCAAAACUAAACAAAAAUUACAUCACAUGAUUGAAAAAUUACAGAAUAGUCCCUAAAAUUAAAGAAAACAAUUCUGGGAAGCCUUAUGGACCACCAUAACACUGGCGGCGCGUUUCCUCCAGGCGCCCCCGCCACUGGCGGCGCCUGGGUUCACACGCCGCCGCGAUCAAAGGCUGAAAAACGGGUGGAUCUGGCUCAGCCUCUUCUCCCCUUCCUUUCCUCACCGGCGGUAACCUGCAAGAACAACCAAAAACGCCACAGGCAGUCAAUUUUAUUUUUUUCUUUGUUUUCAAUCUAUUUUUUCUUUCUCUUCUUCGUUUCGGGUCUGCUUUACUUAUGCUUUGUCUCUGUCUUUUGGAAGUUGUUGUCUGCCUCGGGGUCGGGAGGAGAAGCUGGGAGGCGGUGGCUUGCUUCUAUUGAGGCCGUCGAGGACGGCGCUGUUGCACCUCUUCUUUGGUUUUCUGUUCUUCCCUUCUGCCGGUGGCGGACAAUUCUGAGGUGGAGGAGCUCGGCUGCUAUUGUGGGGUUCUUCAGGUGUGGCUGGCGGCUGGAAGGGAAAUGGGGCUGCUGUUUUGGCUGCUGCUAUUAGAGGCUGAAUGGAGAGGAGAGGGCGGUCAGUUCACAGUGGUUGAGAGGGAAGAUAUGGUGCUGGCUUUGUGUUGAUAAGAGGGAGAGGGGACAGUGUAUGGGCCUCCGGCUGAAGGAAGAAGAAACCAAAUCAAGGGGGGCGUCGCCGACUGGUUUGUAUCUGUGAAUGGGAGUGGGGCGGCUGGUUUCGGAGUUAGAGGCAAACUAGAGAGGGGAAAGAAUUUUGGCUUGUCGGACAGAUAUGGCCAGGUGAGCUGGCGGUUGGAGGAGGGGAGCAGUUCGGUUUUGGAGGAGAAGGGGUAAUGGCCAGCCGGUUCAGAUUUGUUGUGGGUGAGGGGGGAGUGAGCAGCUGUUGAUGGCUAGAGAAGGGGCUGGCAGUGUGAUAGUCCGGAAAAAGGAAGAAGAGAAAAAUAAAAAAUCAAAGGGGUGGGGGCUGGCCAGCGGCGGCUUAGAGAAGACAUAGAUUUAGGGUUUUUUGUUUUUGUGUUGUCUCUCCCCUCAAAUCUCAAAAUUGGCCCCCCAAUUUCUUUCUUUUUGUAAAUUUGAUUUUUCUUAACUUUUUUGUAUUUUUUGAAAACGAGCAAUAUCAACGUCGACUCGAUGAGGAAAAACAAUGAUUUUAAAAAAUGACGGGUGAAAAGUCGAACGCGUUCAAAAGACCCUUAAAAAUUUAAAUUCUUUUUUAGACGACGUCGAAAAUGCUAAAAUGACGAGAAUAUAUUAAAAAACAUAUUUUUUGGAUUUUCAUUGUUUUUUCUCUAUUUUUGGAUUUUUUUUGAAAAUUUAUCAAAACAUGGGUCAAAAAUUAGGUUGCAACACUAGGUACUAAUUUGAAGAAAAUCAAAGUUUAAGGUUUAAUUGGGGGCUAAUUAAAACAAAUUGGAAACCAAAGGCUACUUUGAAAUAGACGUCAAACUUUAGGGAUCUCAUUUGAUUUUUGGCAAAGGCCUAAUUGCAUAAGAUUAGCCAGUUUUGUCUCAAUUAAAGACGUUUGAGCUUAAAUUAAAAAAACAUGUCAUUCAUUUUUAAUAAAGAUAUUGAGUGACAUGCCAUCCAUCCCUAUUUUAUUGUCUUUUUUAGUUGAAAAGGCUGACCACAUUGCCAUGUUCAAGUGAAUGAAUGUGGCAUUUCCGACUACUUUAGGGACUUCAACCACCACCAUUCAACAAAAAAAGGUUCUCCUCUUCAAGUUUAUGCCACCCUUAUUUGAUGUUUAUGCUUUGCCUACCAUGUGGAAGGCCUCAACAUCUUGUCCCUGAUCAGCCAUUUUGCAUUAAUAGAUUGAAGUUGAUCAAGGGCCAAUCUUUCAAACAAUGAAUGUGAAGUUCUAAACCUCCAAAUCGAGUGUGGUUUUUUUCUGAAGGUAGUAAGCAUCCCUUUUACUUGUUAAAGGUAGGCCAAGGAUAUGACUAUCUCCUAAUUUGUAUGAUGACUUCAUCAAAAUAGCACACUUAGUCAACCAUGACUAAUGAAAAAACACUCCCUUGAUUGACUAACUUUGUGGCUACCUUCUCUUGAUUAAAUUGAACCUACAAAAUAAUAAAAACAAUGAGAACCCUUUUUCUAAGGAGGCUAGGAAAGGAUGGUUUUUAUGCACAACCAUCAUAGUUCUACAACUGAUGGUUUUAAUUUGAUUAUAAAAGAGUAGUUUCUCUUUGAGGAAAAUGGGGUAUUUUUUUUUGGAAAGGAAAAGAGUAGAGAAAAAUAAAGAAAACACCUAAAGAGUUAAAAAGAAAUCCUAUAAGUGAUUUAAGAGAGAAACUAGAGAGUUAGUGUACCAAAGUGAGAGAAAUAGAAUAUAGAUCAGUUAGAGGUGAAAAAAGGAGCUGAAAAUCAAAGGGAAAGAAACCAAUGAUCUAAAGGAGAAAGCUAUAUCUUCUUCAUAAUGUAAGCCCUCAAGCUUUGAUGAGGGAUGUAGCUCAUUAAGCACACCUAUCCUUUUUAUGUAUUCAUUCAGCUUAUCAAUCCAUGUUUAGAUCAUUGUUUUUAAAUAUGUGUUGUUGUUGUUGCUAGCAUCAGAUGUAAUAUAGUUUUGUGCUUAAGAUAUCACUAUUCCAUGACUCAAUAUAUAUAUAUAAGUUCAUUAUGAUUUAUGCAUAGUUUGUUGUGUUACGAAUGUUAAUAUAAUGAUAUAUUUUAGCUUAAGAGAUUUUAUAAAGUUUUUAACUAGUUUUAUUACUUGCUUUAUUGGUUAAAUCAUUUAGGAAGUUUAGUUUUAGGUUUGCCUUUUUUGGUGUAUUUUUUAGUCACAACAAGUAUAGGUUUGUGUUUUUAAAGUUUGAAUGAUAUGGCAAAUUAAUGUUCUUAGAUUGUUAUAUUUCAAAAAUAUGUUCGCUAUGAAACUUGAUCUAAUUACUCUUUUUUUAAUGGUGUUUUUUAUGUUUGUUGAAGUGUACAUGAGUGUGCUUAAAUGAGGGCUACUAUAUUACUUAAAAGUGCAUUUUUAUCAAGGUUUUAUAUCAGCAUUUUGCACUUGAAGUAUCAAUAACUCCUUAACUAAAACAUGUUUUAUAAUAACAUACCUAAUAAUAUAAGUGUAAAUGUUCAUCUUAAAUGUAGGUCUAUCACAUACAUGAAAGGAUUGAUUGAUGAGUUUAAGUAUUGAAAUUCAAAGGACAAAGAGAGGGCCAAACUUAGAAAAGAGAUGUUGGUGCAGUCCAAACUGGAACACUGUUCGGUAAUUGGGUUAUAUCACAAGUUUAGAUGUUCAAAUGACCUUACUUUUUUGGAUAGAUUUGGUAAGACAUGGGCCUACAACUUUCAUGUGUAGUCCAAGAUUUAAAAAGGCCGUUUUGAAGUCCAAAUUAUAGCAACAACGGAGAAGUCUGAAUCUGUCCUGCAGCCCAGACACUGUUCAGUGUUUAGCCCAUAUCUCGAGUUCUAGAAGUCCAAAUGAUCUCAAUUUUUUUUCCCGGAAAGAUAAGACAAUUUCCUAUAACUUUCAUGAGUAUAGGUGGUUCUAGUUCUGAUGCUAGCAAUGAUAUUUUAUUCAGACAAGAAGAUAAGGAUUUUCACUAAGUCAAGAGUUGGCUACCCACUCAACAAUUAGUCAUCAAAUCAAUAGUUCCAAAUUUUAGCCUAUAAAAGGAGGCAUUUACCAUGCAUUUAGGCAUCUGUGUUGUUCAGAUCAAGAUCAUGCUCUUUAUAUUUUCUUUAUAUUUUUGUAAUGUUUAAGUUUUAUUUCAUGUUAUAUUUUCCUUAAUCUCUUGUUUAUGCUUUUCAUUUCCUUUACUAUACUUAUGUUCUUAUGUUGUUUAUUUAUGUUUAUCUUCUUCAUUAUGUUUAGCUAAGUUUAUUAUGUCAAGGUGAAAAGGUUUCACUAAUGAUGUUAGAAUAUGUAUAAUAUAAACUUAACAUGAACUUCAAUAUUUAUAUCCAAAAAAGUUUGUUAUUAACAUGUCUUAUCUUUUUAUCUUACUAAUUCUUAAUACCUUGUUUGUUAAAUGGUUAAUCUAGAUUUAUGUUCUAUAACACUUGGUACAACAAAUGCUUCGCACUUUCAUAGCUAACUAUAUGGUAUAACCUACACCUGUGCUAUGAAAGGAACUUGAUUUGUUGUUAACACAAGUUAACAUCAUGAAUUCCUGACAAUAUUUAAAAGUAUGGUGUUACUAAAAUAAGAUAAUUAAUAUGAUCGUGUUAAAAAUUUAUAAUGAACUAUUAAGGAUAAAUCAUCCAAUUGGAACCUCCUUUGUGUUUGGUUUUCAGUUGAUUAAUAAAAAGAGUUUAUACUACACUUAUUUAUAAUACUAUUAGUGGAUCCUGCAUCAAGCCUAAGCCUAACCAUAAAACAUCUUAAGUUACAUGACUUGUGAGUGAUAAGAUGAUCAUCACUGCUAAAUUUACCAAUGUAGAAUAUACGUAAAUUCUGAAUUGUUACAACUAUCAGAAGAAGGCUGCCCUAAAUAUAAUGUAAGGAAACUAAAAAAAGGGUAAUGAGAUGUUGUACACAAUUAUUAUAUAUAUGGUGGUAGACCAAAUUGAAACAAAGAAACCAGUCUUCAAUAAUUUUUGGUGGUUUAACCAAAGGCCUUUGAAGUUAGUGGGAAAAUAAAGAAUGAGGAAACUUGGGCGAUCAAGGCUGGAUGAAGAAGUUGUAAGAGUUGCCUAAUAGAAAUUUCAAUUGGAAAGCCCUUUGGGUCACAAUAGUAAAUAUCGUAAUGAUUUGUGGGCAUAGACGUUGGGUACCUUAGGUCAAGAUUACAAGUUAUGUCAAUUAUUCUUCGGCUCUUGGGGCAAGACAACUAAGGAGCAUAAAAUACAUCAUGAAAAUUGUUGGACUUAUUCAAUUUUCUAAGUUAUUCAAAGAUCAAUCUGUACGUGAGGUCCAAAGAGUAGAAAUGAUUGUCCUACUACAAGAAUAUACAAAUUUUUUUAUCUGGUCUAACAAGGAUAUGUUAAGGAGAACAUAUUCUACAAAACGAAUAUGGAUAUGGAUAUCGUAGUACAUAGGGUAUCAUAAUGAUAUUUUUUUAUCCAAGAAUAAGUUUGGAUAUGGAUAUCGUAGUACAUAGGGUAUCAUUUAUAGACGAAUACAAAACGAUCAAAUAAAAGUUAAGGAGAACCCUCCUAGACAUCCUGAUUAAGUCAAGGAAGAAAUUAAGAAGUAAUAGAGUGCUGACUGCUUAAAAGUACUUAAAUAUUUGCAAUGGGUAUCUAGUAUAGUUGCCGUACCAUAUAAGGAGGGGAAGAUCAGAGUUUGUAUGGACUUAGGUAUUUGAACAAUGCUAGCCCUAAAGAUGACUUCUUAUUGCCAUAUAUAGAUGUUUUGAUCGACAACGUUGCACGCAGUUUCACUUAUUCUUUCAUGGAUGGCUUCUCAGACUACAACUAGAUAAAAAUAUCUUUGGAAAACAACUUUUAUCAUACCCUACGGAACAUUCUACUAAAAGGUUAUGCCACUCAAGUUAAAGAAUACAGGGUCCACCUACUAUAUGGCUAUGAUGACUUUAUUCCAUGAUAUGAUGCAUAAACAAAUUAAGGUGUAUAUGGAUGAUAUGAUUGCCAAGUCUAGGAAAUGAGAAAAUCAUGUCUAGGUUUUAAGGAAGUUGUUCCAGAGAUUAAGAAAGUACAAAAUAAGGCUUAACCUUGCAAAAUGUUCAAUUAGAGUUAAGUUCGAGAAGUUACCGGGAUUCAUGGUAAGUGAUGGAGGGAUAUAAGUGGAUCCUGAUAAAGUAAAGACCAUUCAAUUUAUGUCAUCUCCUAAAAUAAAAGAGGAGGUGAGGGGAUUGUUUAGGAAAUUGAACUAUAUUGUCUAGUUCAUAUCUUAGCUAACAACAACCUGUGAACCUAUCUUUUAGCUAGUGUAGAAAAAAAAUCCUAGAACUUGGAAUAGAGAGUGUCAAGAAGCCUUUAAAAAAUUAAAUAGUACUUACAAAACCUAUAUUUACUUGUUCCUCAUGUACCAUGAAUGCCUUUAAUAUUAUAUCUAACAGUGACUGAAGCAACUAUAGGAUGUGUACUAGGAUAUCAUAAUGAAAUAAAAAAGGAGCCAUUUAUUAUCCAAGUAAAAAGUUCAUAAAAUAUGAGUUCAAAUACACGGUGAUUGAAAAGUUAUGUUUUGCAUUGGUGCGCGUGGUUAAACAAUUAUGACAAUAUAUGUUGUAUCAUACUACAUGAUUGAUUUCAAAGGUUGAUCCCUUGAGGUAUAUAUGUGAGAUGCCCUAACUAUCAAGUCGAAUUGCAAUGUGAAAAGUUUUGUUAGGGGAAUACAACAUGGUGUAUAUGACAAGGAAAGUUGUGAAAGGGAGCGCAAUUACUGAUCAUCUAGCUAACAAUGCCACUGAAGAUUAUGAGUUAUUGGAUUUUGACUUUCCUAAUAAAGAUGUGUUGUUGGUUAAGGAAUAAGAAAAGAAGAUAAAUUGGUGUACCAUGUUUUUUGAUGGGGUAAUAAAUAUAUGUAUUAAUGAAGCUGAUGCAGUAAUUAUUUCUUCUAAAAAGAAGUAAUACCCGGUUUCAAUUAAGCUAUCAUUUGAAUGCUUCAACAAUAUAAAGCUGAGUACGAGCCUUGCAUCCUUAGUUUAGAAGUUGCAUUAAAGUUGAAGAUUAGAAAGAUAGAUACGUAUGAUGACUUAAUGCUAAUUAUCUUCUUGGUGAAAAGUUGAGACCCUAUCAAUAAUACCUAUCCAAAUUGGAAGAAGAGUUUGAAGAGAUAGAGUUCACCUAUCUAGGUAGAGAAGGGAACUAGUUUGCUAACACUUUGGCCACGCUAGUUGCUAUUUGCUAGAAUUGACUUGUGGCAUAGGGUACAAUUGAUACACAUUGAUAUUAGAAAUUUCACAGUUCAUUGUUGCUUAGUUGAAUGAGAGAUAGAUGGAAACCCUUAGUACUACGAUAUCAAGAACUUUGUGUAAAACUAGGAAAAUGAGUGGCAAACUAUGAGGGUCCCUAUCUAAAAUGGAUAAAGAAUAUCUGGCUAGACUUGUGAAUUCCAAUUCUAUAAAGAAAUACAACAUAUUAUGUAUCCAUUUUCUUUCAAAAUCAAUAAAGUGAAGUUUGGCCAUGUAUUCUUUGUGUAAAGAACCUUUCUUUAUAAAUUGCAUAAUCUCACAACAUUUGAAAUCCUUUUCCUAAAAAAAUCUUGAAAGAACUGGCUUUGUGUAUGAUUAUAAGGAAUAUAUCAUAAUAUGCUCAAGAUGAGGUUUAAGCAAUUCCUGAUUAGUAGGUGACCAAACCAAACAAACCAAAGCUAACUAUAAAUGGCAUUUUAAAUUACAUGGAUAAAUUAUUGGUAGUGACUCUAUAAUCACCUGCAAUUUAUUUUUGAAAAAGAUAAAGUUUGUCGAUAUUAACGAUGUGUGUUUGAAAUGAGAGAAGAAUAUACCCCUUGUGGUCUUUAUUUUGAGCCUGAGCAAGUUGUUCUUCAUCAAAAUCCUGACUAGGAUCACACUUCAUACUUGGGGUAAGAAAGAAAUACGAGUAAACUACUAAAAUGUAUACAUGGAUCUAUAAAAGUCAAAACCCAACACUAGGGGGCAUCAUCAUAAAAAGGAAAAAAAAAGAACCAGAAAGAGGAAGCAAAAAAAAAAGAAAAGAAAAGAAAAGAAAGAAGCGAGAAAAAAGAUACAAGAAAACAACUGAUGCUCCAAGACUAAAGAAAGGAUCUUAAAGUGAGACUAUUUAUUAAGAAAGAAAUUAUAUCCAAAUAAAGGCCAUGAGAUGACCUUAUAAAAGAAAAGAGGCUAAAUAAAAGUGAUCAUAAGUAUUUAAACCCUUAAACACUUUUUUAUCUUACAUUUCACACGAAGUGAUAAAGGAGUAAGGACUUGCUCUUAUUCAAGCGAAAAAAAUAUAAAUUCUAACACGAGGCAAACUUAAUAUAUAUACACACACACACACACACACACACAUGAAAUCUCUUUGAAAACUAAAGCAGAAGGUCGCCUUUAGUAAGAACCCCACCAAAAGAUAACCCACGCUCUAAAAAUGAUAAAACACUUGGAGAAUUGCUUGAAGAACUCUUUUAAUGCAUACAUUGAAAGUUUCAGUUUUCAUGAACAAAACCAAGUUUUUUAAAGAUUUCUUCUUGAAAAUAAAUAAAUUAUAUGAAACAAAAAUGAAAGGCCCUUAAAAUGGAAAAAAACAAAUAAAGCAUUGACAAAAGCAUGAUGGAAAGCAAUGUUAAAUUACAUGGUCAGUGGAGCAAGAAAGGGCCCCAUAAGAGACAAAGCUGGAGGCUUCUUUCUAAGAAUGAAGUGGGUAAAAGAUGUAGCAUAAGAAACAAAUCAUAAGUCAAGCAUACAAAUUCAAACAAAUACUGUCAACUUCUUCUCAACUCUGUUUGCCAAGCCACAAUGCAGAAGAAUUGAAAUGGGAGACUCAGGGUUCUCUAAAAUUUUAGAAGAAAGAUCAGUUUGGUUAGAAAGACUACUUCUAUUGGAGGAAGUGAAGCAAGCCGUAUGGGAUUGUGAUGGUUCAAAAGCCCCCGGUCCUGACGGGUUCACCUUCUCCUUCUAUAAAAAGGAAUGGAAUCUUAUCAGCCCCAACAUCUUUGUGAUGGUCACAUAAUUUUUCAAAAUAGGUAAAUUACGAAAGGGGACUGGCUCGUCCUUCAUGACUUUGAUCCCAAAGACCAAGAGGUCGAGCAGAUUCUCCUAAUUUCGACCGAUUAGUUUGAUUCAUGGGUUAUAUAAAAUAGUGGCAAAGCUCUUGUCCGCUAGGCUCCGAAACAUUCUACCGGAUGUGAUAAGUGUAAACCAGUCUGCUUUCAUUGACGGGCAUCAGAUUCUAGAUGGGUUCAUGAUAUUAAAUGAGGUUGUCCAUAGUAUUCGUAGCAAGAAGGACCACGGGUUUUAGUAGAUUUUCAUAAAGCCUUCGACUCGAUUUUAUGGGAGCAUAUCGAUUCUACCAUGGGUUAUAUGGGUUUUGGAUCUCACUGGAGGAAAUUGAUCUUUGAAUGCAUGUCCACAUCUAAAUUAGCCCUCCUAAUUAACGGCUCACCAAGCAAAGAAUUCAGUAUGGAGAGGGGUCUCAGGCAAGGGGACCCCCUCUCUCCUUUCCUUUUUGACAUAGUAGUUCAGGGGCUAACAGUUCUAUUCAACAGGGCAUCGGAUUCAGGUUACUUUAAAGGUUUGAAGACUUCGCAAGGACAUCACAUAACCCAUUUGCAAUAUGCAGAUGACACGUUGAUUUUCCUGCCAAAUGAUUAUACCUCUCUACUGCAUGUCAAGAGGAUCCUCCGCUGGUUUGAGAUUAUUUUAGGACUGGAAGUUAAUUUCUAUAAAAGCUCACUUAUAGGAAUUAAUUUGGAUAGCGAAUACACUUCAGGUCUGGCUAACACAAUUUUCUGUCGCAGUGACUCCUUCCCAGUCAGAUACCUUGGGUUGCCUCUUGGUGCUAACCCAAAUAGGCUCUCCACUUGGAAACCGGUAUUGUCCACAAUCAGAGCAAAGUUAAGCAAAUGGAAAGGAAGUUUUUGAGCAUGGCUGGAAGGAUAUGUCUUAUUAAAUCUGUCUUAAACUCUCUACCUCUAUACUAUAUGUCGGUCUUUACUAUGCCAAAGGGCAUUGCAAAAGCAAUAUCCUCAAUCAACCAUUGUUUUCUCUGGAAGGGCUCCUCAAAUUCACAUGGUACUCAUCUUAUGAAAGUACCGGCCAUAUUUUACAAAUGGCUUUCCUGUGUUUGCAGGUUCUUUAUCUCCAACUUGGCGUAGCAUGGUAUCUGCAAUUUCCUUAAACCACAGCAUAGCCGCUCCCAUCCAAUCCAAUGUUGGGUUCAAGGUGGGUGAUGGGAGAAACAUCAGGUUUUGGUCUGAUUCUUGGCUAGGCUAUGCAGCCCCUCUCAAGUUCAUGUUUCCUAGGCUCUACAACCUCUCCCUACAGCAAUCCUUAAGGGUUGCAGAAGUUCAUAACCCAACAGAUAAGUCAAUCAAUCUUUCUUGGAGAAGACCCCUUCGAUCCCGAGAACUCUGCAUGUGUGAAAGCUUGAUAGCAGAAGUGGAACGUGGCCUAGUCUUCUCUGAUGAUGAAGUCAACAAGAUUUGGAAACACCAUAGCUCCAACAAUUACACAGUCUCCUCUAGGUGCCAUCUCUUUGACGGUUUUAAUGUUUCAGGACAUCUUCACUCCUCUGUUUUGCUUUGGAAAGGGUUUGCGCCUCCAAAAAUAGAUGUGUUCAUAUGGCUUCUUUUCAAUGGGAGUGUCUGCACAAAGGGUUUCUUAGCUGAGAAGAGAAUCAUCAAUUAUGAGGAAGCUCUUUGUCCUUUUGUUGCAAGGAGAUUGAGACUAUACAUCAUCUCUUCCAUCUUUGUCCAGAAUCAUGGUCUCUUUGGGGCAGACUAUUUAGUUGGUUUGGGUGUGUAGGUUGUCUGCCAAAAGACCCAUAUCAUAACCUUCAGGAAUGGUCCAACAUGGUAAAAGGAAAAUUUCAGCGUCAGGCAAUUACCCUUCUCUGUAAAGGAUUAUACUGAUCAAUUUAGAUAGCGCGCAACCACAUGAUCUUUACCAACAAAACUCUAGACUGGGAUGUGAUUUUUGACCUCACCUUUCAUCGGUUGGCCUUUUGGUUGAAGUCAUUUGUUAAAAACUUCAGCUAUACAGGCUCUGAUCUUUAUAGGAAUCCUGAAUGUAUCAUGAACUGGACUAACUAGUCAGGUCUAUAGAUUCCUUGUUUUCUUAAUGUUUUUUAAUUCUCAAUGUAAUCUUCCUUAGCAGCCCUCAUCUCCUUAAUGGGGGCGUAUUAUUUAUAAUAUUCUCGAUUACUAUAAAAAAAAAAAACACAAACCUAUGUUUCAGCAAGAUGCUGAAAAAAAUUUCCUUCAAACUGAAGCUUCACGACAUAUAGGGUUUGUUGGUAUGGAUGCUACCAGCCUUGUCGAGUGCCUCAUGGAUGUGGUAGGGUUUCUUUCUUCUCUCUCUGUUUAAGUUUUUAAACAUUAACUCAUUUAAUCUAAUGAUGUUAUCAAGUUUGGAACGCAAAGGAUAGUUGUUUUUCUUAUUUUGAUAAACAGAAGCAAUGGUCAUCAGUUUUUUCUAAUAUCGUCUCAAGAACAACUGUACUUGGAGUCUUGUCAAGAGGAGUAGCUGGGAACUACAACGAAACGUUACAAGUGGUAAUUUAGUUCAUCAAGCUGUUUCAGUAUCAUCAUCCCCUUAUAUUAGUGAAAUGGAUUCUAAAUGCCAAUGGAAUGCAAUAUUGUUGAUUUCAUUAGUUAGAAUUGAGUUCAUACUUGCAAUGGGAGCUUCUAUACUACACCAUGAAACGUAAAUAAUCGCAAGGAGUCUUCAAGUAUCAUUGGAUGUUCGAUGAAACUAGUAAACUGUCUGGAAAUUAUACUGACAGAUUCAACAAAACAAAAAAAAUUGUUUACAGGUACCCUUUGGAUACUUUAAUGUUUUUUUUAGGAAUCUUCAAGUAACUCAAGCAUUGAUUGCGAAUAAUACCCUUAUGAUCUGUUGCAAUUAUAUGUAUUGGUAUGUGGGGGACAGUGUAGUUCUUCCAACCAACAAAAUGUGCAUAUGAAUAAUCGAUUUCAUAAGAUGUUCUCAAUGCAAUGCUUUACAGAUGAAGGCAGAGUUUCAUAUGCCUACACCACUUGUUAAUAUUCGAGAGAGUCAGUUUGCAAGGUAUUGUAAGCAGAUAGGGCCUGGAACUUGGGGAGUUGUUGAUGUAUCCUUGGACAGUCUAUUCCCUUAUCCACUAGUAAUUUUUCGGAGAAGACCAUCAGGUUGUUUAAUCGUAGAAAUACCGGAUGGAUACUCUAAGGUGAUUACAUGUGCCAAUUGGAAAAGCAUCCCUUUCUGUAGUUUACUUGAAUUAAGCCUCCUAUUAAUUAUAUUUCCAUGUUCUUGUCUUCAUCAAAUUCUGCAGGUUAUUUGGGUUGAGCAUGUGGAAGUCGACAAUAAAUUUGUCCAUACAAUGUUUUGGCCAAUUGUUCUCCCUGGUUUUGCAUUUAGCGCCAUGCGUUGGGUUGCCAGCAUAGUCCGACUUUGUGAGCCAGUUGGGAAUAUAAUCUCUACUUCCCUUGACAGUGGUAAAAACAUUUCAUUUUCUUCUGACUUUAAGCAACAUAUAUAUUGGUUAACCUGUUACAGUUUUGGUUUGAUAUUGCACAGCAACAAUACCCCGAAAUGGGAAAACAAGUGUGUUGAGGCUUAUUCAAAUAUGCUAUAAACAUAUCCGAAACUUCAACUAUAUGAACCACACAUUAACAAAGAAAAGAUUUCUUGAUUAUGCAGUCUGCUCCGAACCGGAUAGAAAUCUUGUACUUGCAAGAAAGUUGUUGUAACCCAUUUUUGGGUCCCCAUAAAAAAAAUAAUAAAUAAAAAAAAAAAAAAAAAAAUAUGUGCGCAGUACUGGUCGCAGUAACCCGUAGAUUAAUUCUCUGGUUACUGUACACACAGUAACCCGGUUACUAUGUGCACAGUAACCAGCCCAUGCAAAAAAAAAAAAAAAAAAAGGGCUAAACGGUGCCGUUUUGAACGGCACUGUUCCCCUUUCUUCCCCGCCUAACAUACAGCAGUAAAGAAGGAAAAAAGAUGUAUAUUUAAUGGCGUUGGUCCCUCCAGCCCACCGACCGCCGGUCCCUCUAGCCCACCGACCGAAGACAUUGGCCGACCGCCUACCGCACCGCCGAAACUGAGGGAGGCACGCCUGGACAGCCACGCCCGACCAGCCGCCGCAUGACCCCACGAUGAAAAAAAAAAAAAAACACAUGCUCACGGGCUAUAAAUGGAGGAGAAGAGAAGAGAAGAGAGGGGGAGAGAAGAAAGCAGAAGAAGAAGAAGCAGAGAAGAGAGUCCAACAUCACCACCGCAGGUAGCCUUUCCCGUCGUUUUUCUGUUCUGCAUGCAGAUGAAAGAUUAAUUAGCGAACUCGCUAAUUAAUUCACGGUUACUGUGCAUGUGCACAGUAACCCGCAGAUUAAUUCUCUGGUUACUGUACACACAGUAACCCGGUUACUAUGUGCACAGUAACCAGCCCAUUCUUUGGGCCAGGUUCGGCCCAACCCAUAUAUUUGGGCCUGAUCCGGCCCAUUUCAAAGAAAAAAAUCAAAAAAUAUUUGUUUCAGCAUUUUAUAAUUUUUCCGCGUAAUUUUUAUGUCAUUUUGAUUAAUAUUUGGUGGUAUUUUUUUAUGUUGUUAAAAAUACAAAAAUCUGAUUUUUAAAUACCCGGUUUUCGUCAAAAACUUCCACAAAAUACAAAAAAAAUUAAAAAAAAAAAGUUUUUGUGCAUACGGCCAAGUGUCUCAAAGCUAAAAAUUUAUGUUGUAUUUUUUCAUACACCAAAACAAAAUGUUUUAGCAUGCAUUUUGGCUUUAAUAACCAGUUUAUUAAAGUCAAGAGAAUAUUGGCCAAUAUUUCAAAAACAACAAAAAUUUUAUUUUGUUUGUCUCUUAGUAUCCGGGGUAUGACUUUACACGUAAUGCAUAUUCCGGAUAUUUAAUUCUUUUUUUUUUUUGGACAAUAGAACCUGGGGUAUGACAUUACAUGUAAUGCGUAUUCCGAACAAUAAAAAACCACAACACGACCUUAGAUUUUAUCAGACAUUAAAACAAUGCAGCUUACCUUAGGUAGGGCGUAGUUGGGGUGCUAAUACCUUCCCUUUACGCAACCAGUCUCCGUACCCGAUCUCUAACGACCAGUUAAGGUUCCUAGUAACCAGAAUACUAGGUGGCGACUCCCAGUCCAUAUUUUCACUUGUAGAGACAAGAAUUCCUUGUCUCUCCAUUUUUUCUUAAGGAAUAAAUAUUUCCGAUUUUUUCCAUGAGGGUGGACGAUCGCCGCGCCGCCGCACACGUGCGACAGAAUGGCGACUCCAUUGGGGACUUUGUGGACUAAGCUUUGUUUUUGUCUGAUGAUUGUGUUUUUUUGUUGUGGUUUGCGUGUUUAUUUUGAAAUAUGCAUUUUCUUUAUAUAUUUGUUCAUAUUUAGUUGUUCGCUUUAAUUUUUGUACAUAUUUAUCUCAUGCAUCACAUAGUUAAUUUUUUUUAAGCACACACAAGCUUCAGGUUAGGGGGGAACUAGCAGCUUACCUUAUGACUUUUAGUCAAGGUUUAAGUUUGUGUAAACCCCAACUCUUCGUUGAGUGCUUAGACUGGUAAUAGUUGGACACGUGCCAUCUCACUGCCUACAAGCCCCCAUAUUGCCUCCACGAGGGCGAUCACUGGGACAACGAGAGUCCUUUUUUAGAGACCAAAUAGUAAACCUACCUUUUGUCUCACUUAAAAAGAUUAGAACCUGCCUUUAGGAUGUAUGCUCCGUAUACAUUGUUUUGCAUCCGAGCAAGCCCUUCUUGAAGCAUCUUGAACUCCAGACUUAUGGGUGACACAAUGACCGUCGCUCAGAAAAUUUUCAUUGUAGAGUUUGUGCAAGAAUCAAGAUUCUUGUUUCAUCAUACAAGAGUUGCGACCAUAUGUCACCCCUCGAAGGGCGAGUUCGUCAUAUAGAUUACAUGUUCAUACAUUUAACAUGCAUACAUGUCAGAUUGAAAUAUAGGUCCCCAAAAAGUCUACAACACCCGACUUCGAGCAAGAAACAUGGAAGAUGAAGAGCGUGCUCAACGUGAUGCCUAUUUGCACGAGGAGUUGGAGUCUCUGAAAAUAAGUGUGGCUCACCUCACUAGCUUACUCAAGCAAACACUAAGAAAUACCUCUGAUGAAGGUCCUUCUAAUCAACCGAUCACCUUUGAUCCGGCUCCUACUUCAGUUCAGCCUGAGGAAAGAAUGAGCGAACAUGGUCAAGAACCUCAGCAAAAUCCAACAUUUGUGCAGUCAACGACACCUGCACCAUCCCCAACAGUUGUGAAGGCAUCUGCUAAUGAGUCCCACAAGGCUAAGUCAUCUGAUAGCAUUGAUCAAGCUAAGAUAGAGGCGCUGGAAGCCAGACUCAAAGCCAUUGAAGGGGUAGACUUAUAUGACCCGGUACGGGCAGCAGAGAUGUGUUUGGUCCCAAACGUGGUUAUCCCAAAGAAAUUUCGUGUUCCUGAAUUCAUCAAAUACAGUGGAACACAAUGCCCCAUGACUCAUCUCAGGUCCUACUGCAAUAAAAUGGCUGAGGUAGUACAUGAUGAAAAACUACUAAUGCACUUUUUCCAAGACAGUUUAAGUGGGGCAACUUUGAGUUGGUACAUGAGAUUGGAUAACACAAAAAUUCGCAACUGGAAAAAUCUUGUGGAUGCUUUCGUCAAGCAAUACAAAUACAACAUGGACAUUGCGCCCGACAGAACCAGUUUGUCCAAUAUAGAGAAAAAGGAUAAAGAAAGCAUAAGGGAAUAUGCUCAAAGAUGGCGAGAAUUAGCUGCUCAAGUACAUCCCCCACUUCUGGACAAAGAGAUGGUCUCUUUAUUUGCCAACACACUCAAAGCACCAUAUUACGAACAUAUGAUGGGUAGUUCAGCCCAACAAUUCACUGAUGCCGUGAUAGUGUGUGAACGCAUAGAGCAAGGUGUCAAGAGUGGUAGAAUUUCUGCACCAACCGAGAAAAGAGGCUUCGAAAGAAAAGAGGUUCACCAUGUUGAAGAUGGCUACAUGGGUAAAAAUAAUACAUCCCAAAAUUACCAUACUCCAUCCCAAAUUGCCAACAUCCAAAAACCUAAACCCCAAAACUUUCAAGCCAAAAGCCAAAUUGGAAAUUUCCAAAGGGUUCAAGAACAACUGCCUCCACUACCAUUACCCCUGAAUGAGAUGUAUCAAAAGCUAUUGAGCAUUGGGCAAAUAGCUCCAGAACCUCUAACACCUCUGCAGCCACCUUAUCCUAAUUGGUACAAGCCAGAACUCAAAUGUGAAUACCAUGCCGGUAUUACUGGGCAUAGCAUCUAUACCUGCAACGCCUUCAAGAGAAAGCUUCUGCAAUUAAUCAAGGCUGGUUGGAUAGAGUUGGAAGACACCCCCAAUGUGAAUACGAACCCGCUGCCUAAUCAUGCUUGAAGCAUAUUAGGAUGGAAUGUUUGGGGAAUUGGAAAGCAUCAAUGGUCCAGCAUGAUAGCUUGAAUUUUUGACCGUGGUGUUGUUCCGCAUUGUCUUUGAGUCCUCUACGCAGAGCUUUUGAGAAGAGUUUAGCCUAUGAACAGAUUCGCCAAAAUAGAGGAAUGAAGCCUGCCUUGUUAUUUCCUUUUGUUAAUGCUUUUGAAUAAGACUUUCUCUGUUAAUGAGCUUCUCUUGUGAAAUAAGAUCAUGCGUUUUCUUGUGUUCACAUCACACUCUUCUUUGUUGUUAUUACAUGUAAAUAACAUUUUGAGCGCAACUUUGCUCACAACACUACAACAUGAAGAAUCCUUUGGUGUUCCUUUCUUCCAAACCCAUACAUUAAUCUCAUAUGUUUUCAAGGAUAUUUUUUGGGACCUCCAAAGUGAGUACAAAAAAAAAAUCGUGUUGAUAUUUGUCCAAAACAAAUGCAUUUUGAAAAUUCAAGUGAUUCCUUAAAUAGGUACACAUAUACCUAGAAAACUUGAAAGAAAAAAAGACAAUAAAGACAAACAACACUAUGAGGUGACUCAAAAGCUGAGUUUUAUUUGACUGAAUAAAUCACUUUGCAUACGCGCAUGAAAGCAAGACCUAUCGAUCCUCAUGCAGUUUGAGAUGAGGAAAGGCCAUCUUUGAUAAUCCUUUCACAAGCUGAAAUAUAUCCUUUGCAGUCCCAUUUGAGCCUAGUAUUUUUUGGAAAUAACCUUGACUAGGAUCACACCCCACACUGGGGGCAAAAUAAGAGAGUUUGUUGUUUUUAUCAUCCAAAUGAAACAGUGAAGAUAAAUACUGCGAUUGGUUAAAAGAUUUGAGCUUCUCAUAAAACAACUGAUAUGAUUGUUCUCAACGAAACAAAAACGAAGAAAACAAAGAGAAAAGCCCAAACCCGACACUGGGGGGCAGGACAAACUUUUUUAAAAAUAAAAAAAACAAUCCAAAAGAAAGGUCAGGAAACAAGCACAAGUGAUCCUAGUUUUUGAAAUCCCUUAAACACUUUUUGAGCCUGCAACAUAUCCAUUUUCUUCGUAACCAAUAGCCAAAGCCUACAUUACAUACCUGAUAAAGCCCUUUCUGAUCAAAGGCAAGCAAUCUGGAUCGUAUGCAGUCUCACAUGCGAGUCAAAUAAUUAUUCAUGCAAAUAAAAUAAAUGCUUUGAAUCGAUUUCGGUUCUCAAUAACCCUCAAAUUGAAAUUUAAACCUUUUGUGACCAACCAGAUGUCACUUCAUCUUUAAACCAAAAGCAAAAAGCUUUCAUCACUUCAAGAAACCUGUCCAUAGGAAUCACUUGAAUUUUCUAGAACAAGUUUAUUUUGAACCAAUGUCAAAAUCAUUUUUGUGAUUGGAAUAGCUUGGACGUUCCAAAAAUUUUGCAUGAAAACAUUUCAUUGUACCAAAAACCCACUUUCACAUAUCCUCACCCCAAAUUAAACCCAAGUUGAACACUUGGUGGGCAUGAUCAAGCUGGGGGGCAAUCAAAAACACAUGGUAGGGCUGGCUCCAUGAUUCCUGUUCUAAGGAAAAUGUCAGGCAAAAUUGGUAACUCUUGAGAUAAUGGGUGAAGGACAAAGAUGUAUGAUGACAUCAAACCCUUCCCAGAGGUCAAGAUCACAAGAUGUAACCCGAGUAAGCAAAAGUGGAAAAGCCAUCAAAGUUUACUACCAAUACUACAACUUUUGAGAGAAAAGAAAGACACCAUGAAGAAAUGGGGGCCUAUAUUUCUCAGGUAAGUAUACAUGCAUAUCAAUCAUAAUGCAUUUGCUUUUCAACAUUGACAAUCAUUGUUUCAACAUCAUCUUUUAGGUAGUGCGUUUUAUAACCCUACCUCCGUUUGAGUGCGCCUUUGAGCCCUCACCUCCAUUUUGAGUGCGCCUUUGAGCCCUCAUCCCUUGGGUAGUGUGUUUUCUAACCCUACCUCCUUUUGAGUGCGCCUUUGAGCCCUCACCUCCUUUUGAGUGCGCCUUUGAGCCCUCAUCCCUUGGUAGUGCGUUUUCUAACCCUACCUCCUUUUGAGUGCGCCUUUGAGCCCUCAUCCCUUUGGUAGUGCGUUUUCUAACCCUACCUCCAUUUUGAGUGCGCCUUUGAGCCCUCAUCCCUUUGGUAGUGCGUUUUCUAACCCUACCUCCUUUUGAGUGCGCCUUUGAGCCCUCACCUCCAUUUUGAGUGCGCCUUUGAGCCCUCAUCCCUUUGGUAGUGCGUUUUCUAACCCUACCUCCUUUUGAGUGCGCCUUUGAGCCCUCACCAACAUUUUUCUGGGUAGGUCACCCAUUACAAUGCGACCAAUUCUCCAUGUUUUAUAUCUGGGUAGGUCACCCAUUACAAUGAGACCACACUUCACAUUCUUUCCUUUUUUUCGGGUUAAAGGGGAUUGGCGAAAGGAAUAUCAGUUUAGCCCAACCAUACACAGGACUUUGGGUCCGAUUGAAGUUUUAGGUCAAUCAAAUUUUGAGACGACCAGUUUCGGAAGACCAAUGUUUUUUUUCUUUACAACACUUACUAUGCACAAAUCUUUGCUCCGUAAGCAUUGUAAAGAGGGGGGCAACUGUUGUAACCCAUUUUUGGGUCCCCAUAAAAAAAUAAUAAAUACAAAAAAAAAAAAAAAAUGUGCGCAGUACUGGUCGCAGUAACCCGUAGAUUAAUUCUCUGGUUACUGUACACACAGUAACCCAGUUACUAUGUGCACAGUAACCAGCCCAUGCAAAAAAAAAAAAAACAGAAAAAGGGCUAAACGGUGCCGUUUUGAACGGCACUGUUCCCCUUUCUUCCCCGCCUAACAUACAGCAGUAAAGAAGGAAAAAAGAUGUAUAUUUAAUGGCGUUGGUCCCUCCAGCCAACCGACCGCCGGUCCCUCCAGCCCAUGACCCCACGAUGAAAAAAAAAAAAAAAAAAAACACAUGCUCACGGGCUAUAAAUGGAGGAGAAGAGAAGAGAAGAGAGGAGGGAGAGAAGAAAGCAGAAGAAGAAGAAGCAGAGAAGAGAGUCCAACAUCACCACCGCAGGUAGCCUUUCCCGUCGUUUUUCUAUUCUGCAGGCAGAUGAAAGAUUAAUUAGCGAACUCGCUAAUUAAUUCACGGUUACUGUGCAUGUGCACAGUAACCCGCCGAUUAAUUCUCUGGUUACUGUACACACAGUAACCCGGUUACUAUGUGCACAGUAACCAGCCCAUUCUUUGGGCCAGGUUCGGCCCAACCCAUAUAUUUGGGCCUGAUCCGGCCCAUUUCAAAGAAAAAAAUCAAAAAUAUAUUUGUUUCAGCAUUUUAUAAUUUUCAGCGUAAUUUUUAUGUCAUUUUGAUUAUAUUUUGGUAUUUUUUUAUGUUGUUAAAAAUACAAAAAUCUGAUUUUUAAAUACCCGGUUUUCGUCAAAAACUUCCACAAAAUACAAAAAAAAUUAAAAAAAAAAAAAAUGUUUUUGUGCAUACGGCCAAGUGUCUCAAAGCUAAAAAUUUAUGUUGUAUUUUUUCAUACACCAAAACAAAAUGUUUUAGCAUGCAUUUUGGCUUUAAUAACCAGUUUAUUAAAGUCAAGAGAAUAUUGGUCAAUAUUUCAAAAACAACAAAAAUUUUAUUUUGUUUGUCUCUUAGUAUCCGGGGUAUGACUUUACACGUAAUGCAUAUUCCGGAUAUUUAAUUCUUUUUUUUUUUUUGGACAAUAGAACCUGGGGUAUGACAUUACAUGUAAUGCGUAUUCCGAACAAUAAAAAACCACAACACGACCUUAGAUUUUAUCAGACAUUAAAACAAUGCAGCUUACCUUAGGUAGGGCGUAGUUGGGGUGCUAAUACCUUCCCUUUACGCAACCAGUCUCCGUACCCGAUCUCUAACGACCAGUUAAGGUUCCUAGUAACCAGAAUACUAGGUGGCGACUCCUAGUCCAUAUUUUCACUUGUAGAGACAAGAAUUCCUUGUCUCUCCAUUUUUUCUUAAGGAAUAAAUAUUUCCGAUUUUUUCCAUGAGGGUGGACGAUCGCCGCGCCGCCGCACACGUGCGACAAAAGUUACAGCCAACCAACUGGAUCCUAUGUUGUUUAUGCUCCAAUAGACAUUCUUACUAUGGGCAUGAUGCUGGGUGGUGGAAAUUCAGAUCUUGUUAAUAUUUUGCCAUCAGGUUUUGUGAUACAUCCUGAUGGACCACUAAGGAAUGGAGAGGAAACUAGAGGAAGUCUUCUCACCCUUGCCUUUCACAUUAUGGAUGGUUCAUCCACGGAGGACUAUCUUCCUGCUGCUGAUUCUGUUAAUACCAUUCAGAAAAUCCUCACAGAAACUGCAGAAGAAAAAUUGAAUUUGCAGAGAUUGUUUUGGAGAAAGAGGACAGAACAACAAUUGUGUUGUUUGUUUUAUUAACGUGAGCACUAUAAUUCCUUUCUCUUAGAUUACAACUGAAUGAGUUUUUCUUAUGUAUUUAUAUAGGUAUACAUUACAUCUCUACUUUAUCUACAUGGAUAAGGAAGACGAGUCUUAUCCUUAUCCUUGUGGAUGAUCUUUUCCAUUGUGCAUAAGAAUUCUGCUCUUGUGUGCUUCCUAGAUAGAAUUUGAUUGUAUAUCAAUCACUCUUGUGGCUGCUGUUUCCUUAUCAAAUUAGACUCCCAUGUUGGCUAGAGUUUGUUGCCUUUUUGAACUUCUUUCUCUCCUAACAUUUAUCCACUAAUUCUGGGGAUGUUGCUGACAGCAGAGUGUGAGUGUUCAUCCUUAUUUCUCCCAUAUUCUUGAGUCACCUUAUCACUCCAUCUACUCACACCAUAGUUACUGUCGUCAGAGUGUCUGCUGCUAACACUCUCCCUCGAACUAUGCUUGGGAUGAAGGCAUAGUUUGUUUUGAAAACUUGUGAGGGCUGCCUUUGACAUUGGCUUUGUGAAGAGAUCUGCAACUUGUUCAUUAGUGGAGAUAUGUUUGGUGAUCAGUUGUCCAAGGGCAACUCUCUCUCGCACAAAAUGAUAGUCUAAUUCGAUAUGUUUGCUUCUGGCAUGGAAGACAGGAUUGAUUGUCAUAUGAAGAGCACUGAGAUUGUCACAAUAGAGUGUUGGAGGAGAUGUCAUUGGAAUGUGGAGAUCUUUUAGAAUAAAAGUUAACCAUGUAAGCUCAGCUGUUGUAUUGGCCAUUGCACGAUAUUCGGCUUCAGUGCUAGAAUGCGAUACUGUAUGUUGCUUCUUUGCACACCAGGAAAUGAUGUUUUUACCCAUAAAAACACAAUAUCCUGUGGUGGAACGUCUAGUAGUGAGGCAUCCUGCCCAAUCAACAUCUGAAAAGGCAGAAAGAUCAAGUGAAGUAUUUGCAAAAAAAUGUAGACCUAUGUUAAGUGUCCCUUUCACAUAUCGUAGAAUUCGUCUAACCAUUUUUAGAUGUGUCAUUGUUGGUGCAUGCAUGAAUUGUGACACAUAAUUAACACUAUAUGAAAGGUCUGGCCGUGUGAGAGUGAGAUACUGUAGUGAUCCAACUAAUCCUCUAAAAUAGCUAGGGUCUUCUACAGGGAUAUCAGUUAAGGAGGUUUUUGUUUUUGCUUCAAGAGGUGUGCUCAUAGGUUUACAAUCUGUCAUUGUAACACGUUCAAGUAUAGUCAAUGCAUAGUGUGACUGGGAUAAGUGGAGUCCACUCCUUGUUUUGCAUAUUUCAAUUCCAAGGAAGUGAUGAAUAGGUCCCAAAUCUUUCAUGGAAAACUCGCCACUUAGGAGUUGAAUGAAGUUGCUGACAAGGGCCUCUAUAGAUCCUGUGAGCAACAUAUCAUCUACAUAAAGUAAAAGUACUAGCAAGCCAUGUUCAGAAUGAAAGAUAAAUAAAGAUGGAUCAGCUAGGCUACAGAUAAAUCCAUAUUCAAGAAGAAAAGUGCUGAAACGAUCAAACCAGGCACGUGGAGCUUGUUUGAGACCAUAGAGAGCCUUCUGUAAUUUGCAGACAUAUUCUGGAUGUUGUGAGUCUGCCAUUCCCGGUGGUUGCUCCAUGUAUAUAUCUUCAGUGAUGUUACCAUGCAAGAAUGCAUUCUUUACGUCAAGUUGUCGAAUAGGCCAUCCUUGAAUUAGUGAUGUACUGAUAAUCAUUCGUAUGGUGCCCGGUUUGAAAACUGGAGAGAAGGUUUCAGUGUAGUCAAUUCCACUAAUCUGAUGAUACCCUUUUGCAACAACACGAGCCUUUAGUCUGUCUAAGGAUCCAUCGGGUUUCAGUUUUGUCUUAAACACCCAUUUAGAGCCAAUUAUAUGUAGGUCCGGGGUGCGUGGAACAAGGGUCCAUGUCUGAUUUAGCUGUAGGGCAGCAAAUUCUUCUUCCAUUGCAGUUUUCCAACCAAGAUGAGCUGUUUGAACAUUUUGUGGUUCCCUAGGUACACUUUGAGAAGCUAUGGAUGUCAAGGCAUACUUUGGAUUUGGUUUUACAACUCCACGUUGAAAUCGUGUAACCAUAGUGUGAGAGUCUUGUCCUUGAGGCUGAUGUAGAAUUGUUGAUGUAGGCUCUGCUCGUGAGGAUUUUGCAUGUUCUGUUGAUUGGGAACGAGUGAUCAUUGGGUGAUGAGUUGUAGCUGCCUUGGAUGCUAUUUUUGCAGGGUCUGUUGUGGAGACUGUCACGACUGGGGCAGAGUCUGUUAUUGCUGAAGAAUCUGCUGUUGUAGGAUCUGUUAUUAUCCCUGUUGCUGUGAGAUUUGUUGCAACAUCUGUUAUGGAUUCUAGCAUUGCUUCUGCUGUAAACUUUGUUGCUGCUUCAGAGCUUGUUUCUGCUGCUACACGAUCUGUUACAGGAUACAAUGUUACUAUUGUCCCUGUUGUAGGAUAGCUUUCCUGUUCUUGUAGAUACAUAUCUUCAGCUGACUGCUCUCCCUCAACCUGUGGUGGUGCAGGAGACCCCGCUGGUUGUAGUCUGCUGUCUUGGGGAAGCUGUAUGGCAGGUGUAUUUUGCUCUGUGUAAUUCCUGGCAGAGGGCUGCAACUUGGGGUUGUUUCCUUGUUCUCUAUAUUUCCUGAAACACUUUGAGAAAUGUGAGGUAUCCAUGUGUCAAAGAUUUUAAAUGUAUGUGAUGAUGGCUGAAUGGUGGUUGAUGGUUUGUAUGGAAACAUUGUUUCAUCAAAGACAACAUGACGUGAGACUAAUAUUUUUUUGCUGGGUGGAUGAUAGCACUUGUACCCUUUAUGUGCUGUGCUGUAACCAAUGAACACACAGAGAAUUGUUUUUGGAUCAAACUUGUGCCCUCGUGUGUCCCAUGUAUAUGAAAAGCAUUUUGAGCCAAACACACGUAAUGAAGAAUAGUCCGGGUGAGAACCAUGCAUUUUGAAAUAUGGAGUUUCUGAGUUUAGUGUAGAUGAAGACAACCUAUUUAGGAGAUGUACUGCUGUUGUAAAUGCUUCUACCCACAAAAAUAAGGGUACUCCACUAUGGAAUAACAUAGUCAUUCCUAAUUCUCGUAUAAUCCUGUGUCGUCUCUCUACGAUACCUGUUUGUUCAGGUGUAUAUGGACAUGAAAUUUGAUGGAUAAUACUGAUGUAUGGAAAUGAGAUGUAAGCUUGGAGUUGACAAAUUCUCCACCUCCAUGAGUGGAAAAUUUUAAUCUUUUUGUUGAACUGCAGGUUAACAUAUUGCUCAAAGGCAAAAUAUUCAUUCACAAAAUCAGACUUAUGUCGCAAGGGUAUAAUCCAUGUAUAUUUCGAAAAAUCAUCUACUAAACAUGCAUAAUAUCGAAAUUUAUCAAUGGAUAAAACUGGAGAAGGUCCCCAUAAGUCACAAUGAAUUUUAUCAAAAAUACCAGUGCUAGAAUUUUCCGAACAUGAGAACGGUAAUCUACUCAAUUUUCCUAAUUGACAACUAUCACAUAGAUGCUUGGAUUUCAAUGUUCCCGUUACAUCUAUCAAGCCCUUAUUUUUCAACAAUUGUAAAGCUAAGAAUUGUGGGUGUCCUAGACGCUGGUGCCACACUUCAGCAGAACCUGUUCUAAAUCUAGUUGAGAAAUAUAGUUCUGGUGAAGUCGGAAGGACAUAAAGAUCACCCUUGCGAGUCCCUGUUAUUACUGGUUGUCCUAUCUUUCGUUCCUUGACACAAAAAUCAACGUUAGAAAACUCACAGUUUACAGGAAAUUGCUUAGUCAAUUGACUUACCGAUAGUAAAUUUUUCGUUAGCGUAGGGACUAAUAAGACAUCUCGAAGAGGUAAAGCAAUUUUCUGCUGUUUAAUUUGUGUAUCCCCAAUACCAAGGAUUGGUAUUGAGGAUCCAUUUCCUAUAAUUACAGAGUCAGCUCCCUUAUAUUUACGAAGGUUGGUUAACAUACCUGAUUGUCCUGUUAUAUGGUUGGAGGCACCUGUAUCGGUUGUCCAUUCUGUUUCUGCUAAAGUGUUGUCCAUAGUUAAAGCUGCAAGUGCGUGUGGGAUUUCUUCAUUGUUGAAAGAUUUCUUCGGUAUCCACCAACAUAUCUUGGCAAUGUGGCCUUCUGUCCCACAAUAUUGACAUUUUUCAUUGCGAAAAUUGUCUCUUUCUGUUUGUGUCAUCCGGCGUUCUCCUGGAGGUGGAGGACGUCGUUGUGUGUCUGCUGUGGUGGGGAUUCUAUUGUGUUCCCUGUAUUGUUGUGCUUGGAAGCCUCUCCCAUUUGAAGUGAAUUUUGAUGUGUUACCACGAUAGAUUGAGGAUGGUUGUUGAGAGCGUUGUUGACGAUGUUGUCCAUAGAAAGCAAGUUGUUGAUGACUCUGUGUGUGUGCAAUAUCUGUUCGAGACAAAAACCAGCUGCGUCUCUGAUCAAAGUUCUGAAGAUGGGAUACUAGUUCUGGAUAGGUUGGUCUUGGGGGUUUCAGCAUAGUUGUGGUGAAGGUUUCAUAUUGUGGACCAAGGCUUGUGAGGAGACAGAACACCUUUUCUUUGUCAGGAACUGGUUUUCCUAUUGCAGCAAGACUAUCACACAAGCUUUUGAAUCUGCAAAUGUGUUCAUCCAUGUUUUUGUCUUCUUGUUUGCGGAAGUAUGUCAUCUGUGGCGAAGAGUAAACUCUCUUUCUUGAGAGUCUUUUGCAUAGGCAUUCUUGAGUGCUUCCCAGACAUCAUAUGUUGUUUCUACUCCAACAACAAUGCUAAGGGCUUCUUCUGAUAGAGUGCCAAUGAUCCAUCCUCGUAGAAGUCGAUGACUUGCGCCAGGAGAUGUAUUCAUUAGAUAGCAUUGGUGUAGAGUGUUCUGUGUUGGUGGCUAAAUCUUGUGUGGUAUAUUUGGUGGGGGAUGGUUCUUCAUCUGUAAGGUGGCCGACAAGUUCCUGGCUUUCUGCUAGUGCCAGUGCUUGUUCACGCCACAAAGGGUAAUUUGUUGGAUUUAGCUUAGAGUAAUGAAGUUACCAACAUUGAGAGAAAGUGAGGUCAUUGUGUUGUUUGGCUAGAAUGUGCUCACACAAGCUCUGAUACCAAAAGAAAAAUUGAAUUUGCAGAGAUUGUUUUGGAGAAAGAGGACAGAACAACAAUUGUGUUGUUUGUUUUAUUAACGUGAGCACUAUAAUUCCUUUCUCUUAGAUUACAACUGAAUGAGUUUUUCUUAUGUAUUUAUAUAGGUAUACAUUACAUCUCUACUUUAUCUACAUGGAUAAGGAAGACAAGUCUUAUCCUUAUCCUUGUGGAUGAUCUUUUCCAUUGUGCAUAAGAAUUCUGCUCUUGUGUGCUUCCUAUAGAUAGAAUUUGAUUGUAUAUCAAUCACUCCUGUGGCUGCUGUUUCCUUAUCAAAUUAGACUCCCAUGUUGGCUAGAGUUUGUUGCCUUUUUGAACUUCUUUCUCUCCUAACAUUUAUCCACAAAUUCUGGGGAUGUUGCUGACAGCAGAGUGUGAGUGUUCAUCCUUAUUUCUCCCAUAUUCUUGAGUCACCUUAUCACUCCAUCUACUCACACCAUAGUUACUGCCGUCAGAGUGUCUGCUGCUAACAACUGCAACUUUGAUCAAGACAGCUCUUUUAUCUGACAAUCUAUAAAACAGCUCACCAUCCGGCCGGCACACAUAAAUCGAAACGCGUAACUAUCCACACUGUUGGUAAGGCUUAAUAUAGCUGAUUUUUGGAUAAUUAACUGAUCAUCCAAAUUUUUAAUGGUUCAAGUUCUUUGAACCUCUUAGGGCCUAGGAUGUUAUGAAACUAUCUAUAUAUGUACUAUGUACGGCUAGCUAGGGUUCGUCGUAAUUGCAAUUCUGAUUCCCUAUAUAAGGAUUUGCACUAAUGAUUAAACUGUCUAAAGAAAUACAUGAGGUUAUAAACGGCUACUGAUUCUGAAAGAAUAUAUGAACUAAGGUUUAUCAAAGCAACCAAAUAUGAUUUGGAACAGCAAUGAUCAUGGACAGUUGGAUUUGAAUUCAUGAUCAUUCCUCCUUCUUGCCAUUAUACUGUUUCACUUGGAACAGUCAACAAAUUCCUUUAUGUUCGGCUUCUUUAGUGCACUUGAUUGGUAAUUUUCCACUACAAAGGGCAUAGUUCAUGGGCGUAUACAAGGAACUUGUCAUAAAAUACAUACAUCUGAUGGAGUUUACAGAAAACUAGCCAUGAUUCUUAAUCUUUGGUGCCGUUUGGCUGACCUUUCUUAGCAAUUGCCACUGGGACUUGUACCGACAUUACAUCUAUAUGCAUUUGAAUCCGUGACAAAAAGUACUCGAGUGACAUUCUACGCAUGCUACCAAACACAUUAUAUUCUGUUGAAAUCAUUCAUGUCAUGGUGGAUGAUCGAUCCUAGUAUAUUUUCCUUCUGCCCGUUCCAACUUUUUGACAAAAAUGAAAAUUUGAUUUCUAGUAUUUAUACUAAUUAUCGUGCUCCUGUUGCAGUGGAAAAGAAAGGGAGAAAAAUGUAAAAGGAAAACACACAGCAGAAACGAAAUGAAGGAUGUGAUGACAUCUGCUUAUGGCUGGGGAUUAGGCUGUACGAUAUCCCCAUGUAUGUUGAAUAAAAACUGGGGAGUGAACAUUGAUGCUUUCUGAAAUUUGUGUCUGUGGACCUUAAUUUUGUAUUGACUAGUGUAACUCUUGGUUUUAGAACUGGAACCUGUUUUCACAAUCUGGGAUUUUAGAGACACUGUCUUCUGCUAUUGGAUCCAAUUUUCUUUAAACAUGUUCAUGCAUAUGGUUUAGGGUUUGAAAGAAAUGCUGUCCGAAACCACUAAUCACUCAUUAAUUGCUUUAAACACAUGGGAAUAGACACUUAUACACUAAAAUGGUGUGCAAAUGUAGCACUAAACCUAGGGAAUAUGCAGUUGCAAUAAUCACUCAUCUUCUAGGAAGGAUAUCUGAAAAAGAACAUUCAUGGAAAGGUGGACCUGCAACACAGAGCAAUGCAUGAGUUAAAUGACUUUGCAUUUCAAAAGAGUUGUCACAUGUAUGGAAACUCCAACACUCCAUAAAUAACAUAUCCCAAAGGAUAUCUCUGACCACGUUAUUUGAAAGCAACAGAAUCGUAAUUUGAAACUUUUAAAUUGGGUCCUGUUACCAUAAACUUUUCAAUACAUAAUGGCCAUUUUGACAUAUCUUGCUAAAGCAAUUGAUAGCUUGCCCUGAACAUCUAUACGGAAAUUUCAUUUUUAACCAAUAUAAGCUUCAAGGAUUUACCUACAGAAGAGUAAUAAAAUUUGGAGAUCACUGAAAUGUAGUAAGCAUGAACUCUACGAGCCUCUUACAAACCUGCAUAUAUGAUGAUAUUUUUAUUAUUCAUUUAAUUUGGUCAUAAAUUAAUAUUUCAUCAAUCUAAAGGUAUAAACUACAUAUGCAUUUCCAGGAACAAACAAAUCUUCUUUCCAUCCAACAUCAUGAUGGAAAGAGAUUUUUUUGGAAAACGGAUAUUUUUCCUAAUUAAUUUUCUUUCUUUUUAUUUUUAUUUUUCUAUUUUUUAGUAUGAUUUUUUUCUAUAUAAAUAGAAUAUUUCUUUUCCUAGUUUAUUUUUCCUAUUUAGUGUUAUUAGGGUUUUCUAUAAAAAUUAUAUAGAGUUGUAAUUUAUCCUUUUGGCAAGUGGAUACAUUAAGAAAUAAAAUUAAGUAUUUUGAGAAUAUUUUCAUAUUUAUAUUAUUUUUGGUCUUUAAAAAUUUUAACAUUGUAAAUCCUUCAUACAAAUAUAAAAUAUCAAAUUAUCCCUAAUUAAUCUUAUAGGUAACAUUUGGUUACUAUCUUAAGAAAAAAUAGACAAAGAUCGACAAUGAUAACAGAGGAGACAAAGCAGAAAAAGGAGAUAGAGAUAUAAUAUUGUUUAAUAGUGAUCUAUGAAACAAAGUGAUUGUCUUUGUAUGAUGUUUGGUUAUGAUAGACAAGACAUAAUAAAAUAUAUAAAAAAUUAUUUUUUCAUUAAUAUGUAUUAUUGUCAAAACUUACAUAUUUGAAAAAAAGAACUUGAUAUUAUUCUUUUUACUUAGUUUAUAUUGAGUUUUGAAAUUAAUAAUUUUAUAGUAAUCAUAGUUAUAAAAUUGAGAUUGACCUAGCAGGUCGACCCGAGACCCGACUGACUCGAGGCUUGAAUCAAUCUAAGCUUAAGAAAAAACUAAAGGAAUGAUUAACCCGAUCUACCUCAAUCAAAAACCUUGAUCGACUCACAACCCGUUAGACUCUGGCUAAAACAUAGGUCCAAACCCGUUUACUUUUCUUCGAGAUUUUUUAGGUCAAAAUAAGGUUGCCUUGAUUUUUUUUUCGGUAAACCCAUAUUGACUCUCCUGAUGUAUACCUUGCCUAAUUCCACUCUCAAGUCAGGUUUAAAAUCAUGAUAAUAAUUAUUUUUAUUCAUACGUUGACUCAGAUCAUCCCAAGUUGACCCUUCCAAUCUGUGAUCUAGGUCUUGCUCCUGAUCGACCCUCAAGUCGGGUUUUAAAACUAUAAUAAUAAUAUUAACUUUUAUCCUUACUUUUACCCGGUCAACUAGGUUGACCAUCCCGACCCAUGGCCAAGUUCUUGUCCUAGGUCAACCUCUAACUCAAGUUUUUAAAUUAUGAUAAUAAUAACUUUUAUCUUUAUAUUAACAUGGGUCAAUGGUUAACACAACCAAUGACAAACGGCUUAAAAAUCAGGUUUAAAAACUAUUAUAAUAAUUGUUUUUAUUUUUUAUGUUAACUCAAGUCAACUUGAGCUAAUCCUCCCUACUAAUGCCCUGGAUGUUGUCAUGGAUCGACUUUCAAGUUGAUUUUUAAAACUAUAAUAAUAACAUAUUUUAUCAAUAGAUAUCUUAGUUGAACAAUUUUAUAAAUGAGAAUUUUUUACAAUGAUAGUUUAAGAGUAAAAAAUAAUAAAUAUUAUCUACGAAGGCAUGUUCCUUUUAUACCUUAUAUUUUAAAAAUACAAAAAAUUAUUUAAGAAUUAUCUCAUAAAUAAAUUUAUUUUUAUGUUUUUUUAUCUCUAAUUAAAUAUAUAUUUUUUUUAUGUUAUUUCUGUCUCUUUUGUGACAUGACAAUAACCAAACUCUGAGAAAAAAUAAAAAAACUAUAUUAUCCCCAGUAGCGAAUAGCGAGUUAAUUUAUUUAUUGUUUGUUAAAAUGUUAAUUACACUUUUGCGGUGUGAUUUGUGUCUAAAGAUAAAGUGAAUGAAUCCUCCAUGUCAAUCAGUUUUGUUUUUUUUCUUUUAAUGUACCUCAUCAGGAAACAUUGCGUCAUUUCUUGACAUAAGCAGGGGAAUCAAUGAACAUAUUAGAGUUGCAAAGAAAAAGAACAAUCUUAGAUAGAACGUGCUUAGAAGUAAAACUAUAAUCUCCUUUCCAAAAGCUAAAAGCUAAUCCACAAGAAAGAAGAGUAUUAACAUACAAUCACUGACAUCACGCAAUGAUACAGUGAAAUACACAUUGAGAAGCCACGAUGCCAUCUUGAGUAUUUGCUUUAACCUAUCAGACUGAGGGGUGCUAAUUGCAGCCUGUAAAGCGGCAACCAACGCAGGAGAAGUCCAGUGCUGAUCCUAAAAUUCAGCAUUUAUUAUAACAAAGCUUGUAUGGGAAAAUCACUAUUUUACUAUGAAUGGUAAUAAUAAUUUUAUUUUUAAUUUUUAUCUUUUCAUAAGUGGAUAAAUAUUUUUUUUUGCUUUUUUAUUUCUAUUUUAAUGAAUAGGCGGCACCUGCACCAUUAAAGAGGCACAUAUUGUCAAAGAACCAUCUCAACCCAAUAGCUUAAGCUGUUAAGUGAGGUCCCAGGAUAUGAUUUAUAUUAUUCUCUAACACACCCCUUCAAGUGAAAGCCCUUUGGACUUGAAACUUGCACAGGCCCACAUUACAAUGUGUUUAAUUUUCAUAAAAUAAAUGGGGAUGGUGAGAUUCGAACUCGUGACCGCUUGAUCAUCAAGGCUCUGAUAUCAUGUAAAGGAAUCAUCUCAACUCAAUAGCUUAAGCUGUUAAGUGAGGUCCUAGGAUAUGAUUUAUAUUAUUCUCUAACACGUAUGAUGCUUCCUAGUGGCCAAAUCCGGCUAUCUACCAUUUAACUGGAUGCGCAGCCAUGCCCUCUUCCAUAUGUUGUGGCGCGUGUAGACAGAUAAUGGUUGGAUUGCCGUCGAUGAUUGAGUGUUUGUGUGUUUUUUCUCUCUCUUCUGACAACUAAAAUGUACAAUUAUUCUCUUUAUUUGUUGUUUAUCAAAUCAUGCAAGGUUAUCAGGCCUAAACACCUUGGGUCUGGCAACCCUAUGCAAGUAUAGUGUGGACUAUGACACAAUUCAUUGUAGACUUGUACAGUGGAUUUUCCAAGCUUUGAAGGCUUGGGAUGGGGCUAAUAUUGUCUUUUUACAUAAAUUUAAAUUAUUAUUUUGUCAUUUGGUUGAAAAAAUGAAAUCCCUGGUUGAGGGGGUACUCAGGGGUUUUUUUGACCUUUCACAAACUGUUAUAUAGUUAAAAUAUAUCUUUAGCCUUAGAACGAACAAAAAAUAAGCUUUGCAUAUACAGGUAUUUUUGUUGAUAUUAUUUUAUUAUUUGUAAAGUCAAAAAUUCAUCUACGCCAAACCCAUGUUUACUUAGGUCUGGCAAACAUGCUAGACCCAACUUACGUGGGUGCUAGAUCUAAGUGCCUUGGGUCUAACAAUCCUGUGCAAGUGUACUAUGAACCAAGACACAGUCCACUUUAGACUUGCAUGGUGAAUUUUCCAAGCUCUGAAGACAUGGGAUGAGGCUAAUGUUGUCUUUUCACAAAAAGUUUAAUUAUCAUUUUGCCCUUUGGUUGAAAAAAUUAAGGCCUUGUUGUGAGGGUAUUUCAAUAUUUUCAUUCUUUCACACUAUUUUUUGUGUAAUUUUUUGUAAUCAUGACGGAUAUUUUGGUAUUUUUGGUAUUGUUUUAUUAUCCAAACCUAAGUAGCAUGGGUCUUGCUUGCUUGUGAAACUCAAGAUACUUGGACCUGACAUUCACAAACUGUUAAAUAGUUAAAAUACAUCUUUAGCAUUGAAAAAGACAAAAAAAUAAGCUUUGCAUAUCCGGGUAUUUUUAUUCUUUCACACUUUUUUGUGUAAUUUUCUAUAAGUAUACGAGGCAUUUUGAUAUUGUUUUAUUAUUUUUAAAAUAAAAAAGUUAUGUCAGACCCACAUUUAUUUGGGUUUAACAAACAUGUCAGCCCCAACUUACUUGGGUACUAGACCCAAGUUGAUGGGUUUGUGCUUGGGUCUGACAAAGAGUUGAGUAGAGGUUUAAAAAUUAACUCACUUUGUUAAGUUUAAAAACACUAACGUGCCAUGCUAGAAAAUAAAAAGUAAUGGCUUACACAAGGAUGUCUCAAACCCUUGAACCUUUACUUGUAUCAAGCCUCACAUUUCAGGAUGAAUUAUCCACCCAGUGACUGUUCUCAAGUUGCACUUUGUUGCAAAGGUUAUUUUAUACUGUUGUAGAUGGAAGAACGUUAAGAAGAUCCACAUUUCUUUCCCUGCUCUAAGGAAAUUUUCUAAUUAUUAUAAUCCAUUUUUCCCUAAAUUUAGUAGAUUGUGAGGUCAAGGUCAUUUAAGUGGAUCUCAUAUCCAUGGAGUGUAUAGUUUUAGGGCAGUCGAUCACUAAUGGACCUCUUACAAAAAUCACAAAAUCUAGAAUGUCUCAAGUCUUGGCAUUUUGAGGCAGGAAUCUAAAGCACGAAUUUAACAUAUUUUCUACUUCUUAUUGCAGUUUUAGAUUGUGAGGAAAAUAAGUUUAUAUCUUUGUCUGACCUACGUUACAUUAGACUUGGUUGAUUGUCAAGUUCAAGUUUUUUGGGUCUAACAUGCUUGAUUGACCCAUAUUGCAUUGGGCUUAGUUGUCUGUCAAAUCCAAGUUCUUUGAGUGUGGCAUGCUUGGUAGACCUACGUUACCUUGGGCUUAGCUAAUUGAUAAGCCCAAGUACUUUGAGUCUGGUAUAUUUAUCAGAUCUACGUUACCCUAAACUUAUCAGGCUGCCAAGUCCAAGUUCUUUGGAUCUGGUAUGGUUUCCGGACCCAUGUUACCUUAAACUUGGCUAACAACUUGGCUGACUACUAACACUACCACAUUUAACAGUUUUACCGACAAAUUUCUUCUGGUAUUUACACCAACAGUCCAUUGAUACUCGUACCGAUGGACUCACGGAUGGAAACAAUCCAUCAUAAAAAAUCUUGUCGGUUGUUGCACAUGUGCGACGUCGCGGCAAUCAUCCACCUUUAAAGAAAAAUUGUAAGGGUCUAUCUAGGCAAAAUAUAGUAAGAUAAGGAAUUCUUGUCUUUUCCAUGGGAAAAAAAAUGGGAGUCGCCACCUAGUAUUUUGGUCACUAGAAACCCUAACUAGUCUUAGAGAUGAGAUAUAGAGACUGGUUAUGUAAAGGGAAGGUAUGAGCACCCCAAAUAUACCCUACAUAAGGUAAGUUGCAUUGUUUUGUUGUCUGAUAAAAAACUAUGGUCUUAUCAUAUUUUCUAAUUAUUGGUCUGUCUAAGGUUCAAGAAAAGCCCUCCUUAAUAAGGAGGUUCUUAUCUUAAUAUGGUAAAACAUAACCAUUCUAGCGUCUGAAAAAAAAAUUAAUAUCUAGAAUACAUAUUACUUGUAAUGUCAUACCCUAGAUAAUAAAAGACAAACAAAAUAAAAUUUUUGUUGUUUUUGAAAUUUUGACCAAUGUUUUCUUGACUUUAAUAAAUUGGUUAUUAAAGCCAAAAUGCAUACUAAAAUAUUGUUUUUUUUGUAUGAAAAACACAAUAUAAUUUUUUAGCCUUCAGACACUUGGCCGUAUGCACAAAUUUUAUUUUAUUUUUUCAAUUUUUUUUUGUAUUUUUCAAAAGUUGACGAAAACCGGGUAUCACGGGAAGAAGAAGACCCACAGUGCCGUUCAAAACGGCACCAUUUGGGUCUUUUUUUUACGUGAACAGUGCAUGAAAUGGUAUCGUUUUGGACAAAACGCGUCGUUUCAUUUAAAGAAAAAGGAGGCAAAAAGGUGUCAGAGUUUCCAUUGGUCCUCAAUUUGUGAUUUGUUCAAUUGAGUCCUCAAUUGCAAUUUUGAUUGUAAAAAUCAAUUCAAUUGCAUCCCUGUCAAAUUCAAUGGUCGGCCCUGAAGUUGGCCGUUUUUUUCACAUUGGUCCAUGAUCUUGAAUUUAUGCAAUUUGACUAUCAAUUGAUCAAUAAACUUCUAAUUUUUUUAAUUUGGCCUUGAUUUGGUUUAAUUCAGCUCUUCUAUUUACACGCACGUGCGUCACCCUAUAUGGAAAAAAGACAGGACUGUGUUUCUAGGGAGAUGGAGAAUAGCUAGAAUUGGCUAUCAGGUGGUGUCACGUAUAAUUAUAAAGUUAUUUGGUGAUAAGUGGUCUUAAAAUGUUUUUUGCAAUGAGAAAUACUCAAAAACUUCAUUUUGAUUAUUGGUUUCCAACAAAUUUUCAAAAAGCUUCUCCAAUUUUACCAAGCAAUUUUUUUUAUUGAUUUUCAGUAACAAAACAUCAAUUUUAUUAUAACGUUGUGCAUGUUUAGUAUCUAAAAACAUUGUCCGUAAUAAACUUCUCCAGUAAUUAACUGCCAUUUAUGAGUUUGCACUUUUGCAAUGAAAAAAAAAGUUGAAUGUUUCGAAACUAGCAAGUCGUAGAGCCAAUAAUUUGAGCAAAAAGGAGAAUGCAAAUCUAAACAUUAAAACAAUAAGCACCCACAUGAUUAAACUUUAUGCCCUUGUUUUUAAAGGUUGAAGUUUCAAGACAUGCUUACUAGGUCCAAAAACAUUUGAUUUAUUUUUAUUUUUAUUUGUAAUUUUGUUUUCGUAAUUGAUAUUUUUUAUAUAUUUUUAAUGAAUUUUUGAAUUUAUAUUUAAAUUAAUACUUUUCUCUCUAAAUAUUUAGAUUGUUUAUUUAGUUUUUUUUUUAAAUAGUGGUUAUCUUUUACUUAUCUUUUAUGUAUUUAAUAUCUAGAAACAAUUAUUCCAAUUCAUCUAUAUGUUUUUUAAUAUAUUUUAUAUGAAUAAAGUUUGUUUUCAUGACUUGUUUAUAAAAAUAAGAAUUAUUUGUUCUUGGUAAGAAAAAGUGACCUUUAAGAUUUAAAAAAAAAAGGAAGAAAAAGGAGAAAAGUGUGCAUGGAGAGGAAAGUUAAGGUUAAGCAUCAUAUUUAUGUAUCAUUUUAUUUUAUAAUUUGAUGGCAUUAACAACUCUUUAUUAGUUUAUUAGUUCAUAUUUUUGUAAGAUUUGUUUUUUACAUUUCUCAAUUAAGAGAAUCGUAAUACAAUGAAAUGCACUUGAAACAUUGUCCUAUUUUUCUACUACAUUAAAAAUUAACUUAAGAUCAUGUAUGUGGCACGAUGUGUUAACAACUAUUUUUUGUAUUUAUGAACACAUGUGGUCCUUACUUUAUUUUUAUUAUAUGUAAACAUCAACUAUUUUAUUUACAAUUAUAAUUUUCUCUUGAUUUUUUAAAAAACGUUAACAACAUUUAUAUAUUUUUUCUUUUGUUCAAAAAAUUAUCUGACUCGUAGCAAAGUGAAUUAAAUAAAUGCGUCAACACUUUUUUAAUAUAUUUAUGAUUAGGAUUUUUUUUGUUAAAAAUGCAAUUGAAAAGCAUACAAAUUUAUUUUUUUGCUAAAAACAAUUUUCUGAACCAUAGCGAAAUGCGAGUUAAAUAACUACUAAUAUGGCUAUAGUAAGUGUCUUUUAGUACAUGUGUAUGUAGGAAGCAAUGUGUUAUAUUAUUAGUUAGAUAUAACUUACCUAUUCAUUAUUUAAAAAAAACUAAUAAAUAAAUAUAUUACCAGAAACCUAAAAGAGAUCGACUGAAACAAUAUAGUUUUCGAGUAAAAAUAUUGUGGAUUCACACAAUGUUUACUCUUUUUUGUCCUUUUUAUCUAGUGAUUAAUUCAUUUUCUUUCAAUUCCACCCAUUGAUGUUGAAUUGAUUAAGAUUUUAGGUUCAUAAUUUAUUUUUAUUUGUCUUUUAUAUGGUUAUCUUGCUCUUAAUAAAACAACAUGAUAUUGGGACGAUGCUCAAUUUCACAAAAAAAAAAAAAAUCAAUUUUGUUGUUUGCAAGAAAUUGAAAAUAAAGAGAUCAUAGUUGAAACAAAUGAAAAAGCAAAGCCCUUUUUUUUAUAAAACAAUAUAGUGUCAACUUUGGUCCCCUUUUUUUUUUUUGCUUUUGAUCAUCUAUUUUUUUUAAUUUGAUCCUUCAAUGUUGUGUUAAUUGGGAUUUGAAGUUGAUAAUUUAUUUCAAACUACUUUUUAUGUGAGUAUUUAGAACUAAAAAAAAAAAGCCAAACCAUUAACUUUUUGGUACAAAGCUUUAUUUUACUUGUAUUUUAGUUCAUGAGUUUGAGAAAAAAAAAAAAGAGAUUCAUCGAAAAACUAAGAAGAAGAGAGAAAGUUAGCGAAAUACUACUUUUGGGCGAUGAAAUGUGUUGUUCUUAGUAUGAACGAAUAUUUAUUGAGGUCCUUGUACAUAUACAUAUAGCUCACUUUGAUAUCAAAUUGAUUUUUUGGUGUUUUUGGAUUAUUUUGAUAUGCUAAAGGCAAAAAUAAAUUUUUUUUUAAAAAAAAAAAAAAAUUAUUUUAAUGCAUUUCAAAGCAAAACACAUUGUGAAAAGUAACUUCUACCACUAUUUUAAACACCCUUUUAGCACAAAGGAAUGCAAAACGUGUAAACAAAAAAGGUUUGGUGAGCAUAUUGGGAUUGGAUCAUCAAAAGGCUAUCAAAUUAAUGAUGAACAAACACCAACUCCUUGUUGCCCAAAUACAUAUGCUCAUUUAAACACAAUUUUGCAUUACCUAGCUGGCAAGCCUGACAUAGAAUUUUGUUUUAAAGGAACUUCAAGAUUUCUAUAUAGGAUGCUUGACCUCAUUAAAGAUAAACUGAGGACAUCCACAACAUAAACUAUCUUCCUUGCCCCAAAGGCAGCACAGACAAACCCUAUUCACUAUAAAGGUUCUGAAUGUUUUUCCUAAAUUUCAUGAUAUGGCAUUCAACACAUCAAACUCCCAAUUUAGCAUUCUUAUGCAAACUACAACUGCAGAAGGCUUGUACAUGUAGGGGAGAGGUAGGAAGAGCUGCAAAAGUUGUCGCAUCUAUUGUUAUGCUAUUCAGAGUUUCUAUCUCAUCAUCCAAUCUGCCAAAAAUAUAAAAGAUCAUGUGCAGGAAUUUGAUCUCAAAGGGGCAGCACCUCAUAUGCCUAUGGGAGAUACAUGACUAGUGAUGGUUGUUCUACCCACAAAAUUAGCUCUCCUAGCCACACUUUAAAGCCCUAGCCGCUAUAUGAACAAAGCACCUAAAAAAUUAAUCACCUACCAAAUCCAAUUCAGGAAAAUUUGGUCGAAAUAAUGAAACGAGUUAAUUGAAUGCGACAAUUCGAUAAAAAACUGGUGUCAUAACCCAAUUUUUGAUCAUUUUUACUUUUAUUAUUAUUUUAUUUACUGAAAAGGAUAAAAAAAAUCAAUGAAAAAAAAUAAUGAUGAAAAAACAAGUAAAAUGAAAUAAAUGAAGAAUGAAUUAAAAUUUAGGUUAAGGGCAAUAUGAUUGGAAGUUUUGGGGUUUAAUUAAACUUUGGAAUUAAUAUAAUUAAGCUUGGAAUUAAUUUAAUUAAUCCAAUUAAGGGUUUAACUGGAGAAUUGAUAAAUUUUUAGACUUAAUUAAGCUUGAAAUUAAUUUAAUUCAUCCAAUCAAGGAUUUAAUUGAAGAAUUGAUAAGUUUUGAGACUUAAUAAAGCUUGGAAUUAAUUUAAUUAAUCGAAUCGGGGGCUUAAUUAGAGAAUUGAUAAGUUUUAGACUUAAUUGGACUCAGGAUUUAAUUAAAUUAAUGAAAUCAGGGACUUAAUUGAAUAAAUAUCAAAGUUUGGAGUAUAAUUGGGGUCCAAAUUGAAAAGAUUAAAAUACAAGGAUUAGUUUGUAAAAAGCGCCGAAAUACAGGGGUCCAAUUACAAUUUACACAGGGGCUUGAUUGCACGAUUUCAGAACUUCAGGGACCAGAUUGAAAAUGGUCAUUCCCAUCAUAGACACGGCGCCGUUUUUAGAAGCCGUUCAUCGCCUUCUUCGCCUUCUUCCUCAGGAGCCGUUUCUGGCAGUAAUGGCUUUGAAGCCGUUUCAAAAUGCUUGGCAUUCUCUGGCUAUAAAGCCAGAGAAGAUGAGAGAGCGCAAGAAAAAAGAAAGGAGCCGCGGACUAAGAGAAAAAAACUGGGGGGCAGAGGGAAGAAGAGGCCACGAACGAGAGGAAAAGAAAAAAACUGUGGAAAAACUGGGCAAAAACUGAGAGGAGGGGAGAGCAGACACAACAGAGAGGAAAAGGGACAGAACCGAGGAGUGAAUAAAAAGAAAAGAGCUGACUUUCGUUCCCCUGUUUCUUCUCAAAGAAACAGAGGAGGCCACGAGCAACGGAGGAGAAAGACAGGGAAACCACAGAACCGGAGAAGAAAGAAACCAAAGAAGAAACUGGGGAAACUGAGAGCAGGGGAGACUGAGAACAGAAAAAAGGAGAGGGUAACAGAAAAACUGGAGCAGGGAUGACAGAACCGAGGGGCUGAAGGGAGAAGAAAGAAGACGAACAGAGACGAAAAUGAGAAAACACAGAGGAGGAAGCAGCAGCAGUCGGGCCAGCCUCCGUCACCAUCUACAUCGUCUUCGCCUUCACCCCGCAGCUGCACCAGCCCCAGCAGCUCUUCCUCACCCUGACAUCCAGCAGUCCACCAUUGAAGCAGUCGUCUCCCUCAGCCUUGCCAGGUAAGUUCUUCAGCUUUCCUUCUUUUGGUAAAUUAAUUACCCUGCUACUGUUGCAUGCAUGCGUGAGUGAUUCACGCAUGCAUGCAACAAUGGCCACCGGGUCACUGGUCCAAACCAGUGACCCAACCUUUUUUUUUUUUUGAGACCAUGCUACAUAAAUAACAAAUAAAAAAAUGUGUGUGCAUAAAUAAAAAUAAUAUAAAUUUAUUGGUUUAUUCACUAACGCCAGAGUUAGGAAUAAAAAUUUACCGGUUUAAAUUUAUUAUUUUUGUUCAUUGUAUUUUAUUUUAUUUAGCUAGAAAAAAUAAAAAAAUAUGUACAUGCGUAAAAAUAAAUUUAUUUUUAUUUAUUUAUUCACUAGCACUAGAAUAGGGAAUAAAAAUAUUGAUCUAAUUUUUUUCGUAGCUACGAAUUUUUACCAAUACCAGAGUUGGAAUUAUUCACUAGCACUAGAAUAGGGAAUAAAACAUGAAGAUACAAUUUUUUUUUUUAUAUGAAAAUACAUGUGAAAAACUUUUUAAGAUUUGGUCGUACGUAAAACAAAACAUUUUUUUAAGUGAAAUUUUAUUUUUUUGAAUUUUCAUUUUUUUUUAUUUUUUUUUAAUCUUUUUAAGAUUUCAGAGAAAACUGGCUAUUUUGAUCAAGCUUAAUUUAGUUCUUUGCUUUUUUAUUUCUCUCAAUUACACCCUUGAUUGAUUUCAAACUUAAUGUUUUACCAAUUAAGUCCUUAAUAAAAUUAAUUUGACUUAUUUAAAGUAUAAUUAAGUCCUUGCACCUAAUUAAAUCCAUUAAUUGGACCCAAACUAAUUCUUAAAUAUAAUGAAAUUUUAAUUUGGCCCAUGAUUAAAUCAAAUUGGCCUAAUAAAAAUCUAAUUAUGUGUUUAGACUUGAUUUUUAAGUAGAUUCGUCCAAUAACCAUUUAAUUUGUUCUUUAAUCUGCAUUAUUUCUUUAGUUUUCGGUGUAAUGGGAUACAUUUAGGCUCCUAAUCCCAUCCAAAGUUGUAACUUGAUUUGAAAUCCUCCGAGCUUGCUUUUGCCAAAAUAUCAGUCCUUAUUUUAUUUAUUAUAUUUUUUUAUUUUGAAAAGAAAAGAGAUGAAUUUGAAGAAUAACCCAGAAAUAAGUUAUGACAAUGAGAACUCUACAUUCUGUGAUUUUAUUUUUGAAGAUAUUCUUAUACAUUUAUAAUUAUAAGAAACUUUAAAAGGUGUGGGUAAAAUAUUAUUCUCAUCACACCACUGUUCACUCAGCGUUGUGGACCAAAGUGAAAGACAAAAGCAUAAAAAAGGGUGGUAGUUUUAAGAUUGAAGCCAAAAGUUCACUUUGAUCCUCCUACUUUUAACUAAUGACUUUUUGGUCCUUUAAGUUUUCCCACAUUUUAUUUUUGGUCAACUUCUUUUCUCGAUUUUUUUCACUCCUUGGUUUGAGAGAGGAGACAAAAAGUCAUUGGAUUAUAAUGUUAGAAAGAGUCUCGAUUGACAAUGAUUUUCACAAUAAAAACGGUCGAUUUUGGUCUUAAUAGGUUCCAUUUGAUGAAGAGAGUUCUAUUGAGGUGUUUUUUGCUCUUGAAAUUUCCAAAACUUUUAUGAUUUUUUAGGCUAAUUUAUUGGUUUAUUUACAUCAUAAGGACCUUUUUAGAUGUUUUGGUGUGAACUUUGUUUAAAUUUGCAUUUUUAGGCCAAAAAACACCCUACAUGAUUUUCUAGCUGCCCCUCUAAUAGUCGAGAACUUGAAAGUGUAAUUAGAUGACAUGUUGUUUCCCUUUAUCUUUUUUCAAAAACAUUUGGGGCAUUUUCAAAUAAAAAAAAUAAAGUUCACGUAAGCUAGUCCUUUUUAAAAUGGGCUUGAUGUGCAGGCUUGACUUGAUAGAACUAAAAACGCCUAACCUAUUUCUUUAUUUUUUCUAAUUGGUAUUUUUAUAUGUACUUUUUAAUUUAUAUUUGAAUUAAUUCUUUUUCUUUCUAAAUUUUUAGAUAGUUUAUUUAGUCUUUUUUAAAUAGUUGUUAUCUUUUACUUAUCUUUUAUGUGUUUAAUAUCUUGAAGAAAUUAUUCCAAUUCAUCUAUAAUAUUUUUUAUGUUUUAUAUAAAUAAACUUUAUUUUUGUGAUGUGUUUAUAAAAAUAAGAAUUAUUUGUUCUUGGUGAGAAAAUAUGAUCUAUAAGAUUAAAAGAAGAAGAAGAAGGAAGGUGUGUAUUAAGGGAAAAGUUGAGGUUAAAUAUUAUAUUUAUCUACCUUUUUCUUUUAUGAAAAUGAUUAUCAUUUUAUUUUAUAAUUUGAUUGGCAUUAACAACUCUUUAUUAUUUUAUUAGUUCAUAUUUUUUAAGAUUUAUUUUGUUUCACGUUUCUCAAUUAAGAGAAUCAUGAUACAAUGAAAUGCAUUUGAAACACUAUCCCAUUUUUCAUAUUUUUUCUCUUGAUAUCAAAAAAUACAUUAACAACACUUAUACAUCCAUUCUUUUGUAUUGGAAAAUAUUAUCUAACCCAUAGCGAAGCAAGUUAAAUAAACACGUCAAUACCUUUUUUCUGUAUUUAUGAUUAGGGGUUUUUUUUUGUUAAAAAUACAUUUGAAAAGCAUUCAUAUUUAUUUAUUUUGCUAAAAAACAUUUCUGAUCCAUAGUAAAGCGUGAGUCAAAUAACUACUAAUAUGGCUAUAAUGAGUGUCUUUUUAGUAUAUGUGGAUGUAAAAAGCAAUGUGUUAUAUUAUUAGUUAGAUAUAACUUAUCUAUUCAUUAUUAAAAAAAACAUAAAAUAAAUAAAUAUAUUAAUAGAAACCUAAAAGAGAUCGACUGAAACAAUAUAGUAGAGAAAAUAUUGUGAAUUCACACAAUGUUUACUUUCUAUUUUUUUGACUUUUUUUAUUCAGUGAUCUUUGAUGAUGAAUUGAUUAAGAUUUGAGAUGGUUAAUGUAUUUUUAUUUGUCUUUUUUAUGCUUACUCUCAAUAAAACAUCUUGAUAUUAGAACGAUGCUCAAUUUCACAAAAAAAAAAAAAAAUUUGUUGUUUGUAAGAAAUUGAAAAUGAGAAGAUCAAAAUUAAAACAAAUAAAAAACCAAUUUUUUUUUUUUUGUGUUUUUUGCUUUUGAUCACUUACUUUUUUGAAAGAAAAAAAAUUGAUCUUUCAAUGCUAUGCUAAUUGGAAUUUGAAGUUGGUAAUUUUAAAUGAACAUCUAGAACUAAUUAAAAAGCCGCAACAUUGGUUUGGUGCUCGACUUUACUAAAAAGAAAUCAAUUAUAUUGUUUGAGAAGAAAUAAAAAUAAAAAGACCAAAAUUGAAACAUGAAAAAUAAUAAAAAUAGAAGGCCUUAAAAAAACAAAUUGUGUCAUCGUCUCCAUGCCUUGUAAUUUUGAUAAAUUUUCUUUUUGGCCCUGUUAGUUUAGAAAUAAUGCAUUAUGCAUUAGAAACAGAACAUCAAACAAAGAGUUCAGCAUCAAGGAGAAGCAUGAAAGUCCACACAUUAAACCAAAAGAAACACAAAUGGGAAAGCAGACAUACGCCCUUACUUCUGGAUGCUUGUACAAUAACGGGCUAGCAACAUUGUUUUUUUGAGGUUCGCACAGUGCUGUCAACAAUUCUUCUAACUUCUCCAGCAAUGUGAAGCCAAUUUGAUGUUCCAUCAAUGGAACAGUUGGAAUUAUUUGAAAAAUGAAUGCCCAAAUAUAUUCACAUGCUCAUACAAUAACAUUUUUAAUAAUGCAUUAUGCAUUAGAAACAGAACAUCAAACUAACAGAGAAAACAUGCUGAUGCAGAAAAUACUCAAGUCGUAGAAAGGAGAAUGCAUGAAAGUUCACGCAUUAAACAUUAUGCCUUUCUUUUGAAGGUUCCCACACUUGAAAACAAACACAAUGGGCAAGCAAACAUACGCCCUUACUUCUGGAGGCUUGUACGAUAAUGGGCAAGCAACAUAUUUUUUUUUGAGGUUUGCACAAUAAUGACUAAACACGCAACAUUACAUUGUGAAGCCAAUUUGUAUCCCAUUGCCAAUGAAACAGUUGGAAUUACUUCCCACCAAUCUAAAACAUAUUCGCAGCACCAACCUUGAAAUCUUGUAACAGCUUACUUCUGGAGGCAAUGAACAUUGUUUUUUUGAGGUUCGCACAGUAAUGACCACACACAACAUUACAUUACAUUACCAACAUUGUUUUUUUGAGGUUCGCGUAGUAAACAAACACAGAUACCCUUAUUUCACAGCACCAACCUUGAAAUCAUGUAACAUCUAACCAACCUUGCCUGAUGCAAACAUGAAGAAUAAAGACAAUCCAUGAUUUAAUUCAACCAUUAAAAUUUGAGGGUAAAGGAGAGGAUAAAUAAUUGCAGCUAUAUCACCUGGUUUAGGCGAGAAUGAAUUAUUAGACAGCAAUCAUCAUCAUCACCAUCUCCCAACAUCAUCAUCUUCUUCUUCUUCCUCCUCCUCCUCCUCUUCUGACCCAACAUCAUCAUCAUCUUCUUCUUCCUCCUCCUCUUCUGACCCAACAUCAUCAUCAUCUUCUUCUUCUUCCUCCUCCUCCUCCUCUUCUGACCCAACAUCAUCAUCAUCAUCAUCUUCUUCUUCUUCCCACUCAUUAUCUCGGGUCCACUCUCUAUUAAUGCUUGAAUCUUCAGCUACUUCAGAUACCUGUAAACCAAUUCAAGCAUGGCAUGCUCAUUUUAACUUGUAAAUCAUAUUAUUGAGCGAAACAAGAGACAAACACACUAAAAGAGAGGCUAGAAAUCAAGUCAAAUCAGCAGCACCUCUGAUUGAGCACUCAUUGAACCAUCACGUGUAAUAGCAAAUUUUGUGGUCAGCUUUGGACAUUGAUGGACCUUCAACUUUUCCAAACGAGGGAAUAAGAAAUAAUCACACCAUCCGAAACUAAAACAGACAAUACUUGAUAAUUGUUCUAGCCACAACACCUUUAGAUUAGGAAGCACUAUCUCCUUCCCAACAUUGAUAGGUGAAGCUUGAUCAUCCUGCCCAGGAGACUCUGGAAUUAUUUCCCUUUCACCAUCCUCUUCUUUGAUAACAUGCUUCAAUUGACCGCAUUUACUUAUGUAAAGUCUUUCUAGCUUUGGCAGACUUCGAGCGAGGGACGGUGUGAAGAUAAAUGUCAGUUUGUUGAGAGAACUCAAAUUCAGAAGAUAAAGACUUUGGAGGCUGACAUGUCUGGUGGGCCCCUUCCAUAUGCAUUUGAGCUCAGGUAAAUGAUACAGCCGUAACUCUGUUAAAGAUGACAGCUGCUCCUUCUCCUCACUGGGUCCUUCAUCAGGCAGCUCGCCUAAAUCAAAUACCUCUUCCAAUGAUUUACAGCUGUCAAUAGUCACCCACUUUAGAUUUUCCAGAGCUCGAAGCAAUUUUGCUGGAAACAGAGUGCAAACACCCCCACAAACGUCCACUCGUACAAUUUCUAAUCUUUGUAAGAAGCCGUUUUGCUGUCCAUGGACGGCCAUCUUAUCAGAGGACAAUUUUAUAUUUUUUCACUCAUAAAAAAAAAUUAUAUGAUGUAUAAAUAGGAGAAAAAAAUUAUAAAAAACAGGAUUAAAUACUUCUUAGAGAUUACAUAUUAUUGUUUCAGUUUUUCUCUUAAUUAGAAUAAUAAUUAGAUUUUUGCGAAAAAAAGGUUAACACAACUCCUAAUAAUUAGUUUCUUGUAAAAAAUAAAAAUAAAAAUAGUAACUAAUAAUUUUAUUUUAGUUAUAAAGUUAAUGAAUUUUUAAAGAUAUUUUAAUUGAAUUAAUUAUUUGAACACAAAAUAAGCUAAUAUGAUUUCUAUGAUUAAUUGUUGGUAUUAAGUUUCUUAUAUUUAUAUAUGUUUAGAUAAAACAAAAAAAUAAGCUGUGACGAAGAAAGAAUAAAUCUAACAGAUAAUAUCAAUUACGUAAACCAUGAGGCAGUUAAAUCUAACAGAAAUAAAAAUCAUAAAAAAUAAAAAUAAGCAUUUUUCAAUUACUUUACUUUUAGAAAUUGGGAGGAAGAAAGAAUAAAUUAUCAAUUACUUCAGUUUCAGAAAUUUGGAGGAAGAAAUCAACAUUAUUUGGGAGAUAUAAAGGACGUACUUGGAGCUGUGCAAACAAAUUUCCAAUUUCUUUGUGGCCAUUGAUUUUUAGAAUUUGCAAAGAAGGCAAUUGGGCAGCAAGAUUCUUUGGACCAAAAAAGCUGUAAUUUGAUCUGGAAGAAAGAUUCAAUUCCCUUAGCCGAGGGAACUUGAUGAUGGCAUCUGUGGUGAGUGCAUCUCCUUCUCCACUGUAAAAUAUUUGCUUUAAAUUGUCAGCAUCAGAAAUCUGCAUCUCUUCUAGGUUCAGAAGGCUUGGAGACACAGAUACAGGGAAGACAUAUUCCAGUUUACCACUCUCUUUUAUGGUGAUAGUUUUUAAUUUUGGGAAGCGAGGAGACUCUUGAAUUAUUUCCCUUUCACCAUCCUCUUCUCUGAUAAUAUGCUUCAAUUCACCGCAUUUACUGAUGUAAAGGCUUUCUAGCUUUGGCAGACUUUGAAGAGUUAGAGACACGGAGACAGGGAAGACAUAUUCCAGUUUACCACAGUCUUCAAUGAUGAAAGUUUUUAAUUUUGGGAAGCGAGGAGACUCUGGAAUUAUUUCCCUUUCACCAUCCUCUUCUCUGAUAAUAUGCUUCAAUUCACCGCAAUCUCUUAUCUCAAGUAUUUCUAGCUUUGGCAGACUCUGAGCGAGGGACGUUGUGAAGAUAAAUGUCAGUUUGUCGAGAGAAUACAACUCCAGAUUAAUAAGACUUUGGAGGCUGACAUGUCUGGUGGGCCCCUUCCAUAUGCAUUUGAGCUCAGGUAACCCUUGCAGCAGUAACUCUGUUAAAGAUGACAGCAGCUCCUUCUCCUCACUGCGUCCUUCAUCAGGCAGCUCAUCUAAUUCAAAUACCUCUUCCAAUGAUAUACAGCUGUCAACAGUCACCCCCUUUAGAUUUUUCAGAGCUCGAAGCAAUUUUGCUGGAAACGGAGUGCGAACAUCCCCACAAUCGUCCACUCGUAUAAUUUCUAAUCUUUGUAAGAAGCCGUUUUGCUGUCCAUGGACGGCCAUCUUAUCAGAGAACAAUUUUAUAUUUUUUCACUCUCAUAAAAAAAAAUAACAGAUAAUAUAUUUCAAAUGAGGCAGUUAUAUCUAAUAGAUAAUAUGUUCUUCCACAUGAUUAAUUUUUAAUAACGCAAACAACAAUGAGGCAGUUAAGUUUCUUAUAUUUGUAUAUGUUUAGAUAAAACAAAAUCAUAAAAAAUAAAAAUAAACAUUUUUCAAUUACUUUACUUUUAGAAAUUGGGAGGAAGAGAGAACAAAUUAUCGCAAUUCACAAUUUAAAUUAGUGGAGAAAUAUAAAGCACGUACUUGUAGCUGUGCCAACCAAUUACCCACUUCUUCGUGGCCUUUAAUGGUUAGUUGUUGCAAAGGCAAUUGAGCAUCAAAAUUCCUUGGACCUAAAAAGCUGUAAUUUGAUUUGAGCUCAAGAGACAAUUCUCUUAGUUGAGGGAACUUGAUGAUGCCAUCUCUGGGGAGUGCAUCUCCUUCUCCACCGUAAAAUAUUUGCUUUAAAUUGUCAGCACGAGCAAUCGUCAUCUGUUCCGGGUUUGUAAGACUUGGAGACAUGGAGACAGGGAAGACAUAUUCCAGUGAAAAACAGAGAGAUAUACGAAGAGUUUUUAAUUCUGGGAAGUAAGGAGACUCUAGAAUUAUUUCCCUUUCACCAUCCUCUUCUCUGAUAAUAUGCUUCAAUUCACCGCAAUCACUUAUCUCAAGUCUUUCUAGCUUUCGCAGAUUUCGAGCGAGGGACGGUGUGAAGAUAAAUGUCAGUUUGUUGAGAAACGAAACUUCAAGAUGAACAAGAUUUUCGAGGCUGACAUUUCUGGUGGGCCCCUUCCAUAUGCAUUUGAGCUCACGUAACCCUAACAGCUGUAACGUUGUUAAAGAUGACAGCAGCGGCAUCUCCUUCUCCUCACUGCUUCCUUCAUCAGCCUCACCCAAUUCAAAUACCUCUUCCAAUGAUUCACAGCUGUCAACAAUCAACUCCUUUAGAUUUUUCAAACCUUGCCGCAAUUUUGCUGGAAACAGAGUGAAAACAUCCCCACAACCCAUCAGUUCUACAAAUUCUAAAUUAUGUAAAAACAAUUGCUCAAAUGUUUUCGCAUUGAAGGAUGUACAAUCAAAAAUUAAUCUUGUCGAGGAUGGGUAUCGUCCUGUAUCAAUCCGAUUCCCAAAUAUUAUAUGAUAUUUGCGCAAGCUAACUGGAAAAACAAAAUCUCUGGGAAUGCAUUCAACCUUCGAUAUCCUCAAUGAUAAUACGACUAACUGAGACAACGAAUUUAGUUCUGUUAGGCUUGCAUUCAUUCCUCCUGUGCUGUCCCAUCCAUCAAAGCUGUAACCCCCGAUCAACAGCUCUUCUAACUUCUUCAAACUUCCAAUCAAAUUCACAGGGAUCCUUAGAUGACAACCUGUCACAUCCAACAACCUUAACUCCUUGAGCUCUCCUAUUUCAUCAGGUAAUUCUUCAAUGACGCACCACAUAAGACCAAGAAUCUUAAGUCUCCGUAGAUUUCUCAACCAAAUGAGGUCCUUGCAACGACACGAGAUCAACACCAACGAUUGAAGUUUCGUUGAGAGUACAAGUGAUUGCAACGACAAACUCCCUCCCUUCAGAGACAAAACUUCAAUUUCUUUCAUCCCUUCAAAGAACCUCUGAGGAACAUUCAAACCAUAAGCCACUUCUAAUAAUAGAACUUUGAGCCGUGGACAUACCAAUCCUUCAGGAAGUUCAGCUAGUUCAUUGCCCAUUAACGAAAUUGUUGUACACCCUUCAAAGCUUUUACCCGUCCAUUGCCACUUCUCUAACCCUAAGCCAGCCUUUACCAUGAAUCUAUAUUCUUCUGAUGAUGCUAUCUGAAUAGCAAAGUCACGAACAAGGUCAUGCAUUCUCACAUGUUCUUCAGUUUCAGAGCCCAACAGCAUGCAACAAUCUUUGAGGUUUUCGAUUGCCAAAGAAACUCGUUUCCUUGCCUCUUCAAUGGGCUGCGCAUCUUGAAAGAAUUGUAACCCAUAGCCAACUGCAUAUCUCGUCAAGUCCUCGAUUGGAAUGUCAUAGUCUUCUGGAAAUAAACAGCAUAGCACGAAACAUGACUUGGUUUCCUCGAGCUUCAAAUAAUCAUAGCUCAACUUAAGACAUGUAUAAGCAUUAUUUUUUUCGUCAAUUUGUUCCAUGCGCGCAAAUUGAGAUUCUUUGAGCUGUCUAGACGCUGAUUCCCACUGAAGUGCAGAUGCAUCUCUUAGAGCCCUUCCCACUGUCACAAGUGCUAUAGGCAAGCCUUGGCAUUCUCCCGCAACCUCCCUUGCCACUGUGCUAUCAGGUAAACCUGCAUUGAUUCUGAAUAAAUCCCAUGCUUCUUUUUCAGGUAAGGGACUUAACAACACUUUGGGCUCGCACCCCAUAGAAGAACAUAUGCCUUUAAGACGUGUUGUUAUAAGAAUUUUACAAUCCCCGUGAUCAUCACCAAAUGGGAUCCCUAUCUCUUUCAAGUCAAUAUGUUUCCAAACAUCAUCCAGGAUUAUUAGCAUCUUCUCCACUUUCUUCAGUCUCUGCCGUAAUCGAUCAGCUCUCCCUUCUUUACUCUUUUCUUUAAAUUCCAGACCUAACUUCUCUGCCAUUCGAUCCUGGAUGUCUAUGACAUUUGGAUUCUGGGACACCGUAGCCAUCAAAACUUUAUCAAGCGGCGGCUGCAACUCUUUGGCUCUCCUGCCUACUUCCUUCACCAGGGUGGUUUUACCCACCCCUCCCAUGCCGUACAGUCCGAUCAUAUUGACGUUGUCAUCUUUGAGAGCUUUCAUAAUCUGUUUCAAAGCUUCUUUUGAGAUUCUGAGGGCGUGAAUUCCUUUGAUGGGAGAAAUUCUAUGGGCUGAGGAGGAGCUUUGUGGGCCACUUUUAAACUUUUUUUCUAAAAGUUUUCUGAAAGUCUCCGACUUCUUGGCCAGUGCCUUGCUUAACUUGAAUUGUCGCAUGCAGUUUGGACACCAAGUGAAGCAUUUGCCAUUUUUUUCUAUUUCAUUUUCCAAGGACUUCGCCCAUUCAAUUUCGUUGUUUGCAUCUUUCAGCCACUUUUCGACAUCUUUGUAAAUUUCUUCAGCAUUCCUGUCAGCAGCUUCGACAUCGUCUUGCAGACGUUCUUUUUCCGAAACCAGCUUCUCCUUUCGUUCUUUGAAUUCUCCAACAAAAUUGUUGAAACAGAACAUGUAACGGAACUGCCUUCCUACUGGUUUCACCAUGAGUUCUGCUAUCUUAGAUAUAAUGGAUACAACCACACUUUCGAUACCCAUUUUCCACCGACCUGAAAAUCAGAGAAAUAAGGAUACACAGAACGUGAGAGUGACUCACUACAAGUAAAACAGAGAGAAUGGGAAUAGGAAUUUCAUUACCUUAAUUUGGGAAAAUAUGUGCGGAAAGCACUGCUACUGAUUGCUCAAUAAAAUAGCGGGGGAAAGAAAAGGAAAAGGCCUUUAGCUCUGUAUGGAGGCAAGGUAUAAGUACAACAAUAAAAUAGUUUACAUGGAUUCCUACUGACUCUUGUGAGUUAAGGCAGUAGUUCCCAUUAAAAAUGCAUUUUGAUGACAUAAUUAAAAUAAUAUAGAGACAGUGACAAACAAAUAAUAAUAAUAAAAAAAUGGGUAAAAGUACUCACCUAGCAAAGAAAGAAACGAAUGAAAGGUUCGGAUAAUCACUUAGACGUCUCCAUGGAUGAUACCAGCUCGCUUCCAACAACAAAUAUAAUUAACCUAAGCUGUGAUAGGUCAAAGUUUUUUUUACAAGAGAAAAAACUUGCAUAAAAGUAGAAUUACUGAAAAAAACUCAACAAAGAAUCAAACUCAAGCAAUUAAAAAUAAUUGUCUAUGAUGACCAUCUCUUAUCACACGGUCAGGUAAUAUGAUUGACCUAUAACAGUAUUAAAAAAAAAAAAAGGCUUAUAGAUGGUCGCCACGUGUUCAACUUUAUCUACGAUUAGGGAAGGAUAGAAAGUGGGAGAGAGAGAGAGGUUAGAAGGCUUUAAAAAAAAAAGAAAUAGAAGGAGAGGUUGAGGGAGGCAGAAACGGAAGGAGACAUUGAAAGAUCGGAGGAGAGUAAAGAUUAAAAUAUGAAUAUGUGAUGCUCGUUUAUCUAAUUGAUUGGGAUUUUUUUGUGCCUUUGAUAAAAAUACUCUGUUUUUUUUUAUCUCUUUGAUUGGGAUUUUUUUAGGUCUCUUUUAUUUGGAAUUUCUUUGGACACUUUAAUAAUAUAAUAACAAAAAAAAUUAAAAUAUUGGUGAGAUUAUUGUUCAUUCAAACACAAAUUUACUUAAUAGUAUUUUUUCUCUAAUUUUGAGUUUUAGUUUUUGAUAGCCAUGCUAGGUUUAUAUAGUUUUUUAUAAAUAUUUUGGAUAAACAUUUUAAAAGGUUGUAAAUUAUCUCUGUUACAUUUCCUCAAUUUUCUAGACAAGCAAAAGAAGCUAAACUUAUUCCCGACCAAAACGUCAAGAAUUUCAGUAGAACAAAAGAAGAGAUUAUUAUUUGACCAGAAACAACAGAUCCAAGAAUUUCCUGUAUGGCUUCCAAGAAAAUACAAUGAAAUAAGAAAUACUAAGAAAAGAAAGAAAAAGAAAGGAAAGAAACAAAGAUAGAAAGUCAAACUUGGCUCCUCUUCUAGUGUUAAAAAAAAAAAAACAAAGAAGUUCGAGGAAGUGGGCAGGCUUUUUUCUGCUGUUCACGCAGACUAAGAACUCCUACCAUCGUAAAAUCAUAUAAUUAAAACACAACAAUAAAAAAGGAAGGAGCAACUCAUUAUGUGCGAAAACCAGAGAAAUAGGGAUACAGAACGUGAGAGUGAGUCACUACAAGUAAAAGAGGCUCAGAGAGAAUGGGAAUAGGAAUUUCAUUACCUUAACUUGAGAAAAU